UAUUGUGAUAAAGUAUGCUUUCUAGCUUGCCUUAUCUUGUAUCUUCAGCUAGCUUCAUCACCAAAAAGUGCUUUUGCUUCUGCCAAUUCCACUGAAGCAGAAGCACUCCUCAAAUGGAAAGCUAGCUUUCAAAACCAAACCCAAAACAACCUGACCUCAUGGAUUAAGGCAAAUGAAGCCCCAUGCAAUACUUGGGUUGGUGUUUCAUGCAACUCUGCUGGAAGUGUCAACAGAUUAAACCUCACCAAUUCUGGUAUACAAGGUACUCUACUUCAAUUUCCAUUCAUGUCUUUGCCUAAUCUUGCAUAUGUUGACCUCAGCUUGAAUGAACUUUUUGAUCAAAUCCCACCUGAGAUCAGUUCCCUCACCAAACUCAUCUAUUUCGAUAUAUCCUACAAUCAAAUGUCUGGAAAAAUCCCACCCGAAAUCGGUCUUUUAACAAAUCUUCAGGUUCUUCACCUAAAUGCAAAUAAGUUCAACGGCUCAAUUCCUCAAGAAAUAGGCCAACUUAAAUUCGUCUAUGAGCUAGCUCUAAACUUCAACAAUUUAGAGGGUUCAAUUCCAGCUUCUGUCGGUAAUUUGAGCCAAUUGACUUCUUUGAUUCUCUUCGGAAACCAACUUUCGGGUCCUAUCCCUCCCGAAAUAGGAAACCUUUCGAAGUUGGUUGAACUUUACUUGUUUGACAACUAUUUAUCAGGCCCAAUCCCUCUGAGUUUCGGAAACUUGAAAAAUCUAACCACGAUGAUGUUGUACAACAAUACCCUUUCUGGCUCUAUCCCAACUUCUUUGUGCAAUUUGACAAACCUUGUUUAUCUCUCUCUCUACGAUAAUAAACUUUCCGGCACUAUUCCUCAAGAGAUUGGAAGCUUGAAAUUUCUUGUGUCUCUAGAGCUGACCAACAAUCAGCUCAACGGAACCGUUCCCUCUUCGUUUGGCAACUUGAGCAGCCUAGAAAACCUAUACCUCCGCGGUAACCAAUUAUCUGGAUCAAUCCCCCAAGAGAUGGAGAAUCUAAUCAAGUUGACUAUACUUGACUUGGCUACUAACCGAUUUUCUGGUUAUUUGCCUCGAGAUAUAUGUAGAGGUGGAUUGCUACAAAGGUUUAGUGCAGAAAACAACGAAUUUUCAGGUCCAAUCCCGAAAAGCUUGAAAGGUUGCAAGAGCUUAGUCAGAGUCCGUCUUGAAGGGAACCAGUUUACAAGCAAUAUAUCUGAAGACUUUGGUGUCUAUCCGAAUCUUCAGUUUGUAGACCUAAGCGACAACAACAUGUAUGGUGAAAUCUCAGACAUCUGGGGACAGUGUCCAAACUUAACAACUCUAAUAUUUGCGGGGAACAACCUUACUGGUAGCAUACCAUCUGAGAUUGCCAAUGCAACAAACCUUCAAGAACUCGAUUUUUCUUCGAAUCAUCUGGUUGGGGUGGUUCCCAAGGAUUUGGGGAGAUUGGCUUCGAUGGUGAACCUAAAACUGAAUGGCAAUGAACUUUUGGGUUCUAUACCCUCUGAAUUUGGAGCAUUCACUGAACUCGAAUAUCUUGACGUGUCAACCAACAUGCUGAACGGCUCAAUUCCAAGCACUUUUGGCGAAUUGGUCAGUUUAAACUACUUGAAUUUGAGCAACAACAAUUUCAGUCAAGAAAUUCCAUUUCAGUUGGGGCAGUUAUUUCACCUGUCACAAUUAGAUUUAAGUCAUAACUCACUUGAAGGUAAGAUACCAUCAGAAAUGAGCAAUAUGCAGAGCUUGGAGCGACUGAAUCUUUCCCACAAUAAUCUUUCCGGUCUCAUUCCAGCAACGUUUGAUGGAAUGCGCGGCUUGCUGUACGUGGACGUAUCCUACAAUCACUUGCAGGGUCCCAUCCCCAACAACAAGGCAUUUCAAGAUGCCCACAGCUUUGAAGGGAAUGUAGGUUUGUGUGGAAAUGUUGUAGGACUACAAUCCUGCAAUAAGCACGUCUCAAAAAGAAAAAACAACAGAAAACUCGUGUUUGCAAUUGUUUUCCCUAUCUUGGGAGUAGUUUUACUUGCUUUCCUUGCAAUUGUCUUCAUUAAAACAAGAAGAAAGAAAGAGCCAGAAACAGACAAGAGCGAUAUCCAUGAUGAAGAAGAAGUUUUUUCAAUCUCUCUUUUUGAUGGAAAAAAAUUGUAUUCGGAGAUCAUAAGAGCAACCGAUGGUUUUAACUCCAUAUAUUGUAUUGGGAAGGGAGGAUCUGGAAGUGUCUACAAGGCAAAGCUACCAUCAGGCAGCAUAGUUGCAGUGAAGAAACUCCAUCAAAAACUUGGCAGGGAGGAGACAUCACAGAAGGAGUUCCACAAUGAAAUAAGUGCACUAAUCAAUAUACGACAUCGAAAUAUUGUGAAACUUUGUGGUUUCUGCUCAAAUUCACAGCACUCCUUUCUGGUCUAUGAGUAUCUUGACAAGGGUAGUCUGGCUUCAAUCUUGAGCAAAGAAGACGAAGCAAAAAAAUUGGAUUGGAGUAGAAGGGUGAGAAUUGUAAAAGGCGUAGCUCAUGCACUGUCUUACAUGCAUCAUGAUUGCGUGCCACCAAUUGUACACCGGGACAUAUCAAGCAGCAACAUUUUGCUGGAUUACGACUACGAGCCUUGUGUUUCGGACUUCGGCACUGCUAAGCUUUUGAAUCCAGACUCAUCGAAUUGGAGCUCUCUUGCAGGCACAUACGGAUAUGUAGCACCAGGUAAAGUAAAACAGUUAAAAAAAUAUAAUGUUUUCUAAAUUUGUGAUAUCAAGUUAACAUAUACUAAUGGCUUGCUCUUCCUUAAUUUUAUGCAGAGUUGGCCUACACAAUGAAGGUAACUGAGAAAUGUGACGUUUAUAGCUUCGGAGUGCUGGCACUGGAAGUGAUCAUGGGAAAGCGACUAGGCGAUUUAAUCUCGUCCUUUUCGUCUCCAUCCGCGUGUGAAAACAAAUUGCUGAAGGAUGUAUUGGACCAACGGCUUCCACCUCCUACACCUGAAGUUGAAGAUGAACUGACAACCAUUGCAAGUGUAGCAAUCGCAUGCAGGCAUUCGCAACCGCAAUCUAGGCCAACAAUGCACAUGGUUUCUCAGUUGUUAUCAUUACAAAAUGCAACUUCCACUGGAGGACCAGGCAUCACACUUGAACAACUCAUUAAGAUUUGAAUUGCGUUUGACAUUGUUUGAGUUGGCACGAAAGUCGGAUGGUCUUGUUUAAUUAUAUCAAUACAUCUAUAUUGUUAUUCCUACUUAGUAAAAUAAGGUUUGUUUGUUGUUGUUGUUGCUGUAAUAUAUGUAUGUUGUUCUUCAGACAAGAUUAAGUACAAUCUUCAACUAAUUACAAAUAUUUUUUUAUUGCAGAAUCAACUGGAUUGAGUUGACUAUAAUUUAUUUUUUGUAGUUGAGUUAACUAUUACUUGAUUGAAGCCACAUGGUACUAUGUUAUAAUUGCAGGUAAAUUAACAAGAAGAGGAGUGCUAGUUGGACUCGCUCCUAAAACCUCGUUUGGUAACUUGGAUUGUACUAAUUAUUAAAUUAGUGAGACGUUUGGUGCUUUAUCAGACUAAAAACUGACCAUUUAAUAUUGUGUUUGAUAUAAGAGAUUAUUCGAAUUGUUAUUAUUUUAUGUGAAUGAUUACAAAAAUUGUGGAUGUAGAAUUUGGUAAUUAAAAGUCCUCAUGUCUUAUGGUAAUAUGAUCUUUUGAAUCGUAAAGUGUUGGCUUCAUGCAACGGUCUGUGAGUGGUGACGUGUUCCAAUCAUGCACACUCUUGCCUUAGGGUUGUAUAAGAACCAACUUUCACCAUUUGAGAAAGUAUGAAUGAAAUCAAAAUGUUAUAGCCUUUAUCUUUUCCCUUUUCUCUUUCGAAUUGCUUCUCUACUGUUUGGCACCUAUCAUCUGCUAUCAAGAUCCAGGUGUUGUCUUCCAUGGGCAAGAGCAAAGCUUUUGUCGUUGUUGCCGACGUCACGGAAGCCGAUCUCGAACUGGAGUAUCAGCAACACCAAAUCCUUGAGCAACUCAAUGGGUUUCAUGACUCGAUGUUGAUGUUGGCCACUCGCCAAGAGACCUUCUAGUCUUACUUGAUGAACAUUUCAGCUUGCUUGGCUAAUAUCAGCCUUGUUCAGUCCCAUUUGAUGGAGGAGCUCUGGUCAUCCCACCAACCACCGCCGCCUACCCAGGUCUCCCUGAUCCCAUCGGUUCUCUCCACAUCCUGAUUGGCUCGGCAUCCACCCCACAGCCCCACCCACCCGCUGCUGUCUCUCCACCUACAUGGGGUUCUCAAUACUCCAAAUCCCCCCACAUCCCUUACACCCUGUCACAAGUGAUCGGAUAUCCGUUGGCAUCUCCUUAGUUUUCCACGUCCACUUCCACUCUUCGUCACCCCCCUCCCACACUAUUUCCCACCCACCAACAACACCCCAUCCUGUCUGGCGCCCCGUCCCACUCCACUGGUACCAAAUUCAUGAAAAUCGAGCUUUCCUGGUUCUCCAGCGAUGACCCAUUCAGCUGGUUAGCUUUAGCGGAAGAGUAUUUGGACUACCAUGGUGUCAACACCCCCAACAGGGUCACGGUGGCGGGCCUCCAUUUCACUGGUGAUGUGGCUUUGUGGUUUAAGUGGUACAAAUUGCAUAUUGGAUCCAAUUUAUGGGCCACCUUCACCGAAUGUCUCUUACAACGCUUUGGGCCGGGUGACCAAUUAGACUUCAAUAUGUCCUUCUCUCAUGUAUCCCAAAAAGGACCUCUCGAGGCCUAUGUCAAUGAUUUCAUUCGUUUGUCUUGCCGAGCCCAAGGUUGGACCAAUGCACAACAUUUAGGGGCGUGGGCUUAAGAUGGACCUCCGUAUUAGCUCAAGCACCUCAUUCUUUGGCCCGCGCCAUCAAACUCGCCCGUAUCUAUGACAAUAAGCAACAACGAUGUCAUAGCACCUUCCGCUAAUACUCUCCUUGCCCUUCUCCGACGUCUCUGGUAGUGUCCUCGACGACAUCCGCUCCACCCACCAGACCACUUCCCUCCUCGGCAGCUCGGCCACCGCUGCACCUAUCUCCAACAGUAGUCUGUGAGCGCAGUUCUCGGGGCCAAUGUUUAUAUUGCCCAAAGAAAUACUUUCCUGGCCACAUGAUAAGUCGAUAUUAUACUUUAUAUUUUACCCUUAUCUUAGUCUUAAUUUAUUAGUUAUUUUGGUAGAAUUUUGAUACUUUGUUAUAUUUUCAAUGUAGGACAUUCGACUUCAUCUGGAGAAAAAAGUGAUCAAACGGAUGAAUUUUGGAGUAAUUCUAAUUGGAGGAUGUUCGUGAGUCUUUUAAGAUGAUUGUGUCAAAAUUCCAGAUUUUUCUACCAAGCCGUUUGACUGUGGCGAAGAAAUAAAGGCCCAGGGUGCAGCUUUCCCAUAUUGACAUUUAUGGACGCUUUGGGUAUUUUGAAGGUCAAUAUGGCAUAUUUUGAGGAAGAUUCAUCCUGAAGAUUUGUUAACCACGUCUCAAUCUUUAAAAAGAUACAUUUUGGGACCAAAUCAGAGUUGAUUUGGUCGGUCAAAAGUUUGAUUUUCUGAGAAGUUUGAAUUUCAGUUCAAAUAGGAAACCUUUUAUUUCCGAAUUAUCUUAUUCUAUUAUGUUUCCCAGUUUUUAGAAGACAUUUUCUAGGUAGGAUUUUAUUUUGUGGUCGUAUAAAUAAGGCUUUUUAGCCAUUAGAAAGAAAAGGAGAGAGUACGAAGGCAUCAAUUUGGAAGAACUUAGUUAGGCUUUGACGUUUUGUAUUUCAAGGUGUUUUCUAUCUUUUUUCCAUUUCAAUAAAAUUCCUUUUGUUUUAUGGUUGUUCGUAACUAAUUUUUGUUUGCUAGGGCGAUGCCUUGAGCCUUAUAAUGAAUAUGUAGUCUUUAUUCAAUUUCUUAUGAUAUUAUGCAUGCAUGCUUUGAAUUAUUAAUCAUUGUGUUUAAACUGUCUCUAUAUCUUAAUGCUUAGCUACUAUUAUGAUGUUUAUAUAAGUAAUCGGAUGCAAUUCGAUCGGAAUACCACCGGCGGAUUGAAUAUUGCUUAUUGUGAUUGGUAGUUGUAAUUUCACCUUGGACGAAUACCACAUCUUAGGGAUUGCAUGGUUUUUCAAAGGGUUUUCACAAAGCGUAAUGAGUCAUGCAUGUUUAUAUUUGAUCUGAAUACUACAGACGGAUUGCAUGUUUGAUAUACGUUCUAGCUUGAAUACCAUGAGUAGAAUAUGCAUUAGGAAAACCUAACCUUCAAAAUUGCAUGUGUAAUUCAUAAGUAAUUGGUAAAUCUACAUAAGAUUGUUAAGGGGACGGCGGAACCCUAGACUUUUAUAAUUUGGUUUUCAAAGCGUUUUCUUUUGUUUUCUUUACUUUGCUAAUUUCUUUAACCUUUUUAGUUAAAUUCGUUUUUAUUAUUUUUAAAUUCAAAAUUAACCUUUUCCAAUCUUUGUUUUCAAGUAAUUAAUUAAGAUUUGGUAUUUACAUAAAUUAUUCAUUCAAUUUCUGCGAAAAACAACCUUGCUUAAGCCGUUUAUAUUAUAACUAUCUUGUUCUCUUGUAAGUAUUUUUAAGUGUUUUUAUCCUUACUUCUAUAGUUGGUAAAAAUCCCUAUCAAGAAAUUGGUGCCGUCACCAGAGAUUGUUAUAAAUAAUUUGGGUUUUUCUUAUUCUUAGUUAAUUAUUAUUGUACAUACAUAUAUUUUUUAUUUAAUUGUUAAUUUUAUAUUUUAGGUUGGUUUGUUGAUUUUUGAGAGCACUAUAAUGAUGGGCUGGGAACUACCACCACCAGAAGGAUCACCUUUAUGGGUUUCUUUCGUAAAACAGAGUUUCUAUGGAUUUAAACCUACAAUUUAUGUCCUUUGUUGUUCAAAUACCCACGGAAUUUUGCUAUGCCCUAAAAGGAAAUAUUUUCUAGACUGUGUGAAGAAGCAUAUUAAUAUGAGAAACGACUCACAAAGGCAUUGGGACGAUCCCACUUUUGAUUACUAUGCUCCAGCUUUGAAUAAGCAUCCUAGUUUUAGAUGGGCAGGUACUUAACAACCUUUUGAGCAGCCUAAUGUGCCACAAAGUUCAAAGGACGGUUCGACUACUAGUACAUUAGAAUGUGUGAAGAGUUAUGAUAAAUGAAAUUGAAGAGCCGCCUGCCGGUAACUCAUGCCAAAAGGAGGAAACAACCCUGAUGACCUUGAAAUUUCUCCAAAAUCCGUUCCUACUCAGGUUCAUACACCACACAUCCCAUAUCAAGAUGCUGCAAAGCAACCUACAAAGCAGCAGGAAUUCAUUGAAACUGACCUAUUGGAUGGGGAUGUACAAACCAAAUCAGACUCUGGGAAAUCAUGUGGCCAGCUAUUGGACACUAUCACUUUGGAUACAGGGCUGGUUACUGAUACAAACAUUUUAGUUGCUGUAUUGGGCAGUACACCAGCUAGGGGUGGGCGCGGUUCGGUUUGGUGCGGUUUUGAGUGAAACCAAAACCAAAACCGCAAGUUUUUGCGGUUUGGUUCGGUGCGGUUUUGAAGCCAAAACCAAAAUGAAACCAAACCGUUUGGUUCGGUUCGAUGCGGUUUCAAACGGUUUCGGUUUGGUUUUUAAGAAAAAAUGUACAAUUUGCAAUUUAACAUAUUAAAAAGCAUUUCCCAAUAGUAAUAGGAAAAUGACAUUUGUUAUGUAAACAAUUAGCAUGUUGCAUGUAGUUGUGAUGUUAAAACAUGUUUGUGCAACAAAAAGGUGUCCCUUACAAUAUUUUUCAUAAAACAAGUUGAAUAAAUUUGAAUUCAUUAAACGUGAGCGAAAUUUUCAUACUAGAAUAUGUGAUAUCAUGCUUCAAAUGAGUGGCUUUUUAGUAGAUCAUUGUUCGACUCUUGAUAACAAGAUUAGUCCACCCUUGUACAUAUAUGUGUGUGUGUGAUGGUAUAAAAUAACAAAGGUCCUUCAAGUUAAUGAACAAAAGAAAGUGAUGAAUGAUGAUAUUCUAGUGUGGUUGAGUCCAUACUAAGUGUAUGAAUUUUAACAAACGACCAAUUAAAACAUGAAAUCUAAUAUGGACAUUUAAUUAAAUGUUUAUUAAUAUUUGCGGUGCGGUUCGGUUUCGGUGCGGUUUUCAAAAGCCAAAACCGAAACCAAACCGUUUUCUAUGUUGCGGUUCGGUUUCAAAACCGAAACCGUUUCAAAACCGCAAAACCAAACCGUUCGGUGCAGUUCGAUUUGGUUCGUGUUUCGGUUUCGGUUUUCGGUUUUAAGUGCCCACCCCUAACACCAGCACAACUAAUUGUAAUUAAAGAAAUUCGGGCCUAAGUCCUACAACGUAGCUAAGACAUACAAGGAAUGGGAGAAAAAGUUUAAUGGCAGCCAGAUUCUUCAUAGAGACAUUCCACCAGUGAAAAAGUUGUGGGUAUUAAAUACAAGAUGGAAGUUAGUUCGAUGGAGACACAAGCCUCGCUGGAAGGGACCUUAUUUGAUUUCAAAGACUCAUUCUCAUAUAAGGGUAUAAAUAAAAGAUUCAGCCACUGAAUUUAAAUGCACAGUUCAUGUCACUCCAUACUUACCAUUGCUCUAUGAUGCUACUAAGGCAUGGUUGACCCUAAAAGAACAAGUGACGUGAUUAUCAACCUCAUUCCCAUUCGUCUAGCUAUAGACGUUAACUAAAACACUAAUUGGAAGACAACCCAUUUUUUCCAGCUCUUUUCUUUGUAUUUUCGUUCAUUUUAUUUCUUGUUUUUAUUCCUUAUCACAAAAAGCCGAAAAACAAAAAAAUCACAUAAAAAAAAUUCAGAAAGUUGAAAAAAAAAUACAAAAACAGCAAUUCGUUUUAGUUGAUCACUUUGUUUGUUUGUUUGUGUAACUUUUUUUUUUUUUUUUUUUUUUUUUUUUUUCCAUUUUGGGUUUUUAUUCUCAUCCGAUUUUUAAUGUGUGUUUUUGGCAGGUUGAAUUCAGAAUCAAUUGGCCCUAAAUAUGCGCUAAGCGCACACAUUCGACUGAAUCAUGCAUUCAGUAGCAUUCAUACACUCAACUCAGUACAUUCAUCAUUCAUCCACAAUAAUCAGAUUCCAAACGAAUGCAGAAAAGAUUGAGGCAGAGUUCAAGAAUGCUUAUUGUGGGAGAGCCCUCUGCAUUGUUUGGAAUCCCCUUUCACUCACUCUCUCUCUCUCAUAUUUUAAUAAAAUAAUUGUUUUACAAUAAGUUUGGGGUGGUCCAGACAGCACAGAGGCGGACAUUCAUCAAGCCAUGUCACAGAUCCAGUAUCAUGCACAGUUUUUGCUCAAUAUUUGUCAUAUGGAGGCAUGCAAGCACACAGAAAUUACAUGAGCAUUGAAGAAAUUUAAGUCUUAGAAUGCAUGACAAAAACAUUUCGGAGAUCCGCAUGAUUUCCAGAGACAUCACACCAUGCUUAAUUUUAACGCAGUACAGGGAUUUGAUUUACUUCCAUUUCGUAGAUCUGAGCAGCCAUCUUUGCUGUGUGUACAGAAGCUCCGUGUGUGCACCUUUGCCCCUCGCAGUCACUAUUCUUUCCUUGGUCUUACUCGGAUCCCGAACUCUACCUACAGAAUACAUACAUGCAUGUGUUAGAAUUUCGUUUUCAUUUGACCUUCGGUCAUGAACUCCAAGGAAAGAAGAUGUGGAUGCAUUUUACCUGAGGAAAGUGGCUCUGUAUUUGCAGCUGUAAACAAGUUGGGGGUGGAACAGAGGAGGUGCAGCUUUGGGGCCUUCGGUUUCCGUUGCAGAAAUGGAGGAGAGAGGAAGAAUCUCGACUUCUUUUUUUCGACUUCUUGAAGAGAGAGAGAAAUGGAUUGCUGGGUUUGGAGGAUGGUACUGGUUGAGCGGCUCUGGACUACGUCGCGAGUUCGACUCCAGGUGACUUUCUUCCUUGUUUUUCCUUUCUUCUUCAUUUUUAUCUUUGUUUGCUGCUCGUUGUUUGCUUAUUUAUUUGCUUUCUGUUUUUAUCUCUUUCUUUUUAUAGUUUUAAUUAGUUGUUUUUAUUUUACUUUUAUUUAUUUUCCAUCCCUUGAGGACAAUGUGUGAUUUUAAAUGUCAAUAUAAGAAUCCUAACUUAUUUGGGAAACUUUAAGGAAUUCUGAAUUCUAAUUCAUUGAUGAUUAUUUUGGUAUUUGAAAAACCAUCUCACUUAAUUCAAUUUAGAUGAUAAUCGUUUUAGAUUGAAUAUUUUGUCAUUAUUUAUACAAAAAGUAGUCACCAUUUAUAGAUUGUGACUAUUUCUAUGAACAGUGUCACUAUUUUUAAAAACAGUUAUCACCAUCUCUAAACAGUGACACGAUUUCCAGAAACAGUGACACUAUUUCUAAAAACGGUGACAUUAUUUUUAAAAACAAUGACACUAUUUCUAAAAAUCGUGUUCACCAUUUUUAGACAAUGACACUAUUUCUAACAAUGGUCACCAUUCCUAGACAAUGCCACUGUUUCUAGACCUAGACUUAAAAUUUAGGACUAACACAAAUUUAAAGACCAAGUAUUACAGACACGUAUCAUGUACAAUCUAGAAAAUUAACCAACUAAAAAAGCUUGCGGUUUUAGCAUAGAAAUAUGAAUUAUAUUAUUUGGAAAAAAAGAACUUGUUGACACAUUUUUUACUGUAAGUGAGCCUCUUUGGCUUAUCCUUUUAUUUGUCCUAAAAAAGAAAGCUAUUGUGAAAAGAAAACAUUUGCAGCAUCAAUGGGUGUGACAAGGACAAGGAAUAACCAUGGUCCAUUGUUUCGAACUAUCUCACACUUAAAAUUAGUAACUGAAUUGUAGAAAGCUACAAGUUGGAACUGCAAGUGUACAACAGUUCCUCAAGAAAAAUUGCUUGUCAAUGAAUUGAUUGCACCAAAUUUUAGAUUCGGUUUGGAUCAGGUUUGAUCGUAGUGGACAUUGCCAUAUCUCAAGAGGCAGCUAUUAGGCUUUGGUCAAUGUAACGCCUUGGAGAGUAUGAGAGAUGGACUAAGAACAUAUGUCGUUAAGGGUGUAUAUGGAGAUGUAUAAUACAUAUAUAUCAUUUUGGUUGAAAAAAUAUAUCUUUAAUGAGAGAGUGUAAGUUACACCCAUUUUAGUUAAAAAAAAUAUAAAUAUUUAUAUAAAUUUACAUCUUUUAUAUCUUCAAAAGAAAAAAAGAAACUAAACUAAAAUAUUACAUUGAACGUUUAAAAAGGUUAAAAAUGUAGCCUUUUAGUAUUAUGGUCUAAUGAUAUUCAUCUUCACUGGUACGUGAGAGGUCUUAGAUUCGAUUCUUGCCAAAAGCGAAUUUGAACUAUGUUAUUAAGCCCAUUGUGAGGCUUAGCCCACUCUCCCACCCCCUAAGUGUAAAUAAUGUUGUUUGUUCAAAAAUAAAACUGUAUGAUUGCAACUUGAGUAGCCUAGAAAACCUAUACCUCCGCGGUAACCAAUUAUCCGGAUCAAUCCCCCAAGAGAUGGAGAAUCUAAUGAAGUUGACAACACUUGACUUGGCUACUAACCGAUUUUCUGGUUAUUUGCCUUGAGAUAUUUGUAGAGGUGGACUGCUACAAAGGUUUAGUGCAGAAAACAACGAAUUUUCAGGUCCAAUCCCAAAAAGCUUGAAAGGUUGCAAGAGCUUGUCAGAGUCCGUCUUGAUGGGAACCAAUUUACAAGAAAUAUAUCUGUAGACGCAAUUUACAAGCAAUAUAUCUGAAGACUUUGGCGUCUAUCCGAAUCUUCACUUUGUAGACCUAAGGCACAACAACUUAUAUGGCAAAAUCUCAGACAUCUGGGGAUAGUGUCCAAACGUAACAGCCCUACGGAUUGCGGGGAACAACCUUACUGGGAGCAUACCAUCUGAGAUUGUCAAUGCAACUAAAAUUCAGGAACUCGAUUUUCCUUCGAAUCAUCUGGUUGGGGUGGUUCCCAAGGAUUUGGGGAGAUUGACUUCUAUGGUGAAUCUAAAGUUGAAUGGGAAUCAACUUUUUGGUUCUAUACCCUCAGAAUUUGGAGCAUUCGCUGAACUCGAACAUCUUGUCGUGUCCACCAAGAAGUUGAAUGGCUCAAUUCCAAGCAUUUUUUGUGACUUGGUCCAUUUAUACCACUUGAAUUUGAGCAACAACAAUUUCAGUCAAGAAAUUCCACUUCAGUUGGGCAAGUUAUUUCACCUGUCACAGUUAGAUUUGAGUCAUAACUCACUUGACGGCAACAUACCAUCAGAAAUUAGCAAAAUGCAGAGAUUGGAGCAGCUGAAUCUUUCCCACAAUAAUCUUUCCGGUCUCAUUCCUACAACGUUUGAUGGAAUGUGCAGCUUGUUGUACAUAGACGUAUCCUACAAUCACUUGCAAGGUCCCAUCCCCAACAACAAAGCAUUUCAAGAUGCUCACAGCUUUGAAGGGAAUGUAGGACUACAAUCCUGCAAUAAGCAUGUCUCAAAAAGAAAAAACAAUAGAAAACUCGUGUUUGCAAUCGUUUUCCCUAUCUUGGGAGCAGUUUUACUUAAUUUCCUUGCAAUUGUCUUCAUCAAAACAGGAGCAGCCUCUCCAUAAAUGGGGGUAAGGCUAGCCGACAUUCACCUCUCCCAGACCCUGCGUAAAGCUGGAGCCUUGUGCACUGGGUACGACCUUUUUUUGUCUUCAUCAAAACAAGAAGAAAGAAAGAGCCGGGAACAUAAAAGAGUGAUAUCCAUUGAUAGGAGCAUAUUUAUCCGACUUUGUUAGCUUGUUUCUUUGCAUUUAGUGAGUUAGUUUUUGUUUAUUAUAGUGAUUUAAGCUAUUUUCGUGUGUUUGUAGGUCCAAAUGGCAAAAGUGGCAACAAAAGGCAAUUUGAAGGAUUUUAAAGCAGUUUUGGAUUUGGAAUAGAUAGCAUGCGUAUGGAGCAUAAUGGAUGGACCUUUUUGAAGUUUAAAGAAGCUAAAAAUGUGCUACAAAUCUGGAAGAAUUAAUUCAAGAUUUGGAAGAUAAGGAAUCAGCUAAAAGGAAGGAACAUUAUCCAACCUUAUCCUAUCCAAACUAACCUUAUUUAUCCUACCUUAAUUCCAGCUGCAAGGGGGGAAUCAAUUUUACAUUAAAUCACCUAAAUAUUUGGUUCUAGAAGCCCUAUCCUCUGCCUAAAUUGGUGCCGCACCACCCUUUCUAGAAGCCUAGAAACCUACUGUGUAUCCUAUUCCCUUUCCUCCAAGGAUUGUGUUAUCCUUUUCCUCUACAAAUUAUUGCUGUGCAAUCCUUUUCCCUUCAGAAAUUGUGCCGAACCCUAGCCCUAUAAAUACACAUCUUUGCCGCACCAUUCAAAACACCACACACGAGAGAAAUUCAGAGAGAAAAAUAAAAAGAGUGCCGCAGGUUUUUGAGAGUUUUUAGAGAUUUGUGCCGUGCUUGCAAGGAGAAGAAGGACUUGUGUCGUGACCCUGCAGCCAAUGAUUGUGCCAAAUCUGCCAUUGGAGUGCUGGAGCGUUUAUGGGUUCUUUCUAUCCUUAGUUUUAGUCUAAUGUUUAUUUUAAUUUGGUCUUCAAUUAUGAUGAACAUGUGGAACUAAUUUCGUUUUAGUUAGAGGUGAAUUCAAAGCUAUGAACAUAAAUGUGAUACGAAUUGAUUACAUCCAUUUAUUGUUUCAUAAAUCGUGAAUACAAUUUAUUUAUCUGUUUUAUGGAGAACUUGUUCUUGUGUGUUGAUUAAGGAUGCAUACUUAGUUUGCAUACAAAGAUUUGAUGCUAAAAUAUGAGGGAAUUUCAUCUAGUCGUUAUGAACUUAUAUUUACAGGUAAAUUCUUGGCAGGAGUAUCAUGCAGUUUAUAGUUACGAAUGCCUUAUCAUUGCUUAUGAUUUUUAUAGAACUUAAUGAUCUUUAAUAUGUAUCUCUAUCAUGUUGUUCAUAUAGGGAACUUGAUAAGAAUAAUUUGAUUGUGUCGCUGAGUCCAAUUCAAUGAAUUUAGGAAACUCUGAAAGUUAAUUUAUGCUUCUCACGAUUAAUUUGGGGCAUUGUCAUUCAUGGUUUAUAGGAAUAAUAAAUGGAAAUUGAUUUGUAUGCAUAUGUGUCAUGUGUGAAGAAAGACCCUCUAGCUACCCUUACACCCCUAAAAACAUCCAAUUUCGUAUUACCUUUAGUUUGUUUAUGCAAGUACUUAGGUUUACUUUAAAUUCAUCAAAACAACCCCCAUUUAGUACUCUGAGUCUUUUUAGUUUAAUUUUCGUCCAAAUUUGGACCCUUUAGUUCUUGUUUUGAGUCAAUUUAACUUAGUUUUGUGUUAUUUGAGUCAGUUUAGCUUGUUUUGAGUUGUUUGAGUCUAGUUUUAAGUUUUUAGGUUUAAUUUGUGUUGAUUAGCAUCCCUAACUAAUCACUGGCUUAGAACGAUCCCUACUUAUGCGUACUAUAACUAUUUUAAUAGGGUUUAAUUUGUGUGUUAGUUUUUACCAUAUCAUCCACAAUGAAUUUUUUUCAAUCUCUCUUUUUUAUGGAAAAAAAUUGUAUUGGGAGAUCAUAAGAGCAACCAAUGGUUUUGAUUCCAUAUUUUGCAUUGGGAAGGGAGGAUCUGGAAGUGUCUACAAGGCAACGCUACCAUCAGGCAUCAUAGUUGCCGUGAAGAAACUCCAUCAAAAACUUGACGGCGAGGGGACAUCGCAAAAGGAGUUCCACAAUGAAAUAAGUGCACUAAUCAAUAUACGACAUCGAAACAUUGUGAAAUUUUGUGGCUUUUGCUCAAAUUCACAGCACCCAUUUCUGGUCUAUGAAUAUCUAGAAAAGGGUAGUCUGGCUUCAAUCUUGAGCAAAGAAGACGAAGCAAAAGAAUUGGAUUGGAGUAGGAGGGUGAGAAUUGUAAAAGGCGUAGCUCUUGCACUGUCUUACCUGCAUCAUGAUUGUGUGCCGCCAAUUGUACACCGAGACAUAUCAAGCAGCAACAUUUUGAUGGAUUACGACUACAAGCCUUGUGUUUCAGACUUCGGCACUACUAAGCUUUUGAAUCCAGACUGGAGCUGCCUUGCAGGCACAUACAGAUAUGUAGCACCAGGUAAAGUAAAACAAUUAAAAUAUAUAAUGUUGAAUCUGGUGAUAUAAAGUUAAAACAUAUGCCAAUGGCUUGCUUUCCCUUAAUUUUUAUCCAGAGUUGGCCUACACAAGGAAGGUAACUGAGAAAUGUGACGUUUAUAGCUUCAGAGUGUUGGCACUGGAAGUCAUCAUGGGAAAGCGACUACUAAUCUCAUUCGUGUUUUUUUGGUGGAAAGGAAUCUGGUUUUCUAUCAAUAAUCCUACUUAAUAAUUGAGCAACAACUAAUCUCAUUUGUGACAUAAACUUAAAGACUAAUUAGUAUCAUAAUUACCAUUCCUAUUUUUAAAAUCUCAUUCAUGACAUAAACCUAAAGACUAAUUAGUAACAUAAUUAGCAUUCCUAUUUUUAAAACCAAAUUAUGCGUAGGCAAACCAUUAAAGUCAAGUUUGUUUGAAAAAUCAGUUGGAUACAUUGUUUCAAGAUUUUCAUUUGCAGAAUACAAAAAAUCAUAACAUAAAAGCUAUCUCUCAACCCAUGCCAAAAAGUUGCCAAUCCAGAUUAUUCACAAUUUUCACAGCAACGCUCUGAUCAAAGAUUCUAAGAAGGAACAUAGCUAAUAAGCAGUCAUAACUAUCAAACUCACAGAUGUAAUAACUAUCAAAAUCAUAGAUGCAAUAACUAUCAAACUCAUAGAAAUAUAAACACACAUUCCAUUACAUUUCCAGUAAACUAAAUACUCAAGAGCUCUUUUUGACAUUGCAUUGUAAUCCCUUUGUAAACCAGAAAAGCAAUAACCAUAUUUCCAAAAAAAUACUUUAGACACACAAAUAGAUAAUCAGGUAAAAAUACUAUCCAUUGGUUUAACAUAUGUUUUCCACACCGCUGAGACUAUGAAUUAUGGCUAUUGUCCAUUUCAUGCAAAAUCAAAGAAAUAAGAUCUGUUAUUAUAGAAAAUCAAUUAUGUGGACAGGCAAUUGAAGACUGAUUUAACCGAAGGCUGUUCUAGUGUUUACAGCCACUUCUAGUAUAAUUUAGUUUGACAUUGAUAUUCAAAAUUUUCAUCCAAUAAAUUGGCAAGCGGUGCUGAAUAUUAAAUUACGAAAACAAUUUUAUGUACUGGGCAACUGUGCCUUGAAGCUCAGAAAUACAAAAUACACAUAGCCAAAAGCUCAAUAAAAAGCAAGGAACCGAUAACUCUAAGGAAAAGCUACAAAGAAAGCCAUUGGGUUACCAUAGUCGAGUGGUCUCAUUUACCUUGAAAUGGGGGUACCGCCCAAGCUUGAGUUUUCAUGCCUUGAAAAUUCAAAAAAGGAUAUGUUUCGAUCCCCAGAUAGAUGCAUUCUAUUUAAGAAAAAUACAUGGAAAUAUAAUGAAGUUCAGAAAUCCAACCAUGUCGGUUAAAUUCCUUGUGCCAGGUUGCUCAAGGAUGACCUCCUAGUACUUACACUUCUAAGUGAGAUUUGACUUGGUUUCACAAUUCCGACUCCUGCGUAUUUUGGUACACCAUUUUGCACAGCCCUAAGAUCCUGUAUUACAAUUUCAAUUUUGCUUACGCAUGCAUGCACUACAACAGUAGUACAGUGAUGUAAAACAAAGACUCUGACUUAUCACUUGCAGCCAUGUUUCCAAUUGCCGCAUCUCUUUGUUUUAUUAAUUUUUCUUUUAUAAUCAAACAUAAAUCACAGAUACUUCAAAAACCAGAAAGAGAAAAAGAGAAAUUAGAAAAUCAUAUUGAAAACCCCUACCAAAGCACGUUAAUAAUCUAACUAAUGAAUGCGGUUCGAGAAACAAACCCCUGUUCGAGUGUGACUGAUCAGAUCCCGCACUUGCAUUGCUGUUUCCACACAGCACUCUGUACACAAAAUCCCCCAAAAAAUAAAUACAUAGUCCACACACAAAUCAACCAACAAAUAAGAAAAAAAAUCAUCUUUUUCAAUGACUUUCUUAAAUGGGGAACAACCUGCUAAUACCCUUCAUGGCCAAAGCACAAAGAAUAAUUCAUAUAUGUUUUUCAAUUUUCAAAUCACAAAGUGGAAUACAAAUCUUAAAACUUUUAAGCCAAAAACAGAUGCACUAUUUUUCCAGAGACUCAAAAAAAAAAAAAGAAAAAGAAAAGAAAGCAAGUGCAAGCACAAAUCUUGUGAAAUAAUUAGGAAUAUUCUAUAAAUAAUCAUAUGCAAAUCAUUACCCGAUUAAUCACCAAAAAUAUCAAAACAGAAAUCCAUAGCCAGAAAUUGAAAGACAUAUCAUAUUAUCAGUUCAAGAAUAAGAAAACACAAUUCAUAACAAAGCAAGCCAAUAAACAAAACCCACGAAGAAAAUCUCAAAAUUCCAAAACCUCAAAAGGAUUAUGAAAACAAAGACGCACUCAGAACUAAGAGCCCAGUGGAAGCUCUGUUUACACAAAAGCUAUAACCAAAAUCACAAACUUAAAUUUGUCGGACCCAAAAAAUUUUUACAUACACAAAUGUAAAAUUUGGAUUUUUACAUGGUUGCUUUCGUUUUUAACAAUGUUUCGGUUGCAAGUAUAUGGACGGUGGUCAAAAUCUUGGCUUCAAAUUUUGAAUUUGUAGGGAUUGGUGUCAUUACAUACAACAACAACAACAACAACAAAGCCUUUUCCCACUAAGUGGGGUCGGCUAUAUGAAUCCUAGAACGCCAUUGCGCUCGGUUUUGUGUCAUGUCCUCCGUUAGAUCCAAGUAAUCAAGUCUUUUCUUAGGGUCUCUUCCAAAGUUUUCCUAGGUCUUCCUCUACCCCUUCGGCCCUGAACUUCUGUCCCGUAGUCACAUUUUCGAACCGGAGCGUCAGUAGGCCUUCUUUGCACAUGUCCAAACCACCGGAACCGAUUUUCUCUCAUAUUUCCUUCAAUUUUGGCUACUCCUACUUUACCUUGGAUAUCCUCAUUCCCAAUCUUAUCCUUUCUCGUGUGCCCAUACAUCCCACGAAGCAUCCUCAUCUCCGCUACACCCAUUUUGUGUACGUGUUGAUGCUUCACCGCCCAACAUUCUGUGCCAUACAACAUCGUUGGCCUUAUUGCCGUCCUAUAAAAUUUUCCCUUGAGCUUCAGUGGCCUACGACGAUCACACAACACGUCGGAUACACUCUUACACUUCAUCCAUCCAACUUGUAUUCUAUGGUUGAGAUCUCCAUCUAAUUCUCCGUUCUCUUACAAGAUAGAUCCUAGGUAGCGAAAACGGUCACUUUUGUGAUCUUCGCUAGAUUGCUCCGGUCAUUAGUGUGGAUAAGUAUAUAAAUGGAUAGAGAUAGGAAAGCAAACACAAGAUGUACGUGAUUCACCCAGAUUGGCUACGUCCACGGAAUAGAGGAGUUCUCAUUAAUUGUGAAGGGUUUACACAAGUACAUAGGUUCAAGCUCUCCUUUAGGGAGUACAAGUGAAUGAUUUAGUACAAAUGACAUUAGGAAAUAUUGUGGGAGUGUGGUAUCGGCUUGACUUUCCUUAUCUGUCUCAUAGGUAGAUGUGGAAUCUUCUCUGGAAGUACUCUUCCUCCAUCCAGGGGUGGUAUCUGUAACUGGUGGAGAUGCACAAGGUAAUGUAUCAAUGUCACUUGAAGCUUACUUGUAGUUUCAGGCUUGGUCAAGCGUGAUACAAACCAUGUAGUAGGAGUUCCCCAAGUCGCCGAGCUAGGGGAUCUGCUGAAAGAGGUAACAGACAAGGUAAGCAAUCAGAGCUCCGGCUGAUUGUUCACAUUCUCCCUAUCUUGCAGGCAGCAUGAAGGAUAAAUAGAAGAAAAAUGAGAAGAGAUGAUAUGAGAUACUUUUGCUUUUGAAGAAGUAACUUUCCACAGGCUUAUUCUUGAACUGGGCUGGAGGGUUUUCUGGUUUCCUCCAAAGUAUAAGGCCGACUGAAGAAUUUGAGGGUCAAAACAAGUCCAUCAAAUCUAGAGUACGUUCGACCCUGCUGAUAUGGGAUACUUUUGCUUUUGACAGAGUAGUGGAUGUAUCGGCACGUGUGCUGUUACGCUUGUCUCCACAUGCUUCAUUGUAUCCUUCUCACUUGCCCUAUCUGUUUCUCAGGCAGAUGCGGUAUCUUCCUUGGAAGCAUAAGAUGUUGAAGAUGAGUACUCGAGAGCAAUGCCAGGGUAAGGGGUUCCAGGCAGUCAGUUCCUGGCUGGAAGCUUGAUUCCAAGUGCUGACUGAUUGCUCUCUUUCUCCUUGUCUUGCAGGUAAGAACAAGGCCAAAGGAAAAGACAGGGAAAAAGCAUGAUAUGGGAUACUCUUGCUUUUAACCCUGAUGAUAUGAGAUAUUCUUGCUCUAGUAUAGCUUGUUUACAGAGGUAUUAUCGGGGGGAAAGAAAGCUGAAUAUUUCGAAAGGCUUCGUUGGGAGUGCCCUCUCAGAUAAGAGGAAGGGUUGAGCAUUUUUGCAGGUCUACCUGUCCGUUGGGGAUGGAGGUCGACAUAUAUAGGAGUCUCCCUAACAUCAAGUAAUAAUGCUAUUCCUUUACCCUGCUUGGUCAUAGCACGGUAGUGGGAGCUGCCAGCUUCACAAGUUUUUAACUCUGUCAGAGCACUUUGAAAAAGUGGUCUGUGGUAUCUGGAAAGCUGAUGUUGCGUGUGAAGAUUACAGACAAGCUUUAUCCAAGGAGAUCCGGCUCUUGAAGUUGGGAAAGUGGUGCCUCUUCGGUUUUUCGAACAAGCAAUCCUGUCGGGGAUCUGGCUCUCGAGAUUCGGAGAACGAUGCCUCUUCGAUUUUUGAGAAAGCAAUCAUGCUGGGGGUCUGGCUCUCGAGAUUCGGAGAGCGGUGUCUUCGAUUUUUGAGAAAGUAAUCAUGUUGGGAGUUGGGAGUGUUUUCUCGAAUAUGAGUAAAGGUUGGGCAUGUUUGCUAGUCUACCUUGCCACGAAGCACAGAGGUUGACACACAGGGACUUUCCAAUUAUCCAGCAGUGGUACUGUUCCUUUACCCUCUCUUCGAUUUUUGAGAAAGUAAUCAUGUUAGGAGUCUGGCCCUCGAGAUUCGGAGGGCGGUGCCUCUUCGAUUUUGGAGCAAGCAAUCUUGUUGGGGGUGUUUUCUCGAAUGUGAGUAAAGGUUGGGCAUGUUUGCUAGUCUACCUUGCCACGAAGCACAGAGGAUGACACACAGGGACUUUCAAAUUAUCCAGCAGUGGUACUGUUCCUUUACCCUCUCUUCGAUUUUUGAGAAAGUAAUCAUGUUGGGAGUCUGGCUCUCGAGAUUCGGAGGGCGAUGCCUCUUCGAUUUUGGGGCAAGCAAUCUUGUUGGGAGUGUUUUCUCGAAUGUGAGUAAAGGUUGGGCAUGUUUGCUAGUCUACCUUGCCAUGAAGCACAGAGGUUGACACACCGGGACUUUCCAAUUAUCCAGCAGUGGUACUGUUCCUUUACCCUUGUGGGUAAUAAUAUGGUAGCUAGGCCGUCAAAAUUUAUGUGUCUAAACUUUGUUAGUGUUGUUUCUUUGCUAUUCUUUUACCCUUCUUGGUCAGAGCGAUGUAGUGAGAGUUGCAAGCUUCAUGUGUCUCGACUUUGUCAGAGAACUUUGGCAAAGUUAUAUGUAGUACCCAUGAGCUACUGUUGCGUGUGGGAAGUGGGUGAUUGAACAGUACGAUUCAUGUGCUUUCUACUUCGCCAGAAAUCUUCGACAGAAUGCCCAUAAUUUCCGCAAAGCUGAGUGUGCGUGUGACAGGUGCUGACAAGGCUGGAAAAGUAGUCUCAACUUUGUCAGAGAACUUUGGCAAAGUUAUAUGUGGUACCCAUGAGCUACUGUUGCGUGUGGGAAGUGGGUGAUUGAACAGUACGAUUCAUGUGCUUUCUACUUCGCCAGAAAUCUUCGACAGAAUGCCCAUAAUUUCCGCAAAGCUGAGUGUGCGUGUGACAGGUGCUGACAAGGCUGGAAAAGUAGGUGCCUCUUCGAUUUCUGAGAUCGACCCUCGUGGUCUCUGAGCAGCCCAGCUUUUGAGAAAGCAAACCUCUUCAAUUUCUGAGAUCGGCCCUCGUGGUCUCUGAGCAGCCCAGCUUUUGAGAAAGCAAACCUCUUCGAUUUCUGAGAUCGGCCCUCGUGGUCUCUGAGCAGCCCAGCUUUUGAGAAAGCAAACCUCUUCGAUUUCUGAGAUCGGCCUUCGUGGUCUUUGAGCAGCCCAGCUUCUGAGAAAGCAAACGCCUCUUCGAUUUCUGAGAUCGACCCUCGUGGUCUCUGAGCAGCCCAGCUUUUGAGAAAGCAAACGCCUCUUCGAUUUCUGAAGCUUCGUCGAGUGCAGAUUUUUAUAGAGGCUGACAUUAAGUUCCAAAGCACACUUGAAUAUCCACCAGUAGAAGCUCCAUUCUUGCACUUCUAAGAUCUUGAUUUGUCUGACCUCUUCUCUUUUCUACACCUUUGAAAAUGUCUGGCCCCUCCGACCGUCGUUUUGACUUGAACCUUGUUGAAGAGGCAGCCCCGCCUUCUCCAGACAACAUAUGGCGCCCAUCCUUCGUCUCCCCUACUGGUCCUCUUACCGUUGGGGAUUCCGUGAUGAAGAAUGAUAUGACCGCUGCGGUAGUGGCCAGGAACCUUCUCACUCCCAAAGAUAACAGACUACUUUCCAAACGGUCUGAUGAGUUGGCUGUUAAGGAUUCUCUGGAUCUUAGUGUUCAGUGUGCAGGUUCUGUGUCUAAUAUGGCCCAACGCCUAUUUGCUCGAACCCGCCAAGUUGAAUCAUUGGCGGCUGAAGUGAUGAGUCUCAAACAGGAGAUUAGAGGGCUCAAGCAUGAGAAUAAACAGUUGCACCGGCUCGCCCAUGACUAUGCUACAAACAUGAAGAGGAAGCUUGACCAGAUGAAGGAAUCUGAUGGUCAGGUUUUACUUGAUCAUCAGAGAUUUGUGGGUUUGUUCCAAAGGCAUUUAUUGCCUUCGUCUUCUGGGGCUGUACCGCGUAAUGAAGCUCCAAAUGAUCAACCUCUGAUGCCUCCUCCUUCUAGGGUUCUGUCCAGUACUGAGGCUCCGAAUGAUCCCCCUCCGGUGCCUUCUCUUUCUGGGGCUCUACCGACUGCCGAGACUUCUCCUAAGCAACCUUUGUGAAGGCUCCCUCUUGUUUGUUUAUUUUGACUCAAGUAUAUGUACAUAUUUGUAAUUUAUCGGGGAUAUCAAUAAAUAAGCUUUCCUUCAUUUCAACUUAUUGUGUUAAAUCACCAAAGCCUUCUUCGCUAAGUUCUUUGAAUUUUCUUUUGUUGAAGCUUGUAUGUUGGAGCUUUGUGAGUGGAGCAUGUAGGUUGAGGUAGUGUUCCCUUAAUUUCCCGAGCGAGGACAACUUCUCGGUUGGAGACUUGGAAAAUCCAAGUCACUGAGUGGGAUCGGCUAUAUGAAUCUUAGAACGCCAUUGUGUUCUGUCCUGUGUCAUGUCCUCCGUUAGAUCCAAGUACUCUAAGUCUUUUCUUAGGGUCUCUCUCAAAGUUUUCCUGGGUCUUCCUCUACCCCUUCGGCCCUGAACCUCUGUCCCAUAGUCGCAUCUUCUAAUUGGAGCGUCAGUAGGCCUUCUUUGCACAUGUCCAAACCACCGUAACCGAUUUUCUCUCAUCUUUCCUUCAAUUUCGGCUACUCCUACUUUACCCUGGAUAUCCUCAUUCCUAAUCUUAUCCUUUCUCGUGUGCCCACACAUCCAACGAAGCAUCCUCAUCUCCGCUACACCCAUUUUGUGUACGUGUUGAUGCUUCACCGCCCAACAUUCUGUGCCAUACAGCAUCGCCGGCCUUAUUGCCGUCCUAUAAAAUUUUCCCUUGAGCUUCAGUGGCAUACGGCAAAAUUUGGAUACUCCAGUGGUAGAUCAGGCUACAAAUUCAAAAUUCAAAACAGAAAAAUCCAAAUUAAACACAAUUCAAAAGCGAUUUAAUAAUUACCAACCACAAAUCCCCCAUGCAUGUAAUAAAAAAUAGAAAUUACACAUAAAAAUACAGAAAUAAGAAAAGGGUACCACAUAUUUUCAUGUCGCUGCUGCUCUUCACAACCCACAAAAUUCGAGCCGAAAGAUGGUGGUGGCCGUGGUUCCGUGAGAGAGAGAGAGAGUUCAAGACGCAGGCUCUGAAAUGUUGACUGGUGUUGCAGUGCGAUUCUUGAGAGAGAAGUCGAGAGUGGGUGAACUGGUGUCGCGAUGAUCUGGAUGAACUGGAAGUGUCGAGAAGAAUGCUGCUGCACUUGUAGCAAGGCAAACAGAGGCAAGAUCUGAAAUAUUAAAAAAUAAUCAAGGGCAAAAUUGGAAGAACACUAUUCACCGAAAAAGUAUGCUAAUGCCUUAUCUUCACCCUCACUUUUUAAUGAAAAUUUUAAUUACAAAUUUGCUCAUUUGUAAAAUGAUUAAUAAGGGCCAAAGUUACUCUCUUUUGUGUUAUUUUUUUUUUAUAAAAAAAUAAAAGUUUAGGCGUGAUAACUCUCACGCUCUGUUUAGACAAUUUGUCUCUCUUAAACCCUAAUUCAUCCUUCACAUCUCUUUUCAUUCAAAGAAUUCAAAAUCAUUCAAAGAAAGCAAAAAGAAUGAACUUAGAAGAUGGCCUUUAUGUGGAAGAAGUAAAGGAUUAUGUGUAGGUCGUGGCCAUCCUACAAUUGAAUAUGCAUAGCUCUAUUGCCGUGAUUUUAUAUUUAACUUUUGCCUACAAUAUUAUGAUUAGUAUUAGGUUAGAGUACAAUUUGUUUCACGUUUUCAUAUAUGUAUUCCUGAAAUUUGUAUUUUAAUUUUCAUAUGCUUUUAUAUUUAACUUUCACGUUUUCAUGGUUGUUCCAUGUUUAUAUGAUUUUCUAUUUAACUUCCACAUUUUCAUAUGCGUAUUCUUGAAAUUUGUUUUGAAAAAUAAACAAAAGCUAUUCUAAUCAUAUUUGUACAUGUCUUUCUUUGCAGCAGGUAGAUGAAUCUGGUAGUAAUUCAACAUCUACACAAAUUGGAAAAAACAUAGUGAACCAUCGUGUUUAGAAUAGGCUACUCUAUACAUUGCUCGUAUACAACAAUUCAAAUCCAUUAUAGGAUCUGCUAUCAUAACUAGAGAGAUCGUGGAGUUUGACAAAAAUCGAAGUUGGUGCAGUGCUUGUCCAAAACUUUUAAUUUUCUCUUUUUUGAUUGGUCUCCAUUAUAAGUUUUGCUAUCAUAACCUCACUCGCAUGCGUUCCUUACGAAAAUUUCCCAUUUAAAGCUGUUUCCAUCAUCAUCUAGCAUAAUCCUAGGGGUUUGGGCUUGAGAGAUGGUUUACUUGAGUAAGCUCCUCCAUUUUCAAUCCCAACCAAAUGUGUACAUCAGGCUGAAGAUUGGGUUCUCCUCCAUUUUCAAUCCCAACCAAAUGUGUACAUCAGGCUGAAGAUUGGGUUAUGGUGGGUGGGGAAACAACUUUUUAAUUUUUUUAACUUUUUAUAGUGGGUGUAAAUAUAACGUAGAUGGGAAAAUAAGAUAAUAAGGUGGAUCUAGCAGCUCUCCAAAGUUUUAGGGAAAAUGAGUGUUUUUUUUAUAAGUAUAAUGAUAUAUAUUACAUUAAUGGGAGGGGAAGUUCGGCUAAGCCACACAAUGAGCAACCUAAUUUGGUAUUGAAUUCGACAUCUAUGAUAUUCAAACAUAAGACCGCUCACUUAUAAGUGUAGAGGAAUGCCAUCAAACUAUAGUACUAAGUUUUAGUAUAUAUAUAAUUACCACCUUUUAUGAAAUAGUCAUAUCUCACGUAUUGGUUCUUAUACAGACUAUAAUUUAAACUAAAUUAAUCAAAAUUAUGAGAAAGUUAAUUCAAAUUUGAGUGUAGAAAGAGAAAUACACUGUUCUAACUAGCUUAGUUUUUAUUUUAUUUUUUUCUUUAACAAACUGUAGCUAGUGGACUAAAACUUGUGCUCGCUGUUUAGAGUGUUAAUCCUAUUGGGAAGCUCUGGAAUUUAAUUUGUUACUUUUAUGGGUAAAUUACAUAGUAGUCCCUCAUGUUUGAGGUCUAUUACAAUCUUAUACAACAUCUUUAAAACAUUUCACUUUCAUACCUCAAGUACUAUUUUAUUUCAAUUUCAUACAACCGUUAAAAAUUUUGUUAAGUUAACCGUUAAAUGAUGACGUGGCAAAUAUGAGGUCCCCAUUUGUACUGAUAUGGCUGACACAUUUAUGCCACGUGGAUAAACACUUAAUAAAAAUUUAAAAUAUUAGAAUAAUUAAUUAAAGAAAAAUAUAAAUUUAUAAAAAAAAUAAAAAAAAAUAAAAAACCCAAAAGUCCUAUUCGUCUUCCCCACCCCUUCCCCCCACCAGAGCCCAUCCCCCCAACACCCACCCCCUUCUCCCAUCCCCCAUCACCCGAGCCUCCCCCGUAACCUUCAAUCUCCAUCUUGCUCCAAAUCCGUCAAUCUCCAUCCCAGAAGCCAAAAACUGGAAAAGUUACAAAUUUUCCCACACUCAACAGAACACAUAGAAAUCCAAACAUUUCCUACCCAUUUUCUCUCAAUUUCCCUCUAACCAAACACACCAUGUUGUCUUUCGAAAGAAUAUGCAAACCAUUCCCAUUCAAUUUCAAAUCCUCAAAAACCCAGCAAAAUUAAAAAACCAAAAAACUAAAAUAUCCAAAAAUUUCCCCUCACCCUCUAUCAUUUUCUCAGCAACCAAACACAACCCAGAAUCCCAAUUAAAAAAAAAAAAAAAACCUGAAUCAUACAAACCCAUUUAGUUGAAACCCAUAAAAAAAAUAGAAAGCAAAUUCAAGAACAAUGGGAAAAUUAUCAGCCACUGGAACGCAAAAUCAGAAGCAUAAUCGAUUUGAUUCAACUCGGAAUCUGACUGAGCAAGCCCACCGUGGUCCAUUGGCAGCUAUUUGGCGGAGCUAAGGUUGCUCGGUGCGGUGUUUGAUGCGCUCAGGGAUAGACUGGGCGAAGACCACUUGGAGAGGUGGACCAGCUAUUCCAGCUCUUGCUCUGCGAGUCCAAUGACUCUUCCCCUUAUUCGAACCGGACCACCCUUUAAAACCUUCAGUGCUCGAGUUCGACCCGACCCACGAACCCCCAUUGUGACGAAGCUUCAAUCCACUCCCAGAUCUCUCAGUGCUCGAGCUCGAUGACUGAGCUUCCCUAGUUGCUCGUUACGAGAAUGGAAGAGGGUUUACUGCAAUUUAGGUUUUUACGAGCUUGAAUUGUAGAGAGAGAAUAUUAGGGUUUUUAGCUUGAAUCGCAGAGAGAGGGGGAAGCUUUAGGUUAGGGAGACUGAAUUUAAGGUUUUUACAAGCUUGAAUUGCAGAGAGAAAAGAUUGACUUGCAGAGAAUUGGGUGUGAUUUUGAGGGUUUUGGAUUAGAGGACAAGGGUGCAUAUGUGGUUUUAUGGGUGAAUGCGGGGGAACAGAUGGAAGUGGAAGGAAUUAGGGUCCAUAUGUGGUUUUGGUAGUGAAGGGAGGGGGAUGGAUGGAAGGGGAACCGACAGAGGGGGAAGUUGAGGUUUUGGUGGUGAAAGGAGGGGUCGAACGGAGGGAGGUGAGUUGGGGGGGGGGGAGAUGGGUUCUGGGAGGGAGAAGAGGCGUAUGGAGGGGUUGCGGGGAAGGUGGGGGGUGGGUUCUGCGUUUUUCAUUUUUUUUUGUUGAGAAGAUUUAGAUUUUAAAAAAAAUUAUUAUUUUUUGCCACGUGGCACACAGGUGGCAGCCACGUGGUACAAAUGUGGCAGCCACGUCAGCUCUUAACGGAUCAAUGGAUGGAAAAUGUAACGGAGGUACUAUAUUGAAAUAAAAUAGUAGGUGAGGUACGAAAGUGAAAUGUUUUAAAGAUGUUGUAUGAAUUUGUAAUAUACCUCAAACCUGAGAGAGUAUUAUGUAAUUUACCCUACUUUUAUUUGAUCUCAAAUAGGAAAUAGUUUCAGCCAAUUAUACGUAUAGACUUGCCCAACCAUUUGUAUAGGGCCAUUAGAUUAUAAUCAGCCCAAACAAAAGAGAAAGAAGCCACACUUUCUCGCUAAACCUACGAACCAACAAGGAGAAAUCUGUGUUCUUCGUAUCAUCUACCUUUCCUUUUCAUCUAUUACAUAAAUAUCUUCUUUCAUUGCUGACUAGUGAAGGCAAUCUAAAGAGGAGGUGGCGGAUUUUAAGAAAACGAUGGAAAGCUUAAGCAGAAGGUGGAGGAUUUGGGAGUGUGGUGGAGAGUCUAUGGCUGCAGGUGGCACAACCAGUGUAUAUAGCUGAGUAAUCUUAAGCUAUGAAGCGGGUGGUGGAAGGUCUAGGUUUAGGUUCCAAUCAUGACAUAUUUUCCUAUAAAUAGAUGCGAUUUGAGUAGGAAUUUUUAAAGCAAAAUUCGUUCAGUUUAUUUUACAAAUAGAGAGAAUUUGAGUGAGAAUUCUGAAGAAGAAAGAAAGCGGUAUAAGUUUGCACAUGAACGCUUAAGGGUAAGAAUUUCUCUUUUGGGUGUCGUGAGUGGUUCUUUUCAAUUUGAUUACCACGUUUGUAUUCUCUAUUUUGAUAUAAAAAAUAUUUAAAAAGAAAAAAACCCUUCAAUACCUAUUUCAUGUUCUUAAUUAUGAUCCUAUUUGAAGCUCUGAAAAGUCAAAAGAAUUUAAGUUGCAAAGUGAUCAUAGAUUUUCUAAGCACAAAUUUUAGAAUUUUUAGAUUCGUAGUCCCUUCUUUCGUCCUUGUUUUAUUACAUUACAAAGCUUGUUUUUCAAAAUCUUUUAGGAUUUAAGAGUGAUUCAUAGCUUUAAAUCGAGUAUUUACUCGAGGAUUGUCAAUGAGAUUUGACCGGUCAAAACAUGUUCAAAAAGUUGCCUUUGAAUCCAUGUAAAACUGUGUAGUUUUUCUGCACGUACUUGUUUUAACUCAUGAUUUCUCUCACUCCAAAGUUCGGUUUUUAACAUAAGUUAUAUCGUUGAAAAGAUGGUUCUUCAUGCUUUCAAACGGGUAUAAAUUCAUAAAUUUUCAUUGAGAUUUGAUUAGGCAAAAAGCUGCUUGUUUUAUGUCCACAAAACUAGAAUAAAGUUCAAUUUUCUGCAGUUUCUCUUUGGUAGAGAUGAUGAACAGUGAUUAUAUAUUACAAUAUUCUUAGUUUUGGUUUGUUUGUCAUGUUCCUUUACUCUGACAUUCAGCUAUAGACUCGACGGCGCAAGAGCUCAGGAAAGCUAAGGAAAGAGAUUUUAGCUUGCUUGGAGUCGAGGUAAGGGAUUUAGAGAUUAAUAAUUGAGUAGAACUUUAUGAGUAAAUUAUUUACUUAUUUUGAUAAAGUUUAUAUGCUUAUGUUUCUAUUGUAAUUGAGUGAUUUGCUUACUUGAUAUUAUGAAUCAUGUAUUUGAUACCUUGGUGCCUAUCAACCAGAAUAAGAAUAGGAAAGCUGAAAAAGAUGAAGCAUAGAAAAGUAGUGGGUCCUGACAGUAUACCAAUAAUACUAUGGAAAGUUUUAGGAGACACUGGUAUAGCAUGACUCACAAACAUUUUCAUUAAGAUUUUGAAAACGAAGAACAUGUCCAAUAAGUGGCGAAAAAGCACUUUGGUGCCUAUCGAAAUAAGUAUGAGUAGAAUAUAUCCAAGGAUGUGUUUGAUGAAGGGAUGCAGUGAGAAGUGAGAAUCUAUGAAGGACAAAUUGAAAGCUUUCCCAUUGCCAUAGGGUUACAUCAAGGCUCAGCUUUAAAAUCCUUACCUUUUUGUAUUGUUAAUAGAUGAGUUAACGAGACAUAUUCAAGAUGAUAUCCUUUUAUGUAUGCUUUUUGCAAAGGAUAUAGUGCUAAUAGAUGAAAUGCAGGACUGAGUUAAUGUGCAGCUAAAGGACUUCGUCUAAGUAGGUCAAAGACAAAGUAUAUGGAGUUCAAAUUCAGUAAAAAUGAGGGUCUAAAUGAGAUAGGGGUGAGGAUUGAAGAUCAUGAAGUACCAAAGAGUUAAUGUCUUCGUUAUCUCGGAGUUGGUGAAGGCAAGGGUGGAUGUAGUGGUGUUGGAUAGCUCACAGGGGAACUCCAUUUAUCAGAUUGAGACGAUAAAGUAUGUGAAGACAAUGUACUCGAAUUUGAAUGUAGUUGAUGGGAAUGUGGUGACGGUGAGUCAGGCGCAGAAUUCGAUUCAGCUGUGUUGAUGGGUUGAGGGUUGGAAUGGGGUCUGCCUCAAUUUGUACCGCUCAAGAGGUCUGUGCCUUUGACCACGGACAGGUGUAAAGGUGCCCUUUUUUUUUUUUUGUUUAGUUGUUGCUUUUGUAAUCGAUGCUUUAGUCUGUGUUAUCAUUGGUGGUGGCUAGAUUAAGCAUUUGUAAAAUCUGGAGCUGUUGAAAGUUAUGAUAUUGGUAGUGAUCGGUUAAAUUGCUUAAAUUCUUUGUGGAUGAGAAAUAUCUGAGUAUGGAUUUGUUUAAUCAAUGACAUUGUGCCGAGCAAUCGUUUUUUUUAUGAUUGUUUUACUAUCUUGUUAUUAGAUAAUUCGAAACGUAGGACAUAGAAAACAACAGUUUGACUUUAGCUUCUGGCAGUGACAACUGACAACCCUUUGAGGUAAGUAGACCAAUUUGCAUACGUUAUUGUGUUACUCUAUCAUUAUUAUUAAGGAUGUCAUUCAAUCAGUCAGUGCAGUUUUUAUGAAUUGGAGUACUAAUCAGUUGGCAUAAUUGGAUAAAUGUUAUGUGCACAGAUUAAUAGAAGCAUGCCAAUUUCCGAAAGGAUAACAAUACAAAAGCAGAAUACAUACAUACACGUUGAAAACCAACAAGAGAGUUCAUCUUCAUCUUUUCAGAUGGGAGGUCUCAUCCUUGCAUAAUCCACAUUCUUCCAAUAUCGACCAAGAUUUAGAAAGUAUCUUUAAUCAAGUUUAAUCUGAAAUAUUAUUGCAUAAUUAAUAAUCUUUAAUCAAAUGACCUGAUCAAUCAUCAGCCUUGCAUGGUAAAGCUUAAACAGAAACAUAAUUAAAGCCUAGCUAUUCCUUUUCUUUUGUAAAAAAAUCCUUACGGUCCUCCAUCGCGGAUAUAUCAGGCAGAAUUAUAAACAUAAUCUAAUCAUGUAGAAGCAGUGAUCACCCAUUACGGAUAUGCUAAGCAUGAUCACCCCUAAAAUACGUAUGGCUCCCAUCACAGAUAUACUAAGCAGGACCGUAACCUAAAACUUUAGGUAGUGAUCACCCAUCGUGGAUAUACCAAGUAUCAUUACUCCUAGAAUGUGUAUGGUCCCCCAUUGCAGAUAUACCAAGCAGAACCAUAGGCGUAGUCUAAUCAUGUAGGCAAUGAUCACCCAUUGCAAAGAUACCAAGCAUGAUCACCUUUAAAAUACAUAUGGUUCCCCAUCACAAAUAUACCAAGCAAGACCGUAACCUAAAGCUAUAUGUAGUGAUGACCCAUCGCGAAUAUACCAAGCAUCAUUACUCCUAGAAUGCGUAUGGUCCCCCAUCGCGAGUAUACCAAGCAGAACCAUAGGCAUAGUCUAAUCGUAUAGGUAGUGAUCACCCAUCGUGGAUAUACUAAGCAUGAUCACCCGUAAAAUUGGUAUGGUCCCCAAUUAUGAAGAUACCAAAUAGGACCGUAACCUAAAGCUCUAGGUAGUGAUCACCCAUCGUAGAUAUACCAAGCAUCAUCACUCCUAGAAUGCGUAUGGUCCCCCAUCGUGGAUAUACCAAGCAUGAUGACCCCUGAAAUACGUAUGGUCCCCAUCGUGGAUAUAUCUAGCAGGACCAUUCAUGUACCACUGCUACAUGGUGCAAUUAGACCAACACACAACAUACCCUUACCUCAAUAUCUAUAUUUACAACGGAAGCAUAUACACUAUCAAUUUCUCAAAACUAAAUAUCUUGUCAAACAGGCAUAUAAAUUCAACUUAAUGCUUCUAGUAGGGUUCUAGGCUCACAUUUCAUACUAGUAAUCAUACAUAUCAUUUAUCAUCAAGAAGUUCACUAAGCUUGUAUCUGACAAUUUGGUUCCACUUGUAUGUAAACCAAGGUGCACAUCACCCAGGAUGGCUCGCCGACCAAGGUAGGUCCACUAGGUUCAAUUAGGUCUCUAGUCAUGGUACUUUCUGUAUUUGAGAAUGAUUCGAAAUAUUUUGACCAAAAAUCAAUCAUCAGUCAACGAAAAGUGAAGAACACUACAUAAUUUAAUCCGGAAGAUCCACCCCCUAGAUUUAAGAUCCAUAACCUCCUAAGAGUCUCAAUAGGUUUCUAAAACAACAUACUAAAAUGUUAUGACAAUCUAACGGUUGGAUCUCCGCCCAUUGCAAAUUUAAGUGACAGUCAACGAUCGGUUCUACAAAUGUAGAAUUUCAAUCCGGAAAGAUCCGUACGUCGGAUUUCCGACCCCGUAAGUUUCUAAUGUACUUAAACAAUACACAUAACAACAUACUACAAUUUUACGAUGAUCCAACGGUCGGAUUGGCGUUAAUUAAGCUUGUUUUUCCGACCAACUUUGUUUUUUAACAAAUUUUGCUGGCAAGUAGAUCUCAACUUAAGGAACAAUUUUCAUACCUGUAACAAAGUCCAAUUCGACCGGGAAGACGCUGAAAUCUGCCUGAAAUCCCCUCAAACCGCCUUGCCGUUUUCGUUGCAAUAUCAGUGAAAGGUUAGUAUUUAUAAUUUCUUUUUUCGUUUUUGUUACGUGUUGAUGCAUGUUAAGCCUAGUCUCUUCCAAUCUUAUAUCCUCUUUUCCAUUCAAGGUGAGCAAUUUCAAUUUUUUGGGUUAUGGAAUAAUUCAUGUGAAUAAUGUGGAGUUGGCCAAUGAUUAAAAAAAUGCAUGUACAAAAGCAUGUUCUUUGACUCAGUUAUUAGUUUUGUUUUAGAACAUAGUAAUACUAAUAUAUAUGUUUUUUAGCCGACCCCACUUAGUGGGAAAAGGCUUUGUUGUUGUUGUAUUCUCCGGCAGCCCCAAGUUAAUCAAUGACCUUUUGGGAAGUGAACGUUGUAGAAGUAUUUGUUAGAACUGUAAAGAGAGAAAGUCUUAGAACUCGAAUCGGUAUUCCUAUAGCUCUAUUCUAUUUCCUAUGGAAAAUUAGUGAAUCAUUUGUUGUUUUUAGGAUUUUUUUUUAAAUGGAUUUUUUGUAUAAUAAAUUUAUUGUUUUAACUCGACAAGCGUAACUCAUACACUUGCAACCUAUACUAUGUUGGCAUCAAGUUUGAUAUUCAUUUCUGUAUUGCAGCAUCAGUGUUCGCGUCAGGAAUUUCCGUCGGGGAUGUCUCCUGGCCGACGAGCACACAGCUCCCCUGGAGGUUGGCGCCGGUUUGAGGGCUGCUGUCGAGCUUCUGCUUCGCUGUCGGGCUUUGUCGGGCAAGUCUCGUCGGGCAAGGCUCUUCGGGCAAGGCUGAAAGAGAAGGACAACGUUAACUUUGAGAGGUGCCUUUGUGGGGCCUUAGGUGUUAACUACAUUGCAGUGUUUGAGAAUUGAAGGGAAAAUCAAGAAGAAAGAUGAAGAGAAGAAGAACACAGAGAGUUUGAGAGAGAGAGAUAUAUAUGCUUUUGUAUUAACUAAUAGAAUGAAUGUUACACAACUGUUUUUAUAAGAGAAAGUCUAACUACUCUAACCAAAUACUAACCAACUUACUAACUGUAUGUAUUGCUGACUUGUACCCUUAAUACUCCCCCUCAAUCUCAACUGGGGAAAACCCAGUUUGAGAUUGGAAGAACAUAUCUGCAAUCACUGCUAUGAAGCUAAACUCUGCACAAACCCAGACCUUUGUCUCUAGUUGAUCUUUGAAGCACAAAGCUGUUUUAAGUCUAAAAGAUAUGCCAAUCCAACCUACUGAUCAUCACAGCAGCUUUAGUCUUUAGAAAUCUGGAAGGAGAUGAGGAAGAUUCCCAUAAGCAAGAAACUUAAACAAAACUGUGUUAUACCACCAUGCGUAUACAUAUGCAACAUAUGACACAUAUCUCCUGCAAGUUCCCCUAUUCCAACUAUGGGAAAAAAAAAAGUUCAGUUAUAUGGACCUCAGCAAUACCAAUACCCCUCUAUUUCCAGCCUUUCAAUUCAACCAAUGGACUUGUACCCUUCUGCCUCUAACCAGAGUUGCACAAAGAAUCACAUGAAGUGCAUAUAAAAUUUCACAUAGAAUAGACGGGAAACGUUACAUACAGUCAUCAUAGGGCCUUCACAAAGAAUCACAUGAAGAAUCUGUGCAAAUUCUUCUCCAGCUGCAGUCAUCAUAGGGCCUUCAGGUUAUGGUACUGAACAACCCAAGUCUCCAUAUGUUAGUGUAUCACGAAGCACCCCCUAUCUGCUUAAUUUGUAUUCAUCUCAUGAACAAUUUCAAGAACUACCCAAGAAUUAUAGAAAACUUGCAAGAACGGCUUUGUGCCGCAAAGAAUCGCAAAGAAUAUACAAGAUAAUGGCUUCGUGCCGCAACAAAUUCAACAAGAAAAUGGCUUCGUGCCUCAACAAAUCAACAGGAAAAAUGGCUUCGUGCCUCAACAAAUCAACAGGACAAAUGGCUUCGUGCCUCAACUAAAAUGGCUUCUUGCCUCAACAAAUUAACAGAAUACUGGCUUCGUGCCCCAAGAAACAUAGUAAAAAAAAAAAAACCCAGAACAAAUCACGACUCCGAAACGAAACAAAUCACCUGAGAACCGCAGAGAUGAAAGAUUAAGCAUAUUCAGAGCUACAACUUCAACACGAACUCCCCAAAAAACCCAUAACUGCCGAGCCCAAGAACAUUCGUGUACCCACAGUGGAUUCGCAGACCCAUUUCCACAAACACCUUCACAUGAAAAUUUUGAGUUUGGCAUUUCGACAAACACCUGGAGUGCACCCAUGUCUGAUCUUUCUUCCAUACCAGAGAACAGAACAGAGAUCAAAGAAUUCACUGACCCAUUUCUUCAAACAGUUGGAGUGCACAAAAUUAGAACGUGAAAAGCUCCUAAGACCAGAAUCCACCUUCAACUACCAGAAAAUCGUCAACUUGAGGAUAUGGAAUUAGAGCAACUGGAUCUUUCUUGUCCCACCAACCUUCCACCUUUGACCACACAAGAUCUGAAGAAGAAAACUUCAGCGCAGGUCAAUCUGGGCUUUUCUGGCAGAGGCAAACUUCAAAAGCUAGUGGGAAGGGCCUCUCUGUCUACGAUUAGCAAUCCGGUGUCGAAAUGAAGGAGGAUUCAUCGCGAUCAGUGGUGAAAUCUCAAUUCAUAUCCCAGAAAAAUAAACCAAGAACAAUCACGGAAGCACCUAAAAUCUAAUGAAAAUUUGAGGAGAAACUUAACUAGAGGAAAAAAAAAAAUGCAAACUACUAAGAAGUGCAACCACCAGAAUCAUGGCCUGAGCUGGUGGCUCUGAUACCAUGUUAACUACAUUGCAGUGUUUGAGAAUUGAAGGGAAAAUCAAGAAGAAAGAUGAAGAGAAGAAGAACACAGAGAGUUUGAGAGAGAGAGAGAUAUAUGCUUUUGUAUUAACUAAUAGAAUGAAUGUUACACAACUGUUUUUAUAAGAGAAAGUCUAACUACUCUAACCAAAUACUAACCAACUUACUAACUGUAUGUAUUGCUGACUUGUACCCUUAAUAUUAGGUGUAAGCCUUGAGGCUCACAAUCAAGGUUAACAUUUAGGUGCUCAGGCGUGCCACUGCCAUCUUUAGCAUGGCAGAUGUAAAAUGGAUAUCGCUUUAGUUGCAUGUAUGUAUGUAUCCAAGAAACCGUGUUAGUUAUAACAAGUGCCUUUGUGGGGCCUUAGGUGUAGGCCUUGAGGCUUCCCAUCAAUAACUAAACCGAUGCUUGAACACAUCAUAUUUGUUCUCGUGAUUGCCGGAGUUUUCUAACUAUUAUACUUCUGAUUACCCGAGUCCAAGAAGUAGAAUGAACCCAAAUAGGUGCCUUUGUGGGGCCUUAGAUGUAGGCCUUGAGGCUUCCUAUCAGAGUUCAUUCCUAUACUUAGACUCUUUAGAUCGCUGAACGGAAUGAAUCCAAAUGGAUGCCUUUGUAGGGCCUUAGGUGUAGGCCUUGAGGCUUUCCAUUAGAAUCCAUUCCAUGCUCAAGCUUUCUAUAGUAAUCAUGAUAUAAUAGAAGGAAAACUAGAGGGUAGGUUGAUUACUUGCGCCCCAAGUAACUUCGGACUUCUCGUUUAUCAAGGACUGUCGUGGAUGGGUUAAGUCCACAUAAGGUUCUUUUUUAUGCCUUGAGGCCAAGGACUUUUAACUGAUCAGAUUUACAUGCCCGAUGGCUUAGGACUUGGAUCUGGUUUGAACACUGACGAUAUAUUCAAAUCGGAUUCAAGUACUGAGAAAGCCUUUUAAUAGUCAUAUUGCUAGAAAUAACUUGCAUAUAACUGGAAGUAUACAACAUAUUGAAAAGACAAAAACAAAGCAAAGAAGGUCAGGCAAGGUUAAACCUUAUCGGGUAAGGUUGCUCGUCUUGCAGGUUCCUAUCUUUGUAGUUUUGUCAAAGGUCUGAAAGCUUAGAGGGAGAGAGAGAUUACAAAAAAAUGAAUCGAUACUAGCAAGGUUGAACAAGGUAGCAGAGCUAUUACAAAGGGUUGAAGAGAGGGUUAUCCCGAGGGGGAUGAAGGUUUGUCCCGAAAGGGAUGAAGGCUGACUACAGCUUUGUUUUGAAGGCAAAUCUGGUUUUGAGCAGAGUUUUUGCUUUUGUUUGUUUGUUUGAGUGUCCUUAUUCCUGGUUUCUCCUUCUUCUUAUAUAGACAACUCGGCUUGGCUCCUUGUAGCAGCAGCCUUGCCCGAAUGCGGUUUGAGGGUGAUGACUCAUCGGCUUUUUUACAUGGACUGCCAUCAUAAAGUACUUUAUGGGCUGUGUAGCUGAUCAGUCUAUACCACUUGGCCUUUGGGUAGGUAAGCAAGUGGUCUUCAUGAGCUGCACCAAGUCAGAAAAGGCCCUUUUUGCCUUCUGGGCUUCGACUGGGCUUCGACUAUCUUAGUCUUUAUGCAUAUUUCACAUUGAGUUGUCAAUGGGAUUGUUCCUUAACUAGACAAUUGUUACUUGGAAUCUGUAUUUAUGCCGUUGCCAUGCAUCGAUCUAUCUCAUGAAUCUUCUUAUGAUCAGUUAUUCUUUUGUUUUGCCAUGUGAUCCUUCAAACAGAUGCACCUGCGUUCUUUUCCGGAUUUAUGGAACAUAGAGAAAAGGUAUUCAAGCUUUCCUUUUUCUUUGUUAACAAAGAUCAUUGGUGCUUAUUGUUUUCCUUGGCUAUCCUACUUUUAGAGUAGGUUGUGGUAAAUGUCAACCCAGUAAUUAAGAAGUGACAUAUUUUUUCUUUGAUGUGUCUGAUAGAUGUAACCUGAAUUGAUAUUUCUUCCUCAGCUCCCUGCGGAUUCCAUAUUGAUCAAUAUGGAUUAAUUAUGCAACUCGAUUGGAGUUUGAAUGUAGUUUCAUAUUGUUAAGCCCUUUCAUAUGGAUGAGAAAUAUUGUUAAUCCCCACUUGGAGCAGCCUGUUCAUCUUUGAUAUCUUCAUCGCUGAUCUCUCUGUCAUCAAAUCCUGCAUCAAAUAAAGUUAAUUAAGACAUCAUUCAUCCCAUACAUUUAGUUUUAUAUGAAACAAAUUUCAGCUAUAAUUGGUUGUAAUAGUACAUGGCUUGGUCUUUGCAGGAUCUUUGGUCUUUGAAAGUUUUAACAUUUUGGUUUUCGCAUUUGAGCUUCGCAGACCUCAUAAGCUUUAUCAGUGCUUUUCUGAAAUUUGGAGGUUUGCUUUCAUUUAUCUUUGUGGUUUUUUUUUUUCACUUACUGGUUGUCUCUUAGACUUUGAGAAUGUAACCUAUUCAAGUUGUCUGCAGGAAGAGAGAGACUGAAAAGCAGAUAGACAAAGCCUUCUUGCCCUUGGCGAGGAAGAGAUCAAGCUGCUACUUUGCGUAUGUUCGAGAACGGAACACAAAGGCAAAGCUCUGUCAUGUUGCACAUUUUGUACUUUUAAAAGUCCUCAACAUCCUCAGUCCAACAAAGAUUAAUGAGGUAGCUGUCUUUACAUACCUUUGCGCUUGCGUCUAUUUAAGAUUACAAAGGAAAGCAUAGCAAUCCAUAGACAGCUUAAGGCUUGACAGUGAUUUUUGGUUUUGUCAGAUAAAAGGCGUUGGGGAAAUCCUUGAAGGUCUCCCCUCAUAUUCUCAGAGGCAUUUUAGCCGAAUGGACAAGCACGAAACAGACACAUAUUUGAACCAGAGACAGAUACAAGGGUAUUGCAUGACAAGUCUUUGAUGUAGUAUAAUUUAGAUACAAACUGAUGACUGUGAUCAAUUUAUUUUCUCUUUGUGGUUUGUAAUCAGAAAUCCACCAUUUUAGUUAUACAUAGGCUUCUAAUGUAAAUCCAAUAGAAUAUAGAUGCAAACGGAUAGAAAUAUUUCUACCGAAUGGAUUUAACUGCUUUGACCGGUUUUUUAAUUAUUUAGAGAUGAAUGUGUAAAAUUGUAGUUACAAUUUCAAAACUUGCAGUAGAGUGCGGACAUUUUUGCUAGUGUCAACUAUGAUCAAACCUGAGCCAAACUGAAUCCAAAAUUUGGUGCAAUCAUUCAUCGACAACCAGUUUUUCUUGAGGAACUGUUGUAGACUUGUAGUUCCAACUUUUAGCUCUAAGCAAUUCUGUUGCUAAUUUUGAGGCUGAGACGUUCAGACAUGAUGGACCCAUGUCUAUUCCUUAUCGUUGUCACAUAUAGCCCACUCAUGUUGCAAAUGUUUUCUUUUCACAAUAGAUUUUUUUUUCUUGGACAAUCAAAACACCACACUGUCCCAUAAAAAUAAGUUAACCAUUGUAUGUGGGACUCAAUUACAGUAAAAUGUGUGUCAACCAGUUCUGUUUGUCUAAAUAACAUAAUUCAUAUUUCUAAGCUAAAAUUGCAAGUUUUUUUAGUUGACUAAGUUUUUUAGACUGUACACGAUAAGGGUCUGUAAUAGUUAAUUUUUCAAUUCGUAUUAGUCCUAAAUUUUAAGUCUAGGUAUUGCAUGUAGUCCAAUAUCCUAGCUAAUGGUUAGGGAUUUGGGUUUCUACCUAUGGUUUGAGGUUCGAAACUCAUUUUUUUUCUUUUCUAAAUUAAUAUAAUAGUUUUGAUCCCUCUCAUAAUCUCAUUCCCCUUAAUAAUAGUAAAAAAAAAAAAAUUUAAAAAAAAAUAGUCUAGCUGUUGAAGACUAGCGAUAUGUUAACAAAGAGCAGGAUUCGUGAAACUCCAAUUGGUAAGUAUCAUGUUACAUCCUUAUAGGAAAUCAUAUAUGAGAAUUUGGUAACGUGAGAUCAAAAUAUAUUUGCAUAGUUUUUAGGAAAGAAAAUCAAUUUGAUUUGGCUUUAGUGUAUUUAGGGCGGUUCGUUGGUGGGCAAAAAAUUAAAUUAGGUUUAACCAAAUCAAAUUCAAUAUAAUCUUGGGAUAUUGUGAAAGGGGUAAAGUUAGGGAGAUUAAAUUUGUAGACAAAAUUUACAAACUAAAGUCAUAAUUCAAUCAUCAACUCUCAUGUCAUUCAAUUUGCAAAAUUUUGUUUACAAAUUUAGUCUCCCUAGUAUUUUUGUGGAAAAGAAAAAAAAAAACCAUGAUCAACGGCAUGGUGAGCAAGUUUUACAGUUUUGCAAAAUCAACGUUUUGAGCCUGAAUUUCAUGUAGCAAAGUUGUGGAGCUUAAUUGAGAGUUAGACAUAUCAUUCAUUAUGCAUGAUCAAGCUAUGUUCAAAAAACUUCGUAGAGGUGUGCAAUCAAUAGGAGACGAAGAGAUGCAAGUACGAAGACAAGAUGGCAAGACAAUCUAUUAGUCGGUGUCUGGUAAGUUGUGUCCAGCAGCUAGUGUGUUGAAAGUAAUUAUGCCUAUGCACCAUGGUGCGAGUUUGAUUUCUACCAAUUCUCUUGCAUCCUAACAACUAUUAAUUUAAUCCACUAAUGCUAUUAUUUGUUAAAAAAAAAGGUUGUGUCUUGUAUGAGUUUUGUACUUGUUUGUUUGACAUUAGUGAAUUCUUUAACCGGCAGUGUGCCCAUGAAAUUUUCUGAAUGUGUGGGUUUUUACCACGUAAAAGAAAAAUCGCGUGUUCUCAUCUUCUUAUUUAAUAUAUUUACUUGUUGCUGCAUUCCAAGAUUGAAACGCCCGAGUGUCUGACUGUUUUUACCUGGGCUGUUUCUUUGUUGGGUUUUGGUUCCUCAAUCCAUCUACAUUUUCAUAGGCUGAUUUUGUUUUAUUUUAUUUUAUUUUAUCUCAACAUAUAUUUUGAUUUACAAACAAUGUUCAACACGAAUCUAGAGGAAGGGGAGAUAAGAGCAUUUGAACAUAGAAUGCAACGGGUUGAGCAUGAAGACAUUAAUUACCAGAGCAAUUCACAUGUCUUAUAAUUUCUUGUAUUAGUAAAUCAAUUGAUUCUUCACUAUCCUUUUUGUCAGUAACCAGAGUGCUAAAAGUUAAAAGAGUGAUUCCUAUUUUUUAAAUGAAAGGUAAUAUUGUUAUGAUGUAAUAUAAUGUUGAAUAAUGAUUUAAUUGUAAACUUAAAGAGAAGGAUAAACAAACUAAUAUCGAAUAAGAGCAUAUUGAAUUUCAGGAGUCGACUAAUAAAAUGAUGAGAAACAAUAAAAAUUAAUUAUAAACUAUGAUUCUUAUUCAAAGUGUCACAUCCCGGCCCGGGGUCCACCACAUCCCGCACUCGCUCCACUAUCGUAGCACGAUAUUGUCCGUUUUGGGCCCCGAUUACGCCCUCACGGUUUUGUUUUUGGGAACUCACACAAGAACUUCCUAGUGGGUCACCCAUCAUGGGAGUACUCUCGCGCAAACUCACUUAACUUCGGAGUUCCGAUGAACUCCGAACAGCUCCCAAAAGGUCUCGUGCUAGGUAGGGAUGAGAAUAUACAUAUAAGGAUCACUCCCCUGGGCGAUGUGGGAUCUUACACAAAGACACAAAAUAAAGAAGAUUACAAAUUGCAAGCGACUUUUUUUUUUGAACAAUCAAUAUUAUCUAUACCAGGGGGUGAGGGGUGUGCUUAGCCUCACAAUAGGCUAGCAAUAAUGUGGUUCAAGUUCACUUUUGGCAAGAAUUGAACAUAAGUCUCUCACUCAUAAGUGAAAAAGAAUACCACUAGACCGUAAUACUAAGUGGCCGACGACUUUAAUCCAAAAGAUUACGAACUAGUUUGGAUGUGCUAUUAAAAUGACUGAAAAUGUUUUUGGAGAAAAUGUUUUUGGGUUCCAGAAGCACUUGAAGUGCUUUUUACAAGAAGCAUCAGCUAUGUGCUUCUUCGAAGAAGCACUUUAAGUGCUUUUCCAAGAUUUACUUGCAUUUUUACUAAGGAUUGUUUCCAAAAGUAUUUUCACCAAAAAUGCUUUCAGUCAUUUUAAAAGCACAUCCAAACGAGUUCUACAUCUUGCCAGAGCUUUCGAAAUUACAAAAGGUAUAUUAAAAAUUAGGAAAAGAUAAUGCUAGGGAGACUAAAUCCAAAGACUAAAUUUGCAUAACUAAAUGAUGUGUCACUAAUGGAAAUAAUAUAUUAAAAAUUAGGAUAAGAUAAUGUUAGGGAGACUAAAUUUGAAGACUAAAUUUGCAUAACUAAAUAAUGUGUCAUCAAUGGAAAUAAGCACGUUUAUCAACGUUUAAGUAAUAAACUAAUCAUCAACUUUUAUGUACUCUUCAUUUUUAAAAUUUUAUCUACAAAUUUAGUUUUCGAAUUUACAAAAGGUAUAUUAUAAAUUAGGAAAAUGCUACGGGCACCCACACAUGCAUCAUUGCAUCUUUAAAUAAAGGGGCUUUUAGAUCCAGGUCAAAAAACAUAGAAUGUUUUUAGGAAUGAGUCCAGUUAUCUAAUUACAUGUUUUUAUUUAUUUUAUACUCAUUUUAUAUUUUAUGAAAAUAUUAAAAAUCAAUUAAAAUCUUUUCAUAUUAUGCAUUUUCCAACUCCAAAAAAUAUAAUUAAUAUCUUAUAACAAAAAAACUAAGAUACUAACAUAAAUUUAUCUGCAAAACAUUCUACCCUAACUCAAGUAACAAAUAUAUAAAUGUAUAUUAUACCUAUACGUGAGAUAUGAAACCUAAUUAAAAGGUAGAAAAAACAUAACAUACCUACAAGUAAGACACAUUAAUCUGUGAUAGGUUGAUUAUUAAGAAAAAAAAAUCUGUCACAUAGAUAGAUAAAUAUAAUUAACCUGUGAUAUAGGUUGAUUACAAAAAUUAAAAAUAAAAUCUAUAAAUAGGGUUUAAAGCAGAUGGAAGAAUGAGAAAUAACAAAAAGAUAAAUAAAAAGAAGGCUUUUUAUAUUAGCACCCCACAAAAUGUUGAAUGCACCCUACAUUAAAAUUUAAUAUUAAUGACUUAUUUACUCUACUAUGUAAUAACAAUUUUGACCUUAUUAGGUCUAAAAAAUAAUAAAAUUUUUAUAAAUACACCCCAAUUCACUUUUAACGUAUUAUUUAUCUAUUUCAACUAUCAAAACCCCUCACAUUCUCCAUUGUUGAAUAAAAUCCUAAGCAAUGAAACUAGAAACAUGUUGAUUGAGAAAAAUAAUUUUUGACGAAUGGAACACGAAAUCGGUGUUUCGAAAGCUUUGAAAUCAUUAUUAUUGUUGUUGAAAAACGUUCAAAUGAACCUAAACAUUUUUUGAAAGCAUUCAAUUUGAAAUCAUUCGGCAAAAUAAAAAAUGAGUGUUAUAAGAUUUGAGAAAUGUGGGGUGUGUGUAGAAAAUAUAAGGUGUAUAUUACGAAUGUGGGGUGUGAGGGUAUUAUGGGGAAGGAAGUGAGGUCUAUUAAAAUAAUUUUUAAUUGAAAAAGUAAAUGUGGGGUAUAUUAAGUAUGUGAGGUUUAUUCAACAAUUUGUGAGAUGCUAAUAUAAUAAGCCUAAAAAGAAAUAAGCAAAGAGAUAAUUGGGAAGAAAUUUGAUUUUAACAAUAAAUCUUAUCAUUGAACAGAUAACUAUUGAUAAUUAAAUAAUUAAAUAUAACAAAUUGGACUUAUUUUAAUAAACUGGACUAUUUCUACUAUUGGCUCAAAAAUUGGACUUAUAUCAAGUUUCCCCUUCAAUAAAUCAAAGUUACAUAUGGGUCCUGCCACUAACACAAUAAAAAAUUAACUACCUAUUUACUCUCUCUCCUUCACCUUCUACCCAAACCGAAGAAUCAAGAAGUCUUAAACAAAUGCCAUUUCCGCUUUCUUUAUGAACUUGGUCAUGGCUACACAGUUGCAAACACUCCAUGAAAAACUUCACUAAACCCCAGAUCUGAAUUAUUUAACGGAAAUAAAUAUGAAGUUUUAAUUGUAACUAAAAAUCCAAAGAUCUAGGGUCUGUUUGGUAUCAUAUUAAAAAAAAAUUAUAAUUUUUCAAAACAUUUCUUAAGAACAUAUUUUAAAAAUAAUUUUCAUUAAGAUUCAAAAACUUGUUUGGUCUGACAUUCAAAAUUGUUAUCAAAUUUUGAUAAUUAAAAGAAAAGAAAAAAAAUAUCUUAUAACAACUCUUCAUCAGUACUACAUAAUGGAAUUGGACAUAUAGAGAUAUUUAAAGAGAAGGUCAGAGAAGAGGGAGAUUAGAGAAAGAGGAAAAAGAGAGAUGAGAGAGAGAGAGAUCAGAGAGAAAUAUGAGAGAUAUUUUGAGGAAGGAGAUAAGGAGAGAAAGAUGGGAGAGAAAGAUGAGAGAGAAAUAGAAGCCAAAGGAAAGAGUUUGAGGAGGAGGGGAUGAGAGAAAAAGAAUGAAGAGAGAAAUAAGACAAAUAUUCGAGGAGGAGGGAGGAGAGAGAAGAUAGAGAAAUUUGGAGGGGAGUAAGAGUACACUAAGUAAGAUAAAAUAGAGAGAAGAAUUGGGAAUGAGAGGAGAUGAGAGAGAAAAAUAGUAGGUUUGGAAUUUCAAAACUUUAAAAACUCAUUUUUGUUGUAUGCAUAAUUUACUGAAUAAUUAUAAAGGAUAGAGAGAGGGGUGCGGCAACAGUAGAGAGAAGGAGAGAGAUGUGUAAUUGUAAGGUGUGUGUUAUUUCGCCCUAUUGUGCCUUUGUUUCUAAUAGUAGGGAAUGUAAACUCCUUAUUCGAAUAGGAUUACAACUCUAAUAGAAUAGUAUAUAGUCUAAGAGAUAUCCCAAAUAUGAUAGGAUUUAAACAAUCACAUUCCUAAUCUAAUAGGACUACAACAUUCCCCCUUGAGUGUGUAAAUACUCAAGUAAAUGGCACAUCAAGUCUUCAGCGAUGAAGUAAGUACAGUUGAUGAAGUUGUCUACACAAUGAGCAAAUGCGAGUCUCAAAACAACGGAAGAAUGCAUAAAAGGUAAAACUCAUAAAACCUUGCUAUGAUAAAACCCAAGGUGGGAUAAAAACCCAUAAACUAGGGAGAAAAGUGAGAAGUUGCAUUAAAUCAAAAUUAUACGUCUUUUGUACGCAAGUAGAAGAGCUCACUAGUGUAUGACCAGCCCAUGAUAGGUGUCUUGUCAAAACCUAGUUCGGUAGCAAAAACCCAGUGGAAAAAAUGCUCUUAAUCGUAAGGAAAAAGAGUACAUAAAGAUCAAGUAAGUAUACUUCUGGAUACCCCCCCUGAGUUUGAUAAAACUUCCAAAUAACAACUACAAGCAUUGCAUAUGAAUAGUUAGACAACCAAUUCCUCGAACAAGAUUCUGGAAGGUUAACUUCGGCAGUGGCGUCGUGUAGAGGUUGGCAAGAUUGUCUAGGAUCAGCUUGCAUGACUUCAAUCUCCUGAUGCUUUGCUCAUGUGAUGUUGACACAAUAUGUCUUGACGUUGACUUUAUUGAUGUAUCAUGUCUUGGUCGGGUGGAUACAUGGGGCAUAGUCUUCAUGGAUCGUCGUCGGGACUCAAUGAUAGAUGAAAACAUCGCAAGUACUUUGAAUAUGCACAACUAGAGCUCUUAGCCAUGUCUCAUAUGUGGCAUAAUGAAGUGAGGUGAGUCUUGAAACGAUUCGAAGAUUUGGCAACUAAGGUCAUAUCGUGAACCUCCAAGAUAUUACGAUAUCCCUAACGGUAAAGGCAUAACCAUUCGAAGAACGUGCCUUGUGUGGGUUUGAUAAGUAACAUACGUUAGCAUAACAAACAAGACAUGCAUCAUUCCGAAGAUCAAGGAGGUCAGAUCCAUUCAGGAUGCGUUGGGAUUAGCCUAAAUCCGUAGUACCUUUAAGGUAGUGGGAAAACAUAUUUAAUAUUAAUUCAGUGGUUGCGUGUAGGCGCGGUGCUGCAUCUUUUCUAAUAGAUCAACAACGAAUAAGAUGUCUUGUCUAACACAAUGAGCUAAGUACAUCAAAGCACAAAGUUGAACUUUGAUAUAGAAUUUCAAAUUCCAUAACCUCUUUAAGGGUCUCAUUUGCAUAUAGUAUAUGGAGGGUCAUAUGUAUACUCAAAGGUAAUAACUUCGAGGUGUAGUUCGACUAAUAGACCAAAGUACAGUCAGAAUAACGCUUGAACUUCAAGUCAAGGCGUAUAUGAGUUUCCCAAGAUCUUUCAUCUCAAAUUUCAUCUUCAGGUGCGAGGCAGUUUUCUUAAGCUCUUCUAGAGUCUUAGUGAGAUUCAUGUCAUGGACAUAAACUGUAACUCUAGCAAUUCGGAAUAAGACUUCAUAGUUUAACAUGCAAGGGCAUAAUUCACAUCACUAAUCAAAUAAUCACUUAGACGGGAAUACCAAUUUCUUUGGAUUGUUUCAAUCCAUAAGUGAAAUCCUCAAACAAGUUAAGAUGGUGUUCCGUGGUUUGGAACUAUUUGAACCAAUCCAUGUAAUUCUUCGGGAACUUACAUGUAAAUUUCCUUAUCAAUAUCCACAUGGAGAAAUACUAACCACAUUUUACAAUGCUGCAGUCAAUCACAUGGCAUUUAAGAGAAACCUUGCAUCGUAAAGCGUACAUUAUAUCGCACUAUUUCAUUAAUCUCAUUAUGCUUCAUUUCCCACUUGUAACACAGCAAGGUUACCUUGGGUAGUGUAGGAACGAUAGGUCCAAACACACUUUGGUAAGGAAUUAAACUUGGAUUGUAAUUUUGAUUGUCCAAUCAGUUUUACGUUGUCACUAAUCAACGUAACAUGGUUCGAUAUUGUCGCUUUUCAUUUAUAUCGGGAGUUACCAUAUAAGUGAAGACAUCAUCAAUGCUAAUCUCAUUCAAAUUUCAUUAUCUCAUCCAAACUAGUAUACUGGACCAAGAACUUUAAGUCUCGAGAGUAAUUCAGAUUAAUCUCAUGAGAUGGAAAUAAUUUGAGACAUCGGUCAAGUAUAGAUUUAUUUUGUGUCGUGAUCUUCCUAUUCUAGGGAAGUGAAUCCUAUGAACUGAGUGAUAUGUCAUGCUUCAAGCCAAGACAUAUUGACUUGCUAUCCGCUGGUGUACUGGAUUGUCCAAUAGGGACGGCACACCCUUCGGGGAUGUUAACUCGACAUCUGUUAAGUACAUAUAUUUAUAGGCAUGUUUACAGCUAGUAUUUGAUUUUGUUACUUUAGCUAGAUCAGAGGAAUAUGUUUGGAGCAACAUUCUAAAAGCUAGAAUACAUCGCACUUGCUUAUCACAAUUGUGUGGUACAAGGAUCAAGAUGAGACAUAGUGGGCAACGUCCAAGCAAAUUCACACUGUUCUUACAGGAACGUGGACGUUCUUAUCUCCCCUUAACGGUGGGAAGACUGUCUCAUUGAAGUGACAAUCCAUAAAAUAAGCGAUAAAGGGAUCGUUUGGAAAGGCUCUAAAGAGCUAGUGUGAAGGAGGAUCAUGAUGGACAAAGAUUCAAAUCCUUCUAUGAGGACCCAUAUUGGUUUGUUGUAGUGGCGCAACUUGGCAUAUGGAAUGCACACCCAAAACACGUAAGUACCAAACGUCAGGUUCGUACCCAGUAACCAACUGUAACGUUGAAAAUAGGUUGGGUGGCAAUGGGCCUCAAGGCGGACUAACAUAGUUGCUUACAAGAUUUCAUAGCCCUAGGCAAAAACCCAAAGCUUGGUGCAUUUACCAAGGUUCGGGCAAUCAUUAAAUUGUGCUUUAUGAUCACUCAACGAGGCUGUUUUGGGGUGAACAUAGGAAUUCGAUGUCUAAUUAUAAACCCAAAAGACAUGUAGUACUUUAUUAAAAACCGUUGAUAUACUCUCCGACAUUAUCCAGUCUUCCAGACUUUAUGGGAUAAUUAGAGUGAUGACCCCUAAAAUCGGCUAGGAGGUAGCAUCAAUGUAUGUGGACAAAUAUGUGACCAUUUGUCGAUAUAUCAACCAAAACCAUAAGUAUUUAUAUGGUCUGUAUUUUGGUUGGAUUAGUCCUCAUAUAUUCCCUUGAAUUCACUGUGAAAAGAGGGUCAUUUUGUACCUUUGCGAGGGAUGAUAUAGAAAUCAAAUUUCCCAAAUGAGCGGGUUUGGCAAAGUGUGCUUGUAAGCACGUGACCCUUACUUCGGGUAAGGAAAUGCGUUGUGGCAUCAUUGUUUGACCUAAGUGUCCCAAAUGAUCGUGCCAAAAACAAGUAAACUGCUCGAAUCACCUAACUCCAGACCAGCCACAUGUGGUGUGUCACUAGCUAGAGACAGCCCAUUGACCCCAAAAUAUAACUUUGGGCUUUGUAUUUUGAAGGUUGUGCUAAGAUAUUCCACUCUAUUUUCUUCAGUGGUUUCAUUCAUGAUCAUUGUCAUCCAAAAUGGGGAGAAUGUAAGGUCUCUUAAAUGGUAAGUUAGUACUAUCCAUACAAUAAGGAGUGUGCUAAUGCUCUUAAUCAGGUUGGAUAGAUCUGAAGUUGUUGCUAGAGAUGUGAUUUAUAUAAAGUUAGUGUGCGUAGUAUCGCAUUCAUCUAGAUAACUAACUUUCCCACAUUCGUACCUAAUCACGUGUUUAAUUGAAUUCAGUCACAUGCUGAAACACCCCAACCCCAUUUAUUUUAAAUUAAUUGUUUGGACCUAAAUUGGUGAGCCAAGGGGCCCACCCUUUUUUUUUGUCUCUCGGUCUCUCUCCUCUCUGCCCUUCCCUGUGUUCUCCCUAUUCUCUCUCUCUCGAAAUCUUCUCUUCCUCACUCCCCGAUCUCUCACCUUUCGACCCACACCUGAGAGCACCCACACCUGCAACUACAUUACUCGAGAACAUUAUCAUCAUCAAGCAUUGCUCUGGUCUCUCUUCUGUCGCAGCGAGAUUGGUGAAAGUAGAGAAAAGAAACCUCCGGCGAGCACCCCCCUUUUCGAGGUCAUUUCCGGCCAAACCACCACGAGUUGGCUGGCGUGGAAGGUAUCAAUCUCUUCGUCUCCCUGAGUACUACAACUUUCCUUUUUGUUUCACCCAAUUUUGUUGAGUAUUGAAGAAGUUAUACUCAUUUGAAUCUUACCCAGUUUCCGCGACCUCCGAGGCUUUCGAGGCAUUUUCCGGCCAAACCAAGAUGAGUUAGACGUUGUGUGAGGUACCAUUCUCUUUGUCUCUUCGAGGGCUACAACUUUCGUUCUUGUUUCACUUGAUUUUGUUGAGUUUUGACAACGUUAUGCCCGUUUAAAAUGGGUGUGGAUUUCCGGCCGAAUUUCCGACUUUCUCUCCCAUUGGGUCUGGCGACCUACCAAAACCCAAGCCUUUGGGCCUUCCCUACCAAGCCCAACCCUUUUGGUUGUGAGGCCUUUGGACCGUGAGUGUGUGUCUGGGUGUGUUUGUGUAGUGUGUGUGUGUGUGUGUGUGUGAUGUGUGUGUGUGUGUGAGUGUGUGUGUGUGUUGUGUGUGGGUUUGGGCCUAAGCCCAAACCACCCCUUUUCACCCUAACCCUUUUUAACCAAAAUCCUUAGGACCCAAAACCCAAAACCCAAUAGAUCCUAAUCCUAUUUAACCUAAACCCUAAUCCGGAUUUCAAGCCUAAAACCCAUUAAACCUAAUUUGACCGUUGACCCCCGGUCAAUGUUGACUUUAGGGUUGACUUUUUGGGAUUUCGUCUCGGACCCUUCUUAGGGUAAUUUGACAUUCUGAAUCUGUUUCCAAUGUCCAUUUUCUCAAAUUCAAUUGCUAUUAUAUAGUUUUAUUUAUUGGACUCUUUAUGUGCUUAGGGGCAAUUAUUGUGACGUUUCCGUCUUCGCUAGUGGCGCAGUUUUUGGCAGCUAAGUACUGUGAGUGGACCCCUUCUAAAAUUAUAUGAUUUUAUGGUUUAAUUGCAUAAAUGAUUAGCAUGCCUACGAAUUUAUGAUUUGAUUUAUAUCAAGCCUGUUUACUAAAUAUGUUUAUUUUCGUCUCGUGUUUUUGGUAAGGAAUCAAUUGUUAGCCUAUAUUAAGCUAUAUUUUGAUAUAUCGUAUUUUUUAUAAAAACCAUGAACUAGUAGACUAUCUGAUGGAUGACGAUAGGAUGCUAGAACAUGUUUUCAAAACCCAUCUUUAUAGUAUAAACGAUGGAUGACUUUAUACUAUGAAAUGGUUAUUUUUUAGAGGCGUAACUAUUUGUGCGUACCUAGUGGACACUAUACCGCCUGGGGCGAGGAUCUGGUGUUGGCAUUUAGGCCGGGAGAAAUAAUCCCUAGCUACGGGCUGAGAGACCACGGAGCAGGCAUUGGGCCGGGAGUUGGUAAUCUCUGGCUACGGGCGCAGAGACCACGGAGCAGGAAUUGGACCGAGAGUUAUAUUUAUUUAAUGAUCUUUCUAGCAGCACACCGCGCUUACGAGACGAUCUAUGAGACGUUUACUGUUUUGAUUUUUGCGAUGAUAUUCCGCGAUAUGACUUUUGAGAUAUUUUUGGCAUGCUAGGAUUUUUAUUGAAUCCAUCACUUUUUAUGCUAGUAGUUUUCAUUAUAUAUAAACUGUGGGGGUUAGUACAUUGAUAACUGUUUUAUUAUUAUUAUAUAUAUAUGAACUUGGUCCACUCACCUUUGUUUUGCGCCCCCAUUCAGGACUUAGGAUCAAGGCACCUAAUCCCGGCGUCAAAACACUUCCGCAGCAGCAUCUUUGAAUCAUCUCGAUGUAGGACCCACUUCUUUAUUCAUUCAAUUUUAUCUUAAUUUUUUUAGUGAUUAGUUUAGUUGUAUGCUCUGAGCACGUUCCUAAAUUAUUAUUUCAUUGUAUUUUAAAUUUCUAACUCUUAUUUACUUCUUAUUCUUAGCUUUUGUAUCAAUUAAUGACUUUCGUCACCCUCGGGUGUCGGCCAGCACGUGUCUAUCCUGGUAUUCAGGGAAUAUCAGGGUUGGGGCGUGUCAGAUUGGUAUCAGAGCAUACUUAGGAUCCUAUUCAAUUCUCGUUUUGUGUCGGUUAUGACAUCAUUUUGAUGUCACGACUUCCGAAAUUGCUGUCUUUCAGCGCAAUUGUGCAAAUCUUUCUCUGUUUGAAUUGUCAUCUUUUGGUUGAAAUACAAGAGUUCGUGUCGGGAUUAUGCCUCAUAGGUGAUGAAUUGGUUUGCUGGAUGACUUUCAGCAUCAGAACGAUACUUUGCGACGUGCGUUCCCUAGGGAUGGCGGACAAAGUCAUAUCUCUUGGAAAUUGCUUGAAACUUUUGAAGUGCGUGUUGUUAAUAGUGAGUAAGUGAUAAUUGGUGGAGUAGAAUCAAUGCUCUUGAAUUGAUUUCCACUGAAGAAGUUCGUGUAAAUCUUUUAAACAAGUCAUCGGCGAUUAUUCUAUCGAUAACCUUCUUGAUUUCUCUAGCGACGAAGUCAAGUUCCUUAACCUUUGACCGUUAGCUUUACACCAAAUUCUUCGAGUGUUGAUUUUGUUUACAUUAAUUGCUUUUCUUGGGAAACUCCUCGGUAACAGACGUUCUCAUCAAUUUCGAAAAGCAGUUGCAAUUCUUAUUGUUGUCGUAGUUGGAAUUAGAUGAUGAAGAUCCAAACUUGUUUGGAUAAACAGAUUCCUUUAAAUUCACCUAGGUUUGGUACUAGGUGAAAAACCCUAGCUCAUUGUCCAUGUACUUUUCGAUACAGAUGGACUUAACUUCUUGCUUGUAGCCUAACUGAUCAGUACUCUUGUCCACUAAAUGUUCAGCCUUGUAAUUUUCAGUGUAAUGGCUUGAGACUCUACCAUAUUCAUCAUUGUAUGAAGAUCGAGGUUUACUCUGAACUUCUCUGGACUCAUUGAGCUUUGGUUUUCUCAAGAGCAUCACUUUAAGGUAGCCAAUCGUGUCACUGCAUGCAUAUGCAGGCUGUUUUGUAUCUUUCUUCUUCGUCAUUCUGCUGAUUCAAAGGUUCUAUGUUUAAUUUUUGAACUUUGAAACAGCUCUCACAAAGUAUUGUGAAUUUUGAAAUUUUUUUAGCGUCAUCAAAUCUUAUCAACAGUUCUUAACUAUUCUUGAGCUUAGACCUAAUUCCUUUUUGGCUAGGAAACCAGUUGACCAUACUAUGAUGAUUUGCAAAAUAAUCAUAAACAGUGACUUCUAUUUUUGCAUUUUCACCUUCCUUUGCUUAUUUGUCUCUCAUUGUGAAACUGGAUCAUUCCGUCGGCAUGGUUUUUAGUUCAAAUCUCGAUAUCUUGUACUCUGGAUUGUAAUGGACUUGUUUUGACCCUCAAAUUCUGGAGUAUUCUCUCAGCCUUUCCGACAUGGUUUCUCGCUCAAUUAGUGAGGAAUUCAUGAUCGAUGGAUUCGGCGGAAGUGUGCACCCAAUUCUUAUCAAUUUGGACAGGAAUGUUGGGAGCAUAAUCUUUUCACAAGCUUACUAGACUUACCAGAAAGAGUUCCAUGUGGGUAUGAGGUUUAAGCUGUAAUUUGGUAAGAAACUGGUGAAGAUUGUAGUGCAGAUGAUUGGCAGAUUACAUCACUAUUUUCACACUGAAUUGAAUGGUCACCACUCAUUAUCUUGCUACAAUUAAUAACCAUCAUGUCUUACCCUGGUAGACCCUUUCGAUGAUGUGAUGUGUUCGCCUAAACGCAGAUUUCCACUACCUCUCACUAGGAUCCUUCAAUUCGAGAGCACGUGGGCGUGAGGUUUAAGCGGUCUUUUAGUAAGAAUUGGUUGAAGGUUUUAGUACUGAAGGUCAGCAUAUUGUAUCACCAUCUUACUACAAUUCAUAGGCAUCACAUAGGUAUCUCAAGGUACAAUUAUCAAGUGAGUUCCUCGUUGACAAAAUUUUGGAGUUGCUGGUCACAUUUGGAGGAACUGAGAAGAAUAGAAUCCUUAGUGCUAGUUAGAGUUUUGACGACGUCAGUUUUUGUUUCGUUUGGUUUGGGGUACGACACUUUUGCGACAUGGUAUGAGAGUUUUCCACGGGCCACAUUGGUUGUUAGAGGAGUUGUGCGCACUUGUAUUCGGAGGAUUGAAUUUACGACGUGUGAAAUUAUUCAUCCUCAGGAAAUUACUGCUUGCUUAUCGAGACAACAAAUGUGUGAUCGAUAUCACGGGCGGCCGACCAGUAUAUCAAUAGCUUAUUUGUUCGGUUCGUUAAGCAAGUGGGCAAGAAGAUUCGUCUACAGCAGUUGAUGCAGAUUUGGAAUUGUUAUUCUUGGGAUUCGACCCAAAGACACAUCUAUUCUCGGAGUACGUGAUGUUUCGCAUGCUUCGUCAAGACCCACUCUCAUUUUCAGUUUUGGUUUUUCAGUAAAAGUAUUUUAAUUUCCAUUACUAGUUAUUUAUUUUUGUCGUUACAAAUGUUUUUGGAAAAGUAUUUCUGUUUUCAUUUUUAAGUUGAUUUGAGUUUUUGACCUAUAUGUUAUUACUUAUCUAUUUUGAUGUUAUCUGGCCUUAAAUUAUUUUGUGUUUUCGACUUUAUAUUUUAUUAAAGUAUGUUUUCUACUUUUACACUGAUGGGGAAAGAAAGUAUGAGCCUGGAGGCAUCAAAGAUGGAAUCAUUGCAACCGAUCGCGACAAUGUGGCAUUUUCCCUUUUGUGCAACCGCUCUUACCUGAUCUCUUCAUUACGUAUAUGUAUAUUAUUCUUCUUCGUAUUUUCCAGUUUUCCAGUGUAGUAAGUUAUUUUAAAUUUCGUGGACGAAUAUUAUUUUAUAAGGGUGGUAGAUUGAAACACCCCAACCCCAUUUAUUUUAAAAUAAUUGUUUGGACCUAAAUUGGUGAGCCAAGGGGCCCACCCUUUUUUUUUGUCCCUUGGUCUCUCUCCUCUCUGCUCUUCCCUGUGUUCUUCCCCUUCUCUCUCUCUCUCUCUCGAAAUCUUCUCUUCCUCACUCCCCGAUCUCUCACCUUUCGACCCACACCCAAGAGCACCCACACCUGCAACUACUCUACUCGAGAACAUUAUCAUCAUCAAGCAUUGCUCUGGUCUCUCUUCCGUCACAGCGAGAUUGGUGAAAGCAGAGAAAAGGAACCUCUGGUGAGCACCGCCCCUUUCAAGGCCAUUUCCGGACAAACCACGGUGAGUUGGCCGGCGUGAAAGGUAUCAAUCUCUUCGUCUCCCUGAGUACUACAACUUUCCUUUUCGUUUCACCCAAUUUCGUUGAGUAUUGAAGAAGUUAUACUCAUUUGAAUCUUACCCAGUUUCCAACGACCUCCGAGGCUUUCAAGGCAUUUUGCGGCCCAACCACGGCGAGUUAGACGUCGUGUGAGGUACCAUUCUCUUCGUCUCUUCGAGGGCUAUAGCUUUUGUUCUUGUUUCACUUGAUUUUGUUGAGUUUUGACAACGUUAUGGCUGUUUAAAGUGGGUGUGGAUUUCCGGCCGAAUUUCCGGCUUUCUCUCCCAUUGGGUCCAGCGACCCACCAAAACCCAAGCCUUUGGGCCUUCCCUGCCGAGCCUUACCCUUUUGGUUGUGAGGCCUUUGGGCCGUGAGUGUGUGUGUGGGUGUGUUUGUGUAGUAUGUGUGUGUGUGUGUGAUGUGUGUGUGUGUGUGUGUGUGUGUAUGUGUGAGUGUGUGUGUGUGUGUUGUGUGUGGGUUUGGGCCGAAGCCCAAACCACCCCUUUUCACCCUAAGCUUUUUAACCAAAAACCUUAAGACCAUAAACCCAAAACCCAAUAGAUCCUAAUCCUAUUUAACCUAAACCCUAAUCCAGAUUUCAAGCCUAAAACCCAUUAGACCUAAUUUGACCGUUGACCCCCGGUCAACGUUGACUUUAGGGUUGACUUUUUGGGAUUUUGUCCGGGACUCUUCUUAGGGUAAUUUGACGUUUUGAAUCCGUUUCCAAUGUCCGUUUUCCCAAAUUCAAUUGCUAUUAUAUAGUUUUAUUUAUUGGACUCUUUAUGUGCUUAGGAGCAGUUAUUGUAACGUUUUCGUCUUCGCUAGUGGCGCAGCUUUUGGCAGCUAAGUACUGUGAGUGGACCCCUUCUAAAAUUAUAUGAUUUUUUGGUUUAAUUGCAUAAAUGAUUAGCAUGCCUACAAAUUUAUGAUUUGAUUUAUAUCAAGCCUGUUUACUAAAUAUAUUGAUUUUCAUCUCGUGUUUUUGGUGAGGAAUAAUUGUUGGCCUAUAUUGAGCUAUAUUUUGAUAUAUCGUAUUUUCUAUAAAAACCAUGAACUGCUAGACUAUAUGAUGGAUGACGAUAGGAUGCUAGAACAUAUUUUUGAAACCCCUCUUUAUGGUAUAGACGACGGAUGACUUUAUACUAUGAAGUGGUUAUUUUUUAGAGGCGUAACUAUUUAUGCGUACCUAGUGGACAUUAUACCGCCUGGGCGAGGAUCUGGUGUUGGCAUUUAGGCCGGGAGAAAUAAUCCCUAGCUACGGGCUGAGGGACACGGAGCAGGCAUUGGGCCGGGAGUUGGUAAUCUCUGGCUACGGGCGCAGAGACCACGGAGCAGGCAUUGGGCCGAGAGUUGGUAAUCUUUGGCUACAGGUGUAGAGACCACGGAGUAGGCAUUAGGCCGGGAGUUAUAUUUAUUCAGUGAUCUUUCUAGCAGCACACCGCGCUUAUGAGACGAUCUAUGAGACGUUUACUGUUUUGAUUUCUGCGAUGAUAUUCCCCGAUAUGACUUUUGAGAUAUUUUUGGCAUGCUAGGAUUUUUAUUAAAUCCAUCACUUUUUAUGCUAGUAGUUUUCAUUAUAUAUAAACUGUGGGGGUUAGUACAUUGAUAACUGUUUUAUUAUUAUUAUAUAUAUAUGAACUUGGUCCACUCACCUUUGUUUUGCGCUCCCAUUCAGGACUUAGGAUCAAGGCACCUAAUCCCGGUGUCAAGACACUUCCGUAACAGCAUCUUUGAAUCCUCUCGAUGUAGGACCCACUUCUUUAUUCAUUCAAUUUUAUCUUAAUUCUUUUUAGUGAUUAUGUUUAGUUGUAUGCUCUAAGCACGUUCCUAAAUUAUUAUUUCAUUGUAUUUUAAAUUUCUAACUCUUAUUUACUUCUUAUUCUUAGCUUUUGUAUCAAUUAAUGACUUUCGUCACCCUCGGGUGUCGGCCAACACGUGUCUAUCCUGGUAUUCAGGGAAUAUCAGGGUCGGGGCGUGUCAUAUGCAUACAAGAAACAUGAUUUAAUUAACUCAUAUUUGAGAACAAUAUCGACAACAUUAUCUAUAACUAAAACAUACACCAAACUUGAAUCCAAGAACAUAGUAAAAUGUUCCUGAAGUUACUAAGGGGAUUCACCAACAAGGCCAUUCAUGUCAAAAUUUUUCUCUUCCAACGAUGUUCAAUGGUGCAAAAUUAGUCUCACAUGUUGACUACGAGAAUGGUACUCCUCAACAACAUUGGUAAAGGCACGAACAAGUACAUAACCAAUGAUUUCUUCCAUUAAGACGGAAGUAGAUUAUGCAGGGUUGAGGUUCGGGAAUACUAUCUUUAUUCUUGAAGUUUUAGGUCUUAGGUGCCAAGGAUCAUGAUUUUGGCAUGAUGCCACACCUUGGCAAGCCCUGAUUUUACCAUAUGUUGUUAAAACAAACUCGAAAUUUGAUUGUGAGAGAGAUAGACCCAGACUUGGGUUCGAAAGGUUCCAGCAGAAGCUGGAGAUGUCUGUUCGAUACGCCUCUGCUGAAGCAGAUGAUACAUUUCGGUGGGCUCCAGUCGAAUUUGGGUAUCACCAUUCAUUAAACUCCUGCCGAAGUUGAGUCAAUACCGUUCUCUCACAUUUGUGGUAUUAAUCAGAUCCAAGAAUUUGGUAAACUUCUGCUUUCUAUAAUGCCACUUCAAGAGAGAGUUAGAAACAUGGAAGGACAAGAAAAGAAUUCUCCAGUCAAAAUUCUAUCUAAUUUAUUAAUUUUGGAAUCGUACUCAUUCAAGGACGUAAUCAUGGUAUGCUUCAGGCAAUGUCUUUCAUGAUUAGAUGUUUUAUAAGAGUGAGCCAAAGAGCCAUAAGAUCUUCAUUAGGGAGGUACUUCCGUUUGUUAUGCUUCGGGCAUAAGUCUUCGAGUGAAAAACAUGGUGGAGGCCUAUUCAGCUUUUUCAUGCCAUUGUUGGCUUCAAUGGUUUCUCAACUUCUUAAUAGUCAAGUGGAGAUUCAUAUCUUAUACCCACAUAAAGUGGUUUCUGUUAGGAACGUCCAAAUCAGUGAAAUCAAACUUGUGACAGUUCGACAAUCCAUUGAAUAGAUGGAACAAGAUUGUGAUUGGUGCUAUGGAAAUAAGAUAUCCAUGAGCUUCAAAGUUAGAACAUUUCAAGUUCUAAGACAUGGUGUACACGAAAAACGUCGGGCUUUCGUGGGUGUAUUGUUUUAUGAAAACUUUAGGUUUCAAAGGCACUAAAUUUGAAAAUACAGGUUCAAUUUAGUUUAUAAACGUUUAGUUCAUAAAAAAAGGUUCCUGGAAGAACACAUAAUACAAGGUACUGAUUUAAAUGUAGUGGAUUUGAGUUGCUUUAGGAACUCAAGUGUGAGUGUUUCAGGACUACAAAAGGAUGUCAACGGUUCAAAAAAGAAAAAUAAAUUAUUGAAUCGUUAAUGUCCAAAAGUGAUAUUCAGGCUAAUAAUUUUGAAUUUAUUGUCAGAUUAAUGGACUGCUGGUUACUUUAAUUAAUUCAAUAGAUCAGGACCAUACAAGAUCGAUCGUGAAAGCAAAAUAAUGAGAGACGGGUCAUUUUAGCUUCAGAUGGCUAUGAGCAAAGUGACAAGUGUAUUAAAAAUUCACUCUUCAUGAAUUCCACCAAAUUUCAGUAAUUUUAUAAUUAUUAAUGUGUACAGAAAUUACUGAAAUGACAGCUUUCGUUCCCUCUUCAUGAAUUCCACCAAGUUUUAGAAAAACUGGUUCAUUCCCUCUACAUAAAUUCCACCAAAUUUUAGAAAAACUGGUUCAUUCCCGAAUUCCACCAAAUUUUAGAAAAACUAGUUGUUUAUGAUUACGUUUUUCUUAUGACCACUUAAAAAUGUUUCCACAAAUUCAACCAAAUGUUUUAAUAUUUCGAUUGGGAAAAUAAGUUAUGAUUGUUCCAAAUUUUCAAAAUAUAUUCUUCUUCGUUAAUAUUUUUUUUUUCCAACCACUUCAAAAUGUUUCCACAAAGCGUUCAUUUCAUUGGACAGUUUAUAGUUUUCAAAGAAGGCAAUGCAGUGCAUAGUCUUUUUCGAAUUCCACAAGGCAAGAACAAAAAAAUGAAAACAAAAAAAGUAGAAUCAUGAGAGAAGUAACAAAUGUGCUUUCAUUUUUUUGGUUCUUGCCUAAAAGCACCAAAAACCAAACCAGACGUAGAAGCUAUUGUCAAUGGCACACAACUUCUACUAAACCAAUGUGCUUUGUUUUACCAACUCUUGACGAAUUGUAAAUUAUAAAUUAAGUUGUUAUUUUUAAAAGCAUAAAAAAUCAAGUAUGUAAGCGAGAGAGAAAAUCUAUGAAGGGUAAAUUACACUUUACCACCUCAAGUUUGGGGUUGAUUUCAAUUUCUUACAAUAUCUUUAAAACAUUUCAAUUUUAUACCUCAAGUACUAUUUUAUUUCAAUAUAAUACAUCCGUUACAUUUUCCAUCCAUUGAUUUGUUAAGAGCUGACGUGAUUGCCAAAUGUGUGCCGCGUGACAAAAAAUAACUAAUUAUUUAUUUAUUUUUUUAAAAACCUGAAUCUUCUCAAAAAAUUAAAAAAAAAAAAAAAAAGAAAACACAGAACCCACCCCCACCUUCCCCGCAACCACUUCCCAACCCUCUUCUCCCUCCCAAGCUUCCCAACCACCUCCCUUUCCUCUUCUCCCUCCCAAGCUUCCCAACCACCUCCCUUUCCUCCACUCUCUUCACCUCCCCUCCAAUCCAAAAACCCACCCCACCCCCUUUCUCCCUUCUCUCAUCUGCAACCCCACCCACCCUUCUUUCCUUUUCUACUCGCACCCACCUUCUUCCUCUCCUCUGCAACUCCUACACAAAAAGUUCAAAAGUUCAAAUGAUACGCCCCGACCCUGAUAUUCCUCGAAUACCAGGAUAAACACGUGCUGGCCGACACCCGAGGGUGACAAAAGCCAUUAAUUGGUUACAAUAGAAAUGAUUAGGAGAAAAUAUUCAUGGAUAACCUCAAAAUUUAAGAGUAAGUAACAAAGUUUAAGGAAUUGUCUAGAGUGCACAGAACACAAUCUAAUUCAAGAUUUACAAAAAGAAAGAUCAUUACAAGAUAUCACACAAGUGGGUGAUAGAUUGCUAUUGGUAGGGAAAUGACUCGUACGUCGAGUCGUUGUCCUCGUUUCUAUGACCUGAAUGGGGGCGCAAAACAAAGGUGAGUGGACCAAGUUCAUAUAUACAAUAAUAAUAAAACAGUUAUCAAUGUACUAAUCCCCAUAGUUUAAUAAUGAAAACUACUAACAUAAUAAGUGAUGGAUUUAAUCAAAAAUUUAGCAUGCCAAAAAUAUCUCCAAAAUCAUAUCGCGGAAUAACAUCGCGGAAACCAAAGCAAUAAACAUAUCAUAAAUCGUCUCAUAAAACGCGGUGUGCUGCUAGAAAGAUCACUGAACAAAUAAACUCCCGGCCUAAUGCUUGCUCCGUGGUCUCUGUGCCCAUAGCCAGAGAUUACCAACUCCCGGCCCAAUACCUGCUCCAUAUCUCUCAGCCCGCAGCUAGGGAUUAUUUCUCCCAGCCUAAAUGCCAACACCAGAUCCUCGCCCCAGGCGGCAUAGUGUCUACUAGGUACGCACAAAUAGUUACACCUCUCAUAAAUAACCACUUCAUAGUAUAAAGUCAUCCAUCGUCUAUACUAUAAAGAGGGGUUUCGAAAACAUGUUCUAGCAUCCUAUUGUCAUCCAUCGGAUAGUCUACCAGUUCAUGGUUUUUAUAGAAAAUACAAUAUAUUAAAAUAUAGCUCAAAAUAGGCUAACAAUUUAUUCCUCACAAAAAACACGAGACGAAAAUCAAUAUAUUUAGUAAACAGGAUUGAUAUAAAUCAAAUCAUAAACUCGUAGGCAUGCUAAUCAUUUAUGUAAUUAAAUUAUAAAAUCAUGUAAUUUUAGAAGGGGUCCACUCACAAAUAUUCCUUAGCAGUAGAGUUGCGCGGAUAAGGAUUAAGAAUUUCCUCACUAGCAACUUCACCUAAGCACAAAAAUGUAAUAAAUAAAUAAAAGGAUUUUCUAAAAGAUUUGGGCUUGAACUAAAUUAAAAUAAAGGAUUUGGGUUGGAUGGUUUAGGGUUUAAUAGAUUUUAGGGUCCUAGGAUUUUUGGGUAAAAAGGGUAUUAAGGUGAAGAAUGGUGGUUUAGGCUUAAGCCCAAACACACACACACACCAUAAGCACACACACAUGCACGGCAUGCAUAUAUACACACGCACACAUACACUUAAACACACACACACACACACACACGGGCUGCACAAAGGCCGGCCCUCACAGCACACACACACCCACAUAAAGGCCCCAAGGCCUCACAAAAUAAAAGGUUGGGCUUGAGCCUUUUAACAAAAACCGGCCCAAGGCCCUUUGGGUCUUUAAAACAAUAUAACUAAAAAUAAAAAUAAUGCGGGCUAGGGUUUUGGGCUAAGGCACAACGGGCUUAAGGCCUGUGGGGGGUUCUAAACAGCCUGAGAGGCCUGGUUUGCCGAGGAAGAAGAAGGCUGGAGCUGCUACAGCUCCGGUAACCUGAAAACGGAGGUUCUAGACUCCGAUCUAAGUACGAACAUGAAGAACAAGGUGAGGGGAAGAUAUUUCUACCUUCAAAUAAUCGUGACACGGUCGAAGGUGACCGGAAAUCCCCUCGAAGCACAAGGGUUCGCCGGAAAAAUGGGUGUGCUCAACCCAACUCGAUUCCGAGGCAAAACCUACGUAAAAAAGGAAGGAUCUAGCUCAUAAAACACACCCAAGCAUCACGAUAAGAGAGAGAAGGAGAGAUUCGUGACUUACCCAACGGAAAAAGAGGAGUUCGUCGGAGCUUUUGCUCAUGUACCGUAGAACUCACAGGGAGGAAUUCCUGGGCUCGUUGUGAGCCUCCCUUGGUGGUGACACGGUCCCAGUGUCCAGAGGAAGAGAGUGAGGCGGGAGGUUGAGAGAGAGAUAUACGGGAGAGCUGAGAGAGAGAGAUAUGGGAGAGAGACGAAGAAGAGAGAGGUCUCGGGGGGUGACAGAAAGAGAGAAAUGAGAGGGGGUUAGAUGGCUGCCACGUGGCAGUUUAGGGUAAGGUUACAUAAAAUACAUAUUAUUGGGGGUGGUUGUAACAAUCUACCCCCCUUAAAAUAAUUUGUCCUCAAAAUUGCAAAGUUACAUGAAAAGAAAAGGAUAUUGAUUCUGCAUUGAUUCCUCUGUCUCCCAAGUAGCUUCUUCAACUACAUUGUUCCUCCAUAGUACCUUUACCAAAUGAAUAACUUUGUUCCGCAACACCUUAUCCUGUCUGUCAAUGAUAGCCACCAAUUCUUCUAUAUAGCUAGCAUCCGAAUUUACUUCCAAUGGUUCUAUCUGGAUGAUAUGAGAGGGAUCUGGUACAUAUUUCUGAAGCAUGGAAACAUGAAAAACGUUAUGGAUCUGAGACAACUCCGGUGGUAGCUCCAACCUAUAAGCAACUGCACCAAUUCUCUCAAUAAUCUGGUAAGGACCAACAAAUCGAGGACUCAGCUUUCCUCGCUUACCAAAACGAACAACACCCUUCCAGGGAGAUAAUUUCAAGAACACAAAGUCGCCCACUGAAAACUCACAAUCCUUGGAGUGCUUAUCUGCAAUACUUUUUUGUCGGUCUUGUGCUACUUUCAAAUUCGCCUUAAUCAAUCGAAUAUUAGCUUUGGUGGUAUCCACAAUCUCUAGUCCUACCAACGGCCUUUCUCUUGCCUUUGUCCAACAUAAUGGCGUCCUACACGCCUUCCCAUAAAGGGCUUCAAAAUGCGCUAUACCAAUACUCGAGUGAUAAAUAUUAUUGUAAGCAAACUCCAUCAACGGUAAAUAGUUAUCCUAACUACCUUUCCACUGUAAUACAGACACUCUCAACAUGUCCUCUAAAGUCUGAAUCGUCCGCUCGGACUGACCAUCAGUUUAUGGAUGAUAAGCAAUGCUGAACAGUAACUGAGUACCCAUAGCGGCAUUAAAGGCUUUCCAUAACCUCGAAGUAAAUCUAGGAUCUCUGUCUAACACAAUGGAGACGGGCACAUCAUGUAGACGAACAAUAUUAUCAACAAAUAAUUUCGCCAAUUUCUCCAGUGAGUAGGUCUGUCGAACUGGUAAGAAAUGAGCGAUCUUGGUAAGUCGAUCAACAAUUACCCAAAUACCAUCAUACCUUGACGGUGUUCUAGGCAAUCCAUAUACAAAGUCCAUAGUGAUAUCCUCCCAUUUCCAAAUUGGUAUCGGAAGAUUCUGCAUCAGUCCCCCAGGUCUCUGCCUAUCUGCUUUAACCUGCUAACAGAUUAAACAUCUGCUCACAUACUCUGCUACAUCCCGCUUCAUCAUUUCCAAAUAAUAGAAAGGAUAAAUGGUGCGAUACAAUUUAGUACUCCCUGGAUGCAUAGCAUAAGCUGAAGUAUGAGCCUCAUCAAGAAUUUUCUUCUUAACAACUUCAUUAUCUUUAGGCACGAACAAACGGUUCCCUUUCAAUAACGCUCCGUCCUUACGGAUGAUGAAUUUAUCAUUCUUCCCCUUUAACACUUGUGCCUUAAAUUCGUCGCAUUCUGGAUCAAGUUCCUGAGCUUCUAUGAUCAUGUUAACAAAAAUAGGUCUAACCUGAAAAUGUGCUAGCCAAGCUCCGUGCUCACCUGGUUCCAAAUUAACACCAAUUUCCCGAAGAGAAAAUAGUAAUGGAACGUGUACAGUUUGAAGUGAUGCAAGCUGCUCAUUGUGUUUCCGACUAAGAGCAUCAGCCACGACAUUAGCAUGCCCAUGAUGGUACUCGAUCAAACAGUCAUAAUCACUGAUAAGUUACAUCCACCUUCUCUGUCUCAAAUUCAGCUCCUUCUUGGUGAACACAUACUUAAGACUCUUAUGAUCCGUAAAAAAUACGACAUUUCUCUCCAUAAAGGUAGUGCAUCCAAAUCUUCAAAGUGAAAAUCACUGCUCCUAACUCCAAAUCAUGAGUGGGAUAAUUUCUUUCAUGGGUUUUGAGUUAUCUGGAAGCGUAGGCAAUAACUUUUCCAUGUUGCAUCAGUACACACCCAAAACCUGAUAAAGAAGCAUCAAUAUACACCUCAAAUUCACCACUGUCAUCUGGAAGAGCGAGAACAGGGGCCUGAGUGAGGCAUCAUUUAAGCUCCUGAAAGCUUUGUUCACAAUUUUCAUCCCACACGAAUUGAACACCUUUACGAGUCAGCUUAGUAAGAGGUAGAGCAAUUGCAUAAUUUUUUUGAAUAAAUCUUCGAUAAUACCCUGCCAAACCUAGAAAACUUCUUACUUCAGUAACACUCUUCGGUUGUUCCCAGUUAGACACUGCUGACACCUUUUGGGGAUCCACGCUAAUUCCUCCAGCAGAAACCAUGUGCCCAAGAAAACCAACUUGAGUUAACCAAAACUGGCACUUACUGAACUUGGCAUAAAGCUAGUCAUCUCUUAAUCGUUCCAGCACUAGCCUUAAAUGCUUCUUGUGCUCAAUCACACUUUUAGAAUAAAUUAGAAUGUCAUCAAUGAACACAAUCACAAACCGAUCCAGAUACGGUCUAAAGACUUUGUUCAUCAAAUCCAUAAAUUUUGCAGGUGCAUUUGUCAAUCCGAAAGGCAUGACACGAAAUUCAUAAUGCCCAUACCUUGUACGGAAAGCAGUUUUCGGGACAUCAUCCUCGCGAAUCCUCAACUGAUGGUAACUCGAUCGAAGAUCAAUUUUGGAAAAUACCUGAGCACCUUUCAAUUGAUCAAACAAAUCAUCAAUCCGAGGCAGUGGGUAAUGAUUCUUCACUGUCACCUGAUUUAGUUGCCUAUAAUCGACACAGAGUCUCAUUGAUCCAUCAUUCUUUCUAACAAAAAGCACAGGAGCUCCCCAUGGGGAUUUAGUCGGCUGGAUGUAACCUUUGUUUACCAAUUCCUGGAGUUGGAUCUUCAAUUCUCUUAACUCCGCUGACGCCAUUUGAUAAGGUGCCAAGGAAAUAGGAUUGGUACCUGGGAGUAAAUCGAUAGUGAACUCAAUUUCCCUCGUAUGUGGCAACCCCGGUAAAUCAUCGAUGAAAUUCCUUACAACAGGCACAUCUUCUGGACGCAAAGAAGAUUCAUCUUUCACGACUACGUGGGCUAAAAACCCCACACAACCCUUAUUCAACAACCUUGUUGCUUGAAUGGCAGAAAUAAUACUAUUGGGGAGGACACGUUGCUCACCCAUAAUUGAAACUGCUGGCAGUCCUGGCCGAUUGAACGUCACAAUUUUCUCCCAACAUGUGACAUUCGGUCGGUGCUUAGAUAGCCAAUCCAUUCUCAAAAUAACAUCAAACUUUGCCAGUUUGAAAGGAAUUAAAUCAACCUCUAAGUUUUCCCCUUCCACAAUAACUGGACAAUUCUGAUAUUGCCACUGAGCACAAAACAAUUCACCACUUGGCAUUUGAAUCAGCAUAUCAAAACCUAGUGGUUGAGGUUGAGAAGGCAUAACCCGAGCAAAAGAUGAAGAAACAAAAGACUGCGUAGCUCCCGGAUCAAUUAAAACUCUAGCCUAAGUAUUACAAACAGGUAACGUACCGAUGAUAACUCGAGGAUCCUGUUUAGCCUCCUGCUGAGUCAUGGCGUUCAUACGCCCAUGAACCUGAUACCCAGCGUUAUUGUUUCGACCGCCACGACCUCUGGAACUACGCCCUGCUCGGUUCAUCUGAUUACUGCUACCAGAAGAUGUUCCAGCCUGCUGCUGGGUUGAAAACUGAGUACUUCGGCUGUCACUUCCUCUAAAAUUCUGGCUACCUCUGCCAUCCAACUGCAUAACUCUGAUACCCCCGAAGUUCUGAUUAGUACUACUACCAUAGCUCUGAUUACUACUGCCACUACCAUCAUAGCUCUGUCGGGCGCCAACAUUCUGAACUGGCCGAUAUCUACUGUAGUUCGGGCCAGAGGUAAAAUUACCAAAUGGUGCUGAAGGACAGUCACGAACAAAAUGUCCGGAACCACCGCACAUAUGACAAACUACAACGGUCAUCCCACAACUCCCUCGAUAAUGUAACCCAUACUGAUUACAAACCGAAUAAACUGAAGUGAAAUGACUGAAAGAUCGUCUCGCCGACUCGUUGCAUGAGCCUUCACUGGAAGACCCUGAACCCCAACUUGAUUGUUUAAAGGAAAAAGAAUGUCUGGGACCGACAGAACUGGAGGGGCCCCCUUAUUCUUUGGUACUCCGCGACCGGAAAUUUCAAUUCCUCUGAUUUUGACUCCGUUGUCUAUUCUAUCUCUAGGGCUGGAUCUAAGUUUGAGGUUGAUCCUGCAUCUCCGUAUCCCACUUAGACUGUUCUAUACUCAGACUUAUGUCGAUUACAUCCUCAUAAGUUCUGGGUCUCUAAGCAACUACCAAUGUACGAUACUCCUGGUUCAGUGCAAUUAUCGCCUGAUCCAUCUGUGCCUGCGAAUUAUCAUAAGUCCCAUCAUGAUGUCUAGCCAAACGCCUGAAAGUACUGUCAAAUUCUGUGAUGCUGAGGUCACCCUGUCGGAACUCUAAAUACUCCUGCCUUUUUUUCAAUCUGUAGUUGGGGCUUAGAAAAUAAGCAAUAAAACGUUUCCUGAAGGUAGCCCAAGUCAUCCAAGAACCAAGUGGACGAGAUACCUUCGUUGAUUUCCACCAACUCCUAGCAUCACCCUGAAUAAAGAAACCUGCAGUACUCGCCCACUCAUUUAACUGACAUUUCAUAGCCUCUAAAGUAUCCUCCAUUUUCUCUAACCACUGCUCAGCCUCCUCACCAUUCCCCACAGAUCUUAACUCAGUAACUCCAUGACUUCUAGCAAUUUCUAAAUACGUCUGAUUCGGUCUAUGACCCGGAAGAGCAUUCAUUAAAGCAUUAGUAAACUGCUGGAUUCACCCCAUUAUAGAAGUACGAGGUCGUCAAGGCACAUUCCCAUCAGGAUUAGCCAUGAUUCUGACAAAGACAACAAGAUUUAGAAAGAUUGAAAUUUACCAAAUUGGUGGAAAGAAAUCCUAACCACGCUCUGAUACCAAUCUGACACGCCCCGAUCCUGAUAUUCCUCGAAUACCAGGAUAGACACGUGCCAGCCGACACCCCAGGGUGACGAAAGCCAUUAAUUGGUUACAAUAGAAAUGAUUAGGAGAAAAUAUUCAUGGAUAACCUCAAAAUUUAAGAGUAAGUAACAAAGUUUAAGGAAUUGUCUAAAGUGCACAGAACACAAUCUAAUUCAAGAUUUACAAAAAGAAAGAUCAUUACAAUCUAUCACACUUGUAACAUCCCACAUCGCCCAGGGGAGUGAUUCUUAAAUGUAUAUUCCCAUCCCUACCUAGCACGAGGCAUUUUGGGAGCUCACUGGCUUCGGGUUUCGUCGGAACUCUGAAGUUAAGCGAGGAGGUGGCCAGAGCACUCCCAUGAUGGGUGACCCACUGGGAAGUUACAUGUGAGUUCCCAGAAACAAAACCGUGAGGGCGUGGUUGGGGCCCAAAGCGGAUAAUAUCGUGCUAUGGUGGUGGAGCAGGCUCGAGAAGUGGUCCCCCUCGGGCCGGGAUGUGACAUCAAAACAGCCAUAAAAACCAAAAUUCUCAAACCCCAAUUGGGCAAAUUCUAAAUUAAUACAGCAUCAAUCAAUUGGAAAUAAUCCCCAAUUGGAAAAGUACCUCUUCUCUGACUUAACAAUAUGCAAUCUUUAAACAAAUAAAUGAAGGCCAAAAUUAGGAGUUGAGUAAAUAAGGAGGAGGCGGAGCUAACCAUGAAAAUGAGGCGAGAGAAAGAAUUGACGUAAUCAGAAUUGCUGUGCGUUUAUCGAUGCGUAGUUAUGUUAGGGAAAAGAGCAUCCGAGGCUCCACCACGCGUCUGACUCAGUGGACACCCACGAGGAGUCUGAUUCAGCUACAAAGUGAGAGCGUUGCAUCGUCAAGUUGGACAUAGGUGAGCAGGGUUUGGAUGGGGGAGAAAGGUGAGUGCAAGUUGAAGAGGAGAGGAAGAAGAUGGGUGCGAGUUGCAGAGGAGAGAAGGGUGGGUGGGGUUGCGAAUGAGAGAAUGGAGAAAGGGAGUGAGGGGGGUUGCGGGGGAGGUGGGAUGGGGUGGGUUUUUGGAUGGGAGGGGAUGUGAAGAGAGUGGAGAAGAAAAAGGUGGUUGGGAGGCUCGGGAGGGAGCAGAUGGGUGGGGAAGGGUUGCGGGGGUGGUUCCAUAUUUUGAGUUUUUUUUUAUUUUUGUUAUUUUUGAGUUUUUUUUACCACGUAACACAUAUUUGACAGCCACGUGAUACAAAUGUGGCAGCCACGUCAGCUCUUAACGAAUCAAUGGAUGAAAAAUGUAACAGAUAUAUUAUAUUGAAAUAAAAUAGUACUUGAGGUAUGAAAUUGAAAUAUUUUAAAGAUAUUAUAAGAAAUUGAAAUCGAUCCCAAACUUGAUUUGGUAAAGUAUAAUUUAUAAGAAAACUUUUGACUUGCAUGCCUUCCGGUCAAAGAAAACUGCGGUUAUAGUCCAGCUGACCGCAAGCAAAUAUCCUUUUGCUUUUCAGCCCUCACACGCAUGUUUUGUUUUAUUUGUUUAUCUCAUUGUGUAGCAAAAAGCUGAUGAAAAGAUAUAGUAAGAAAGAUGAAAAUAAAACAACAAGAAAACAACAAAGUCUUAUCAUUUUUACAGUAAUUAUCAUUAUCAUUUAGGUGCAUGACAUUACCAUCGAUACCAAAUAAAUCAUUAUCUAGGGAAGAAAAAUGUAAAUAUACCGUACCAAUUGCCUUCAACACCUAACACACACCUUGUUUACACAAAAACUAAUCUUCUUUUGGUUAACGGUCCAACUUUGCAUCUUCUUUGUUUAAUGAAGGAAUUAUAAUAGAUUAAUCAAGUCGAACUAUGUAUAAAGCUUGGUCGUCUGACUACAAUAGUAGGAGUCUUACUCUCUAAACCUGCAUAAGACGGAUGUAAAUAACUAAGACUCUAAAAUCAAUUACAAGUAUACUACUUUCUUUCCGCUCAGAGAGAUUAGAAAUGCCUAACUCUUCGAUAAAAAGACUCGUCUGUAACCUAUCUCCAAACUUUGUUAAAUAAAGAAAAAAAAAAUUAUAUCAUUUGAUAAGUAUAAUAGUAUCAUCUCGAGCUUUUUGGUACAAGUCAUAAAUUUGAGAUGGACUGGGAUCAAUCACAUAUAAGAAAUUUCUCAUGGCAUAAUCUAUAUUUUAUGGAACAAUGGAAGACUCUCAUAAAAUAAUAAUUAAUGGGCAAAACCUUGACUUAGCAUGCAAUACUAGUUCUAACGCAUCUUAGAGAUCGCAUUACAUAUAAGUAGUUAGAGAACUAAGGAGCCAAAACUUAUAUCUCGAUCUGAUAAAAUGGUUGACAAAGCCAGCGUUGUUUACGUGAUUCCCAUCCUUUUAUUGCUAUUGUUCUCAUCCAAAAUAGUCUUUGCCAAUGUUUCUGAACAUCCAAAGCACAGUUACUCUCUCUCUCUCUCUCUCUCUCUCUCUCUCUCUCUCUCUCUCUCUCUCUCUCUCAUAUGUGUAUAUUAAAUUAUCGUUUAACACAUAAAUGUUUGGUAACUAAUUAAUGAUGAAGUUCCUGAUCUUGUCAUUGCAGAUGAUGUAGAGAAGAUGUUCAGUAGGUUGCGUAUGCAAAUGAAGAUUAUUCAUGCAAAGAAAGUAGGCGUACCAGUUCCGGGUAGGUCGCCUGGAGUUCCCAAAAAAGCUAAACACAAUAACUAAGUAGGGGAAGAGAUCUUCUCCGGAUCUCUCCCACCAAAUCCACCAAACUCAGUGAUCCGGACAUUUUAAAUUUGAUUCAAUGACUAAAAGCAGAGACUCUUUUAAAAGUUAUAAUAACUUUAACCGUUGGAUCAAAUUUCAAGGGUCCGAAUAACUGGAUUUGGUGGACGUGAUGGGGGAGAUCCGGAGAGGAUCUCUUCCCACUAAGUAGUACUUUGGUUUAUUUUCAUGUUAGGAUAACUUUUGUAGCCUUCUUUUUUACUUUGUGUUGAUGAAUAAGAAUAAUAGUUUGUAAUUGAUUUUUAUUAUUUCUUUGAUUAGUUAAUAUAGUAUCCAAAUGGGAUCGACCCUUGAGAUUCAAUAUGCUCUUAUUUGGUAUCAAUUUGUUUAUCGUUUUUUUUUUCCCUCUCUCUCUCUCUCUAAGUUUACAAUUAACGGUUAUUCAACGUUAGAUUACAUCAAAACAAUAUUAUCUUUCAUUUGUAACUCUUAAUAUUUAGCAAUCCGAUUAUUGACAGAGGAUUGUGAAGAAUCAAUUGAAUCAGUAGGUUGCAUCUUCAACGUCAAUCCAAUACAGUCCAAGUUCAAAUGCUCUUGUAGGCACCGGUGAAAUAAAUACGCACCCCCAAAUUAAAGUUUUGGGAUACUAGGGCUCACGUGGCACACACCAUAGGCCUCACAAGUUACACACAUGACACGUGACUCAUUAAAACCGAACAAGUCAUCAAGAGUGACACGGGUUAACAUUUGGCGAAAAAUUAAUUAAAGGAUUAUCUUUAAUUAAUCUAAAUUUAAAUCAAAUAAUUCAAUUGAUUUAAAUUAAUUAAAAUUUAAAUCAUACACAUCCUCACACUCGGACAAAGAAAAGGUCCGCAUGUAAUUGAAAGAUCCCUUGCAUUUAACAUGUAGCAUUUUUACCAGUUGAUUUUUCUAUGAAGAACAUCUGUGUUGUUCACCAAUAAAAAACUAAUAGGAAAACUAAUAAAAAUUGCAUGAAAACUUUGAGUUUUAACUAUAAGGACAAAAUAAAGGAUAAAGUGAAUAGUACCAUAAUUGACUUUUUAGUGUAAAAAUAUGGUUUUUCGUUAAAGUGAAUAGUACUGAAAGCUUUUCGUUAAAGUUCCCAAAAGAAAUUACUUGACUUCAAUCAAAAUCGAACAAUUUGUAUAUAAAGUUCCCAUAAGAUAUUGUCACAAUGACAUUCUCAAUUUAAAUAGAGUAAUUCUUACUUUACUACCCUGAAAGUAUUGUAAGAUCCCACAUCACACAGGGGAGUGAUCCUUAUAUGUAUAUUCUCAUCCCUACCUAGCACAAGGCAUUUUGGGAGCUCACUGGCUUCGAGUUCCAUCGGAACUCCGAAGUUAAGCGAGUUCGCGCGAGAGCAAUCCCAUGAUGGAUGACCCAUUGGGAAGUUCUCGUGUGAGUUCCCAUAAACAAAACCGUGAGGGCGUGGUCGAGGCCCAAAACGGACAAUAUCGUGCUACGAUGGAGUCGAGCCCGGGAUGUGGUGGGGGCUCGGGUCGGGAUGUGACAAAUUGGUAACAGAGCCAAUCUCUGGCCGGAAGUGUGCCGACGAGGACAUCGGGCCUCUAAGGAGGGUGGAUAAUAAGAUCCCACAUCGUCCAGGGAAGUGAUUCUUAUAUGUAUAUUCUCAUCCCUACCUAGCACGAGGCCUUUUGGGAGCUUAUUGGCUUCGAGUUCCAUUGAAACUCUGAAGUUAAGCGAGUAGCGCGCGAGAGCAAUCCCAUGAUGGGUGACCCACUGGGAAGUUCUCGUGUGAGUUCCCAGAAACAAAACCAUGAGGGCGUGGUCGGGGCCCAAAGCAAACAAUAUCGUGCUACGGUGGAGUCGAGCCCGGGAUGUGACAGUAUCGUUGUUUCCAAACUUUUAUACAUCAAGUAUUUUUCAUCCCAGUCUCAUACCUCAAGUUACCUUUUUUUCUCAGAUUCAACUUCUGUUAAGUUGACCGUUAGCAACUUCACUAAAGCAUGACGUGACUCUCACAUGGACGUUAAUUGUGCAUCCAUGUGUUAUUGUAGCUCCACGCGGACAUUAAAAAAAAUAAAAAUAAACUAAGGCUCAAUUAUUUAAGGGUUGUUCUAUUAACACCCUAUAAUUUGUUGAAUACACCCCACAAUUAAUUUUUUUUCUCAAUAAUUCCAAUUCUACCCUUCUUUUUGUUAAAUCCACGCCACAUUCCAAAAAUAAUAAAUAAAAAAAAAAUCUCACAACCAACCACCCUAUCACAGCACCAUGGCCGGUGAAUCCAUUGUGUCCUUCGAAUCAUCUGAACCUUUGGAGAGGCAAUAAGAGCAUUGCAUGUACCCUGUUUUCUAAGGAGCUUUUUCUGCAGGUUUCUAGAAAUUGUAUUAGGAGUUCAUUCCUAGCUAAUUGCUUUUGAUAAUGAUCUUGAAACUAAAAUCAUAUCCUAUUAUCCAGGUUUCACACUACUGCAUUAAGGUUUUGUUCUUAUUUUGUACCUUUUCUUCUGGAUAAUAUUCAUAUCCUUGUUUGGGAAUUCCUAGUUGGAUUUGGUGUAGUUCUCAAAUCAAAAAUUGAUAUGAAUAUCAUACAAAAGAAAAAGAACAAAAAUAAGUACAAAGAUGAUUAUAAUGAUGUUGAGAAAAUGCAAACAAUAUAAAUAAAAGGUGAGGAUCUGAACAAUGGUGAUGGACUGGGAAGUUUUAUUUUAUGCAGGUUUAAAUGAAGUGUAAAUUAGGAAUUAUAGAAGAAAAUUUUGAUUGUGGGGUGUUUUGAUCAAAUUGUGGGGUGUUAAUUAAAAAAACCCUUAUUUAAUAAUGCCAAAAAUCUAAAAAUUCAUUUAGAAAUAUUUAAUAGCAAUAAUUAAUUUUCUUCAAAAUACUUAAAAAAACUUAACCAACCAUCAUCAUGCUCAACCCAGAAACCUGUAACCAAACAGAAACAAAAAUGUUUUAUCAACCCAGAAACCCAGUCCCUCAACUCAGCCACCGCACCCUCACUCUUCAGAUUCGUCGAAGAACAUAUGGAGUUUCAUAAGCAUAUUACUUAGUCGUCACCGUAAACACUUGAAUCUGUUGCAUGUUGUUGACGUUUGGGUGUUCAGGAUUUUUGAACUGAAAUCUCUGCGAGGAGGCUGGUGUGUUUCGUCGCCUCGUCCAACAUCUCUCUCUUUCUCUCCUCUCUCUCUCUUGCUUUUUGGGCGUCGUCUUGUUUUCUUUAACGUCGUCAUCAUCACUGCAGCGUGUCCUCUGGCAUCGUCCUCGUACUUUCCGGCAACCUCAAGACUUCGUGUUCUCCGGCGAUCUCAAGUUCAAAAGCUCCAAUAGUGAUUGAAUUGCCGAAUUGACUCAACACUUCAUAUCUGGGUCAAGUCUCAGAUACAAGAACGACUCCAUCAUCAAGUCAACUCGGGUCGAAUGUUAUUCCAACUGAAUCAAAUAUCUACAUCUCCAUCCAGAACAAGCUCGAGGAGACGAGGUUGGUGUGCUUCGUUGGGUUGAGGUCGCUGUGCGACCAAAUCAAGCAGAUUUGAUUUGAGCCAUUGGUUAAAGCUGGGGGAGGAGGCAACGGGGUGCGGGGAGUGGAAGGGGAGGAAAUUGAGAGCGAAUCUGAGCCAUUUGUUGAAAUCGAAGUCGAAAACGUGGAGGCAAGAUGAAGAGGAUGAAAGAGAGGUAGGGGUGGGUUCAAAAAAUCGAAAACCGAAAAAAAACGACAACCGAACCGGAUUGAGGAGGAAAAAAAUGGAACCGAAACUAUCAAACCGAACGAAAUCAAAUCUGGCCAGUUCAGUUUCAGUUUUUGAGGUUCGAAAACUGAACCGAACCGAUAUAUAUAUUUAAUUAUGUUUUUUCAAACUUUAUAAAUAGUUUAGUUAUACAAUCAUAACAAAAUUGAACCUGUUGUCAAGUUGGUUUCAAUGAAACUUUUCAAGUUGGAGGGCAUGGGUUUGAACCCUCAUGCCUCCAGGAUUUUUUAGAAUUUUUUUAAUUUUUAUGAGAAAUCAACAAAGCCCUUUAACCCUAGCCACUAGUAGUAGCAGCUAGGGGUGGGUUCGGUUCAAAUCGGUUUGGUUUUUUGCCAAAACUGAAACCAAAUCGAAAUUUCGGUUCGGUUCAUUUUUUUUCGAUUUUUUUUUGUUCGGUUUUGGUUUUUUUUUUUUUUUUUUUUUUCAAAAAAUGAAAAACAUUGAAAUUUUAAAUUUUAACAUCUCCAACACAAUCAUAACAUAAACAUUCUAACUAGAAUCAAAGACAAUGAAAAUAAACAUUUAAAGUUGAACUAAAAUCAUCAAUCAAAUUAUGAGAAAUCAACAAAACCCUUUAACCCUAGCCACUAGUAGUAGCAGCUAGGGGUGGGUUCGGUUCAAAUCGGUUUGGUUUUUUGCCAAAACUGAAACCAAAUCGAAAUUUCGGUUUGGUUCAUUUUUUUUCGAUUUUUUUCGGUUCGGUUUUGGUUUUUUUUUUUUUUUUUUUUUUCAAAAAAUGAAAAACAUUGAAAUUUUAAAUUUUAACAUCUCCAACACAAUCAUAACAUAAGCAUUCUAACUAGAAUCAAAGACAAUGAAAAUAAACAUUUAAAGUUGAACUAAAAUCAUCAAUCAAGUUUUCCAAAGUCCAAACUAACAACCUCACAACACAAAAAUCGUACAAAUGACUUAGAAAAGUUAAAUUGUAUGAUGUUGUUCAAAGAUCAGGGCGGUUUGCUUGUAACUGCAUGUUGACAACUUGAUUAGUAAAAGUAAUGCGUGGGUGGAUUUAUUUAGUGUGUGUUGGAUUCUUUUCCAUCACAAAUUACGCAAGUAAUCUACCCGAAAUAAAUGUUUAUGGAUUCUGUUACAUGUUAUAUGAAAGUAGAUUAGGAAAAGAAAGCUGGGGCAGAAGUAGAUAGUGCUAUGGAGAUGGAUGUAGGUACUUCAGGCUGAGGUUUGGUUCCGGAACCUUAUAUGAGGGAAAAAUAAUAGAUUAGGGUUUAAAGUUUUUAUAGGCCUUUUUUUAAUAUUUUGAGCUUAAAGUUUGGCAACACAUUGGGUUUAGCACAUUUUAACUUACAAAUUGGGUUUAGAAAAUAAUACCUAAAACAAAUAAUUAAAUAAAAAAAUUAAUUUAAUUAAUUCGGUUCGGUUCGGUUUGGUUCGGUUUCUAGAUCACUAAAACCGAACCGAACCAAAAGAAUUUGGUUCGAUUCGAUUUUUUCAAUUCGGUUCGAUUUUUUCGUUCGGUUCAGUUUUUUCAGUUUCGGUUUAGUUUGGUUUUCGGUUUUUUCGGUUUUCAGUUUUUUGAACCCACCCCUAGUCGCUGCCACACUUUUCUAUUUUUCAUUCCCCUCUUCUCUCUCUCGUUCCCUGCCUCUAGACUCCCUUUAUGAACCUUAACCCAAUAACCCUCUCGUGUAGCCUGAGCCUCCUAUCUUUCUCUCUCUCUCUCUCUCGCUCAGUCUUCAACUUCAAUCGCUCUGUCUCUUUCCAUUUCUCAGGCGACCCGCGACGACGUGACCCUUCUCACUCUCAAUCUCUCACACCUCGCCCUCGCCGUCAGCUUUUUCUUGUCGUUUUGAGUCUCGACAGCAAAAGGUUAGCCUCAUUUCUCUCUCUCGGUCUUCAACUUCAAUCACUAUCUGUCUCUCUCAAACUCUAUGUCUUUCUCGAUCUUGAAUCCAGGCGACCCGCCAGUCCGCGACGACUUGACCCUUCUCACUCUCAAUCUCUCACACCUCGCCCUCGCUAUCAAUCUUUCAUCUCAUCGUGAGCUUCUUCUUUCUGUUUCGAGUCUCGACUGCAAAAGGUUAGUCUCAUAAUCUCAUUUCUUUGUGUUUAAUUUUCUGUUCUAUUUAUCUAUUGAAAUUGGUUCUGAUGAGAGAAUGAUUCAUUUCAUACUUUGCAUUUACUACUUACUCUUGGAUUUAUUAGUGUUAUGAAGUGACUGAGAUCUAUGAAAACACAUGUAUCUGGGUUUCUGCUUACUAUGGGCUUCUGCUUACCGAUUCUUCCAGAUGGUAUUUGAUUUACUUGUGAAUUUCACACGGUGUGCUCAUUUUCAGUGUGACUGAUUCUGGGUUUCUUUCUGUCGUUACCACUCACUUUUUGAAUUAUGGUUAGAAGUAUAGGACUUUGUGACUCCAAAUCUGCCUUUCAAAUUCAAUGUGAUUUUUCUAUUUUCUGGAUUUUAAUCUUGCUAGCAAAUUAAAAAAUAGUAGGCUAAAGAACAACUGGGUGAGCUAGAACAACUGGGCAAUGAGAGAACUAGAACUGGGCAACUGGAUUUUAAUCUUGCUAGCAAACUAGUAUCUGUUUGUCAUGUUUGAGCGUACUACCACUGGGAGAGCUAGAACAAAGGGGCAAUGGAUCACUCCCUAAUUAGAAACCUAGACAGUUAAUUGUCGACUAAUUAGUUUCUAUAAAUAAGUCAAGUUUAGGCUGAUACCCCACUAAUGAAGUAGAGCUCUAUACAUUGUACAUAUAUAGACGGUUAUACAUUGUACAUAUAUAGACGGUUGCAUUGUACAUGUAUGCUAAUUAACUGGGUGGACAAUUUGCAACAAAUGUGUUUGAGAAAAUUGAUGGUAAAUGGUUUAUCUGUAUUCACCAUGCUUCAGUUCUUGACUUGUGAAUUUUACAAACUUAAAUACAUGUACAAUGUACGACUUCCCCACCUAAGCGUUGAGCUUGAGGAGUUGAAGAGAAGAAGUGCGUGGAAGACAUGAAAUAUUGAAGGUUUAUUUGAGUUUAUGAUUUUAGUUAAGUGGAAUAUUUCUGUAAAAUUUGGACUUUGUUAUGUUUAUUUUAGGUGUGGAAGACUUGAAGUGUAAUGUUUAUUUUAAAUUUGGACUUUUUGAAGACUUAAACUUUGAUGUUUUUUUUUUUUAAGUUUGGACUUUGGAAGAUUUGAUUGAUGAUUCUAGUUGAACUUUAAAUAUUUAUUUUCAUUGUGUAGGAAUGCUUAUGUUAUGAUUGUGUUGGAGAUGUUAAAAUUUUAAAUUUCUAUUUUUAUUCAUUUAAAAAAAAAAACCGAACCUGGCCAAAAUUGAACCGAAAAAAAUUGAAAAAAUUUGAACAGCACCAAACCGAACAGAAAUUUCAGUUCGGUUUCAAUUUUGGCAAAAAACUGAACCGUUUCGAACCGAACCCAACCCUAGAGGGAGGGGUAGGAUGAAACUUCUUUCCUACGGGCGGAAGAUGACAGGAAAAUUUUUAUUUUUUUUAUUUUGCUAAUUUUUUUAAUUGUCCACGUGGAUACACAAUCAUCGUUCACAUGAGAGCCACAUCACACUUUAACGGAGUUACUAAUGGUUAACCUAGCGAAAGUAUAAAUAUGGAAAAAAAACAUAACUUUGGGUAUGAGACUGGGAUGAAAAAAAAAUUGACUAAACAAUUAGUAUAUAUAUAUAAUAAACAAUUAGUAUAUCUAAAACCACAUUAAUGAAACCCUCUUUGUCAACUAAAAGAUGGUGAAAAGACAUCUUUAUCUUAUAUCACAACAAAAUAGUUAAGGACAGUAAAGUAAUUUCACAAAACAAAGCUGUUUUUUUUAACCUCACCUGCAUGUAGGUUUAUCAUCUCUAAUUAUAAAAAAGAAAAAAAGAAAAUACAACCUCUCUCCCUCUCCCCCUCUAUCCUCACUCCCAUGUUCUUUCUCACUCUCUUCCUCUCUCCUUCAAUUUUAACAACCAUAUGCAUUUAAUGAUACUACGAAAGUGACAAAAUCACAUAUACCAGCUGCAAAUGCGCCCGUAAGAAUUGAUGUCCCUGUUAGAUAAAAUAAAGUGGCAGCGAAUGAUUCAUCUAGUGCACGCAUGAAGGGUGGUAGACCCCCAGGUUCAAAAGUUUCAGCCCUUCAAAAGAGAAAGAUAAAGGCAAAGCUGAAUCCUUAUGAAAUCAUUCAGGAAAAGAAAACAAAUGACAAAUCCACAAUUCAUGAUUAUGUACUUUCAGAAAGAAAAAAAAUGUCAUUGGUGAGACACAUUGUCCUUGAAAAGACAGAAGUACAUGAAAGUAAAGAAAUCUCCAUAAAUUAUGUUGUUUGUACCAUACUUGACCAAUUCUGAAACUACUGAGCACCGGUCAACGUUAUACCGUCAAGGACCCAGAAGAGUUUCCCUCCAACCAGGAGGCCAAUCACAGCGCGACAAGUGUCGACAUCAGAAGCCAAUCAUAGCGCGACACAUAUCAACAUCGGAAGCUAAUCACAACCCGACACGUGUCAAUGUCAUAACAAAGCUAGAACCUCUCUUCUAUAAAAAGAGAUCAUUCUCUCACAAUAUUUCCUAAUGUCAUUUGUACUAAAUCAUUCACUUCUACUCACUAAAGGAGAGCUUGAACCUAUGUACUUGUGUAAACCCUUCACAAUUAAUGAGAACUCCUCUACUCCAUGGACGUAGCCGAUCUGGGAGAACCACGUACAUCUUGUGUUUGCUUCCCUGUCUCUAUCCAUUUACAUACUUAUCCACACUAGUGACCAGAGCAAUCUAGCGAAGGUCACAAACUUAACACUUUCUGUUGUACCAAAGUCCUCACUGAUUUUGUGCAUCAACAUUUGGCGCCGUCUGUGGGAACGACACUUAUUCUCACUCUCUUCAGCUUUGUUAAGCUGGUUUCCACCAUUCAUACACUCUCUUUUGACCAUGCAUCCCUCUCCAACAUGGGGAGCGAAGGAAGCCACAACACACAGAAUGACACCCAUCUUGCACCUAGUGCGAAGCAACGAAAGAAGGAAGGAAAAAAGAUUGCUCUUCAAGCUAAAGUCGAUGAGCUAGAAUCUCAAAACAACAAGAUAGCAAUGAAGAAUGAGGUCUUCCAGGAGCAGUAUGAGAAGCUCUUUGAGAUGCUCCACGAAAUUAGACGUACUCAAACACGCGAACUCGUUACCCCUGUGGACAUCAACCAUCAUCUGGAUGCUUCCCAACAAGGAGGGUCACCUUCCUUCGACAUGGGUAUCCCUGAUGAGGAGCGAGCUAAUCAUCAAAACAUUGAUCAACAUGAGACUUCUCUUAACCCAGUUGCUUCGACCCGAAGCAGGAGAAGUGGAGGAAGACACCUCCUUGCAAAAAGGUUGGAAGGAUCGAAAGCCGUUUAUCGUGACUGCCGAGACUUCCUAAAGCAACGUCGAGAGAAUCCCCUCCAUAUAAGCUCGAAGAUCAAUGACCCAAGGGUUUCUGAAAGAAUCGGUCCCUCCCACGUCCCAGGCCGGCUACCAAUUUGGGAAAGGGGCAACAAGUCCUAGAGAAACACGAAGGUAUAGGGGACUCAGAGAUGUUUCGACAGACAUACCUUGAAAGUCAGUACGGUGAGUCCAGGAAAACAUCACAUGCUCUUAAUCAAACCUUCCUACUUUCAAGAGGAGAUGGAGAUUUACGAAAGAAAGCUCCAGUGGUACAUGAGUCCACUCAAGACCCUCUUGUCCUACAGCUUCUUAAGGAAGUAAACAAGUUGAAGGCCGAACGAUAAGCUGAGAUACCUGAUUGGAACCAACCUAGGCCUGGCCCUCUUACAAGAAGGAUCCUCGACAACCCCUCCAAGCAAAGACAAAGCAGAAGCUUGGCUUGCAACUCUAUACUGGAAAUGAGGACCCGAUUGAACACCUUAACCUCUUUGAGUCCACUAUGGCAUACCGGAUGCAUACUGACGAAGAGCGAUGUCUUCUUCUCCCCUCCACCCUCUCUAGCGGAGCUUUAAACUGGUAUUACCGUCUUCCACCUGAGAUGAUAGACUUAUUUGAGGAAUUGAGGAAACUGUUUGUUUCUCAACACAUUUUCCAGACCGAUCGCUUGCAUUCUACAGAUGACUUGUACACUAUUCGUCACAAACCGGACAAGUCAUUACGAGAGUAUACCGAUCGCUUCAGCCAUGAGUAUUCUCGCUGCGCUGAGGCAGAUGAUAAGACCACCCUCAAGGCCUUCACUGCAGGCCUACGUGAUUGUUUCUUCAAGUACAUGAUCAAUGCCAACACUUGGAAGACUUACUCUGAGGUGAUGACACAUGCUUACAACCAUGCCUCCGCCGAGGUAAUGACAUAUAAAGGGAAACCCCCCACAACCACCCCUUAUUAGCAAGUAAGGAGUGGAAGCCAGAUCCAACCAAAUGAGAAGACCUCGACCUUCCAAACGGCAGCGGUGCCUCCCCCUACCUUACUUAAUACUUUGCCAAGUCAACAGACAUAUCAGUCUCAAGGAAAAAGGAAAGAUUUCAUCCUCACUAGUCUCAUUUUAGUAAAAGGAGUAAGGGACACUACCGCGAUAACCAAAGGUAUCACCACGAUAAUCCCCGACCCCAGGCAGUCAACAUAGUGGGUCAGACACGUGUCAGGAUAGCCCCUACCCCGAGGUAUGAGGCAUACACACCUUUAAACGCCACAUGCGUGGCCAUUUACCCCAACAUAGCACACCUGAUACCGAAGCCAAAGCUGAGGCACCUGGAUUACAAGUCUACGAAGAACACGGGCACGUUUUGCUGCUACCAUGGUCUAAAAUAUCCAUAAUAUCCCGAUAUUUCCAUCGAAAUUUCUAUGUUUUUGGACUACCGAUAUUUCCGAUAUUAUUGAUAUUUUAGACCUUGCUAAGUCACUCAUGUAUCUUACCAUGCAAUGUAUAAAGUGUAAAAUAUUGUACUAAUUCAUUACAUAUAAAUGAUUAUGGUGUGUUUAAACUUCUUUAAUUAAUUACUACAUAUUUUCUACACUCACAAUGUUUGCCAGCUCGCUAAAUAAUCAACUUAAAUCAGUUAUAUUUAUCAUGCAAUGCAUUUCCUUCCAAUUUUUUUGUGAUAAACUAAUAGAUAAUUGACUAAAUAAACAUUUUGUAAAGUUUCAAUAAAAAUUUCCAAAUUUUUCUUACAAUUUCCGUGGUUUUAUUCAAUUUUUAUCGAUAUCGAUAAUAUUCCGAUAUUUCCAUCGAAAUUUCCAUAUUUUUAGAGUACCGAUAUUUCCGAUAUCAUCGAUAUUUUAUACCUUGGCUGCUACCACGAGUAUAACGGCCAUGACGGUGAGAAGUGUAUCACCCUUCGUGAUCAUAUUGAAGCUUUGGCAUGUGAAGGAAAAAUUGAUCAAUUCCUCCUUCACCCUCCAAGGGGUAACCGUAACCAAUGCCAGGUGAAUGUGAUAUAUUCCAUAAGUGGUGGCACACCCAAAUCUAAAUCUUCCAACAGGCCCAUGAAAAAUAGUGAACGAGUUUUAAGGUCUGGCCACCAAGUGUUUCACAUGGAAGAUAUCAGGGGAGGCAAACAUCAAAAGCCUAACUGGGAUCCAAUAUGUUUCUACCCUGAGGAAGAAAGAGGUAUCAUCUACCCUCACAACGACCCACUGAUCGUGGAAACUCACAUAGCCAACUUUGAAGUACGACGAAUCCUGGUAGACGGGGGCUUCGGUCAAUAUCAUGUUCACCGAAGCUUUCAGAGCACUUAAUUUAGCUGAACACUUGCUCGAUCGCUCGAUUUCCCCUCUGAUAAGCUUCUACGGUGAUAUCGUGCAACCUUUGGGGAGCAUACACUUACCUUUCACCAUUGGUAUAGGCCCUUAUACAGCUACCAUUACCACUAACUUCUUGGUGGUUGAUUGCCCAAUGGCAUACAAUGUCAUCUUGGGACGCACAUGCAUCAAUGAUCUUUAGGCCAUGGUAUCCACACAUAUGUUGUUGAUGAAAUUUCCAACCCCUAUGGCAAUGGUUACAUCAGAGGAGAUCAACUUAGUGCACGAUCAUGUUACAACACUUCGGUCAAGCACCAGCACCUGCCUGUGCCUAAGGAAACCUUUUCUAUACAUGACCAAGUCAUAAAGACCAGCCCAGACGAAGCCAACUUGGAUCUUCACGGUGGCAACAGUCAACCCAACAAUCCUCGAGAUGACUCUUUCACCCAGUAAGCACUACCCGCUGAAGAGUUGGAGAAUGUCUCUAUCUCAAAAGAUUAUUCGGAUCGCAUGGUGAAGAUUGGCAUCACUUUGUCACCACCCAUUCGGUUGACAUUGAUCUCUUUUUUUCAAGAGAACACUGAGGUCUUCGCCUGGUCAUACGAGGACAUGUCAGGUAUCUCUCCCGAUAUCAUCUGUCAUCGCUUAAGUAUUGACCCCAAGACCAAGCCAGUGAGACAGAAGCGAAGAUCCUAUAACGUUGAACGGUACGAGGCAAUGAAGGCAGAAGUUGAAAACUCAAAGGCAUAGGCUUCGUCCGCGAAGUCAAUUAUCCAAUAUGGGUAGCAAAUGUUGUCCUUGUUAAGAAGAAUCGGACCAAGGAAAGUCUCCUGCUCCAAAAGGUCUUGUGGAGAAUGUGUGUCGAUUACACCAACCUAAACAAAUGAUGCCCGAAUGAUAGCUUUCCUCUUCCUCUCAUAGACAAACUUAUAGACUCUACAGCAGGGUGUGAACUCCUGAGCUUCAUGGAUGCUUACUCAUGAUACAACCAAAUCCUUAUGAACCCUUCGAACCAAGAACAUACAGCCUUCACUACUGACAAGGAACUAUAUUGCUAUAAAGUCAUGCCAUUCGGCCUAAAGAAUGCAGGAGCGACUUAUCAGAGACUGGUCAAUUUAAUGUUCGCCGAACAGAUUGGGAAGAGCAUGGAAGUUUACGUUGAUGAUAUGCUAGUCAAGAGCAAACAUGCUAACCAACACAUCACCAACUUAUCUGAAACUUUCAUCAUUCUGAAGAGGUAUCGAAUGAGGUUGAACCCCAACAAAUGUGCCUUCGGCAUAGGCUCUGGCAAAUUCUUAGGCUUCAUGAUAAGCCAACGAGGCAUUGAGGCUAAUCCCGAGAAGAUCAAAGCAAUCCUCGACAUGAAGGAACCGGUAACUUCAAAAGACAUCCAAAGCCUUACUGGCAAGAUGGCAGCCUUAACUAGGUUCAUCUCUAAGGCCACAGACAGAUGUGCUUCUUUCUUCAAAGCACUUAAGAGAAGUAAGAAGUAUAUUACAUGGACUGAUGAAUGUGCUGAGGCAUUCAAGAACCUCAAAGACUACAUGAGUAAAGCCCAUCUACUCUCCAAACCUGAGGUUGGUGACACUCUCAUUAUCUAUAUGUCGGUAUCGGCUUCAGUAGUAAGUUCCGUUCUCAUUCGAAAUGAUGGUAAUGUCGAACGGCCUGUCUACUAUGCUAGUAGGGCCUUACAAGAUGCAGAGACACGAUACUCCAACAUUGAGAAAUUGGCUUUAGCAUUGGUCAUGUCUGCUAAAAAACUUCGCCCUUACUUCCAAGCACACUCUAUCAUCGUGCUUACCAAUCAUCCUUUUCGACAGAUACUCCAAAGUCCUGACACUUCCGGGCGAAUGAUCAAAUGGGCAAUAGCAUUGGGUGAGUUUGACAUUUCCUACUAACCAAAGCCAGCUGAGAAGGGCCAAGCAGUGGCAGACUUCAUUGUCGACUUCACAUAUCCUGUUGACAUUGUUUCUACGCCUAAAGAAGUGGUUUCAUUACCCUCGGAAGCUCAGAAACCAGAACCAACAGCCCCAGCAUGGAGCCUAUAUGUUGAUGGCUCGUCCAACCAACAGGGUUGUGGAGCAGGACUAGUCCUUACGACCCCUGACAAAGUGGCAAUGAAGUAUGCUCUUCGUUUCAAAUUCAAGGCGUCGAACAAUGAAGCCGAGUAUGAAGCCCUCCUAGCAGGCUUACAUUUGACUAAAUACCUUGGGGUUAAACGAAUUGACAUCUUCAGUGACUCUUAACCAGGUCACCAAUAACUUUGACGCUAAUGAUAGCUCUAUGGCAGCAUAUUUGGCACAAACACAAUUGUUGCUCAAGCACUUCCACUACCAGAUCACCCAAAUUCCUUGAGCGGCAAACAGUCAUGCAGAUGCUUUAGCUCACCUCGCCUCAGCGGUGGAAGACAAUAUUGGGAGAAAAAUUCAAGUUAAAUUGUUGGCAGCACCAAGCACCAUGGUUGCGAAGUAUGCAACUUACAACAGGGGGAUAGUUGGAUUACCCGAUUUAUAGAUUCCUUACUCAUGGCACCCUUCCAAAUGACAAAAUCCAAGCUAAGCAAAUUCGAUAAAAGGCUACCUGUUACUUGAUCAUUAAUGACCAACUCUACAAGCGGGGUUUUAACCUACCAUACCUAAGAUGCCUUACGCCCGCAGAGGCGGAAACUGUCAUUCGGGAAAUACAUGAAGGAGUCAACGGAGAUCAUGCUGGAUCUCAAUCCCUAGCACACAAGGCUUUUCGCCAAAGAUAUUACUGGCCAACAUUCCACUAAGAUACCAUCAGAAUAUCCCGCUCAUGUGAUAAGUGUUAACGCUACGCAACUAUUCCUCACUCCCCUCCCGAGCCGCUCACUCCUAUGAUCAGCCCUUGGCCCUUCGCCCAAUGGGGACUUGAUUUGAUCGGCCCAAUGCCUGCAAGGAAGGGCAAAGUUCGCUAUGCAAUCGUUGCAGUUGACUACUUCACAAAGUGGGCUGAAGUAGAACCCUUGGCAACCAUUACUUAGGCAAAAAUAGAAGACUUCGUAUGGAAUAACAUCAUUUGCAGAUUCGGCAUUCCCAAUGCGAUAGUCACUGACAACAGGCAACAGUUCGACAAUAAUAACUUCAGGAUGUUCUGCUCUAAGUUCAACAUCAACUUAUGUUUUGCCUCCCCACCUCAUCCCCAGUCUAAUGGACAAGUUGAAGCUAUCAACAAAAUAAUCAAGCGAACUUUGAAAACCAGCUUGGACAAGGCUAAAGGUUGUUGGCCAGAAUUUGUACCCCAAGUUCUUUGGUCAUACCGCACUUCGUAUCGGACAUCAACAGGAGAAACCCCAUUCUCACUUGCCUUUGGUACAUAGGCAAUUGUCCCAGUUGAGCUUGAGCAAGCAACGUUCUGAGUCCAGAACUACGUGCAAAGUGAAAAUGACAAACAACUUACCCUCAACUUAGAUCUAGUCGAGGAAUACAGAAACCAGGCUCACUUGAGGAAUGUCGCAUACAAGCAGUGCAUCUCCAACUAUUAUGACUCAAGGAUCAAACCUCGUUCUUUCAAAGUGGGGGACUGGGUAUUGAAGAAAAAAUUACUCUGCGAUAGAGUCCCGAGUGAAGGAACACUUAGUCCAAACUGGGAUGGAUCAUUUAAAGUUGUUGGCAUCAGUCGCCUUGGCUCCUACAAGCUUAGAAGCUCUGAUGGCAAGACCCUUGGCCAUCCAUGGAACGCUGAUCACUUGAAGUACUAUUAUAAGUAAACUCACAUUGUACAAGUGUUAAGCUUUAGCCGUUCGGCAUACUAUGUAACGAAGACUAUUUGGCAUGAAUUCAAUAAAGAGGUGAUUUAGACAACUCGGUCCUAAUCCUCUUACAUUCCUAGCAAUGAAACACUCGGGUUUAAAGCUUCAACAUGAAUGCUUCCAACAUGAAACAAAAUCUAAGUAUAUGUCAACAAAACUAUACAAAUAAACGAACAGCUUCAUAGUAUAUUCGUUCAAUCAUACAUUCCAACAUAUUCAUACAUAAGCCAACUGUGCUUUGAAAGGGUUCAACAUACUUUGUGUCAUUCGACACUUGCUACAAUGUGCCUAGACAUUGCUAUUCUCACCAACCAGGUGAUGGUGAAGAAGGAACUCAUCUUCAUGCCACCAACAGGUGAUGAAAUGUACACCCGUAUUCCCCUUCGCCAAACCAGGGAAGAGGAACUCUCUUCAUGCCACCAACCAGGUUGAUGAAUGUACAACAUUCAUGAACUAGGUGAUGAAAUGUAUAACCCGUACUCUAAUAUCAUUUGGCAACUUGCCACGCAUGCCACCAACCAGGUGAUGAAAUGUACAACCCGUACUCUAAUAUCAUUUGGCAACUUACCAUUCAUGCCACCAACCAGAUGAUGAAAUGUACAACCCGUACUCUAAUAUCAUUUAGCAACUUGCCACUCAUACCACCAACCAGGUGAUGAAAUGUACAACCUGUACUCUCUUUCAUGCCACAAACCAGGUGAUGAAAUGUAGAACUCGUACUCUAAUAUCAUUUGGCAACUUGCCAUUCAUGCCACUAACCAGGGGAAGAAGGAACUCAUCCUCGUGCUACCAACCAGGUGAUGAAAUAUGAUGAAAAGUGAUGAAGGAACUCACCUUCGUACCACCAACCAAGUGAUGAAAGCAACUCACCAUUCAUUCUAUCUACCAGAAGACGAGUGGUAUAACUUGUACACAUGAACUCCUAGCAUUCACAAAUAAUAAAAAACCCUCAAGCUUGACAACUUAACUAGGGGAGCACUUAUGCCCAACAAGAGUUAUAGUCACCAACAAAGUCUUAUUGCAAGCCAACAACAACUUCAGUGCAUGGCAUACGAAGAUCAACCUAUUCAGCCCUCUUGCAUCUGCUUCAAACAUUUCCCCUCUAUAACAAUGCAAACUCCACAACUCGUAGAAAGCUUCACGCACUAUUGAUCAAGACAGUGUGAAGUAAAACCAAUUUAUAAUGCCAACAAGAGCUUCAUCAAUAGAGGGCAACCACAAUUCUUAAAAGCUUCACACACUCUUAAUCAAGACAGUGUGAAGUAAAAUCAAAUUUUGUGCCAAUAAGAGCUUCACAUGGAGGGCAACCACAAUUCUGAAAAGNNNNNNNNNNNNNNNNNNNNNNNNNNNNNNNNNNNNNNNNNNNNNNNNNNNNNNNNNNNNNNNNNNNNNNNNNNNNNNNNNNNNNNNNNNNNNNNNNNNNNNNNNNNNNNNNNNNNNNNNNNNNNNNNNNNNNNNNNNNNNNNNNNNNNNNNNNNNNNNNNNNNNNNNNNNNNNNNNNNNNNNNNNNNNNNNNNNNNNNNNNNNNNNNNNNNNNNNNNNNNNNNNNNNNNNNNNNNNNNNNNNNNNNNNNNNNNNNNNNNNNNNNNNNNNNNNNNNNNNNNNNNNNNNNNNNNNNNNNNNNNNNNNNNNNNNNNNNNNNNNNNNNNNNNNNNNNNNNNNNNNNNNNNNNNNNNNNNNNNNNNNNNNNNNNNNNNNNNNNNNNNNNNNNNNNNNNNNNNNNNNNNNNNNNNNNNNNNNNNNNNNNNNNNNNNNNNNNNNNNNNNNNNNNNNNNNNNNNNNNNNNNNNNNNNNNNNNNNNNNNNNNNNNNNNNNNNNNNNNNNNNNNNNNNNNNNNNNNNNNNNNNNNNNNNNNNNNNNNNNNNNNNNNNNNNNNNNNNNNNNNNNNNNNNNNNNNNNNNNNNNNNNNNNNNNNNNNNNNNNNNNNNNNNNNNNNNNNNNNNNNNNNNNNNNNNNNNNNNNNNNNNNNNNNNNNNNNNNNNNNNNNNNNNNNNNNNNNNNNNNNNNNNNNNNNNNNNNNNNNNNNNNNNNNNNNNNNNNNNNNNNNNNNNNNNNNNNNNNNNNNNNNNNNNNNNNNNNNNNNNNNNNNNNNNNNNNNNNNNNNNNNNNNNNNNNNNNNNNNNNNNNNNNNNNNNNNNNNNNNNNNNNNNNNNNNNNNNNNNNNNNNNNNNNNNNNNNNNNNNNNNNNNNNNNNNNNNNNNNNNNNNNNNNNNNNNNNNNNNNNNNNNNNNNNNNNNNNNNNNNNNNNNNNNNNNNNNNNNNNNNNNNNNNNNNNNNNNNNNNNNNNNNNNNNNNNNNNNNNNNNNNNNNNNNNNNNNNNNNNNNNNNNNNNNNNNNNNNNNNNNNNNNNNNNNNNNNNNNNNNNNNNNNNNNNNNNNNNNNNNNNNNNNNNNNNNNNNNNNNNNNNNNNNNNNNNNNNNNNNNNNNNNNNNNNNNNNNNNNNNNNNNNNNNNNNNNNNNNNNNNNNNNNNNNNNNNNNNNNNNNNNNNNNNNNNNNNNNNNNNNNNNNNNNNNNNNNNNNNNNNNNNNNNNNNNNNNNNNNNNNNNNNNNNNNNNNNNNNNNNNNNNNNNNNNNNNNNNNNNNNNNNNNNNNNNNNNNNNNNNNNNNNNNNNNNNNNNNNNNNNNNNNNNNNNNNNNNNNNNNNNNNNNNNNNNNNNNNNNNNNNNNNNNNNNNNNNNNNNNNNNNNNNNNNNNNNNNNNNNNNNNNNNNNNNNNNNNNNNNNNNNNNNNNNNNNNNNNNNNNNNNNNNNNNNNNNNNNNACUAUCUUGAUCAAGAUAGUGCGAAGCAAAAUCAAUUCAUAGUACCUAACAAAAGCUUGAACUCCAAAGCUUCACCUGCAAAAGCUUCACCAACAAAAGCUUCACCAAUGGAGGACAACUACAAAUUCUCAAAAGCUUCACACUAUCUUGAUCAAGAUAGUGUGAAGCAAAAUCAAUUCAUGGUACCCAACAAAAGCUUUAACUCCAAAGCUUCACCUACAAAAGCUUCACCCACAAAAGCUUCACCAACAAAAACUUCAUCAAUAGAGGACAACUAUAAAUUCUCAAAAGCUUCACAUUAUCUUGCUCAAGAUAGUGUGAAGCAAAAUCAAUUCAUGGUACUCAACAAAAGCUUCAACUCCAAAGCUUCACCUACAAAGCUUCAACUCCAAAGUUUCACCUACAGAAGCUUCAACACAAAAGCUUGACCCACAAAACCUUCACCUACAAAAGCUUGACCCACAAAAGCUUCACCCACAAAACUUUUACCCACAAAAGCUUGACUCACAAAAGCUUCACCUACAAAAAACGUCACCCACAAAAGCUUCACCCACAAAAGCUUCACACUAUCUUGAUCAAGAUAAUGUGAAGCAAAAUCAAUUCAUGGUGCCCAACAAAGCUUCAACCUCAAAGCUUCACCUACAAAGCUAAUAUAUAUAUAUAUAUAUAUAUAUAUAUUUUCGGAAAUUUGAAAAUUCAAAAAUUCAAAAAUUCGAAAAUUCGAAAAUUCGAAAAAAAAAAAUUCGAAAAUUCAAAAAUUCAAAAAAAAAAAAUUCUAAAAUUCGAAAAUUAGAAAAAAAAAAUUGCCUAGGCCUCAUUUUCUUUGGGCCUAACAACUUUCAUAACAAAUAUAUAUGAAUGAGGAGUUUUGGGCUACCACUUAGAAAGGAAAUGCCUCAUUCGUCAACUCCCUCGACCGGAGACUUGGGGGACACCUACCAUAUGCUACUGCACCUUGAUACUCAGAAGUCUCACGACCACUCAGUGACUUGGAUUUUUCAAGUCUCCAACCGAGAAGUUUUCAUCACUCAGGAAAUUAAGGGAGCACUACCUCAACAUACAUGCUUCACUCACAAAGCUUUAACAUAUAAGCUUCAACAAAAGGAAAAAUUCAAAGAACUUAGUGAAGAAGGUCUUGGUGUAUUUAACACAAUACGUUGAAAUGAAGCAAAGCUUAUUUAUUGAUAUCUCCGAUAAGUUACAAAUAUGUACAUAUACAUGAAUCAAAAUAAACAAACAAGAAGGAGCCUUCAUAAAGGUUGCUCAGGAGAAGUCUCAGCAGUCGGCAGAGCCCCAGAAAAAGGAGGCACCAGAGGGUGAUUAUUCAAAGCCUCAGUACUAGGCAGAACCCCAGAAGGAGGAGGCACCGAAGGUUGAUCAUUUGGAGCUUAAUUACGCGGUACAGCCCCAGAAGACGAAGACAAUAAAUGCCUUUGGAACAAACCCACAAACCUCUGAUGAUCAAGUAAAAUCUGACCAUCAAAUUCUUGCAGCUGGUUGAGCUUCCUCUUCAUGUUUGUAGCAUAGUCAUGUGCAAGCCUGUGCAACUGUAUAUUCUCAUGCUUGAGCCCUCUGAUCUCCUGUUUGAGAUUUAUCACUUUAGCUGCCAAUGAUUCAACUUGGCAGGUUCGAGCAAAUAAGCGUUGGGCCAUAUUAGACACAGAACCUGCACACUGAACAUUGAGAGCCAGAGAAUCCUUAAUAGCCAACUCAUCAGACCGUUUGGAAAGUAGUCUGUUAUCUUUGGGAGUAACAAGGUUCCUGGCUACCACCACAGCGGUUAUAUCAUUCUUCAUCACAGAGUCCCCAAUGGUAAGAGGACCAGUUGGGGAUAAGAAGGAUGGGCGCCAUAUGUUGUCUUAAGAAGGCAUGGCUGCCUCUUCACCAAAGUUCAAGUCAAAAUGACGGUCGGAUGGGUCAUACAUUUUUAGAAAUGAUGAAGGAGAAAUGAGGUGCAAUAAAUCUCUGAAGUAAAGGGAAAAUUCCUACAAACAAUAACUCACUGAAUGUACUCUUUGCGCACAAUUGAUGCCCUUAUAAAAGAAAGAACAACAGGGCUGUUGGUUCAAAAAUCAAAGAGGCACCACUUUCCACACGCAACAUCAGCUCAUCGGGUACCACAGAUAACUUUGCCAAAGAUCUCUGACAAAAUUUAGACACAUAAAUUUUGAAGGUCUAGCUACCCUACUAUUACCCACAAGGGUAAAGGAACAGCACCACUACUUGAUAACUAGAAAGUCCCAAUGUGUGUCAAUCUCCAUGCUAUGUGGCAAGGCGGACUGGCAAAAAUGCCCAACCUUUACUCACAUUCGAGAAAACACUCCCAACAAGAUUGCUUGCUCAAAAAUCGAAGAGGAACCAUUCUCCAAAUCUCAAGAGUCAGACUCCCAACAAGAUUACUUUCUCAAAAUCGAAGAGGCACCGUUCUCUGAAUCUCGAGAGUCAAAUCCCCGACAGGAUUGCUUGUUUGAAAACCGAAUAAGCACCGCUCUCCGAACUUUGAGAGCCAGAUUUCCUUGGAUAAAGCUUGUUUGCAAUCUUUACACGCAACAUCAGCUUUCCAGAUACCACAGACCACUUUUUCAAAGCGCUCUGACAAAGUUAAAACAUGUGAAGCUUGCAGCUCCCACUACAUUGCUAUGACUAAGAAGGGUAAAGGAAUAACAUUAUUACUUGCUCAAAAAUCGAAGAGGCACCGCCCUCCGAAUCUCGAAAGCCAGACUCCCAACAGAAUUAUUUUCUCAAAAAUCGAAGAGGCACCACUCUCCGAAUCUCAAGAGCCAGACUCCCAACAGGAUUUCUUUCUAAAAAAUCGAGGAUGCACUGCUCUUCAAAUCUCGAGAGCCAGAUCUCCGACAGGAUUGCUUGUUCGAAAACCGAAAAGGUAUCGCUCUCCAAACUUCGAGAGCCAGAUUUCCUUGGAUAAAGCUUGUCUGCAAUCUUCACACGCAACAUCAGCUUUCUAGAUACCACAUACCACUUUUUUAAAGUGCUCUGACAAAGUUAAAACAUGUGAAACUUGUAGCUCCCACUACAUUGCUACGACCAAGAAGGGUAAAGAAAUAGCAUUACUACUUGUUGUUAGGGAGACUCCUAUAUAUGUCGACCUUCAUCCUCUACGGACAGGUAGACUUGCAAAAAUGCUCAACCUUUCCUUAUAUCUGAUAGGGCACUCCUAACGAAGCCUCUCGAAAUACUCAGCUUUCUUCCCCCAAUAAUACCUAUGCAAACCAGCCACACUAGAGCAAGAGUAUCUCAUAUCAUCAGGGUUAAAAGCAAGAGUAUCCCAUAUCAUGCUUUUUCCCUAUCUUUUCCUUUGGCCUUAUUCUUACCUGCAAGACAAUGAGAAAGAGAGCAAUCAGUCAGCACUUAGAAUCAAGCUUCCGAUCAGGAACUGACUGCCUGGAACCCCUUGCCUGAUUACUUACCUGGCAUUGCUCUUGAGUACUCAUCUUCAACAUCUUAUGCUUCCAGAGAAGAUACCACAUCUGUCUGAGGAACAGAUAGGGCAAGUAAGAAGGAUACAAGGAAGCAUGUGGAGAUAAGCGUAACAGAACACGUGCCGAUACAUCCACUACUUUGUCAAAAGUAAAAGUAUCACAUAUCAUCAGGGUCGAACGUACUCUAGAUUUGAUGGACUUGUUUUGACCCUCAAAUUCUUGAGUCGGCCUUAUAUUUUGGAGGAAACCAGAAAACCUUCCAGCCCAGUUCAAGAAUAAGCUUGUGGAAAGUUACUUCUCCAAAAGCAAAAGUAUCUCAUAUCAUUCUUCUCCAUUUACUUCUCUUUAUCCCUGUUGCUAUUUACGACAUAAGGAGAAGGAGAACAAUCAACCGGAAGCCGAAGUCGAACCUCCGAUCCAGGUUGCUUGCUUGGAAGUCUGAUUGCUUACCUUGUCUGUUACCUCUUUUGGCAAAUCUCCUAACUUGGCGACUUGGGGGACUCCUACUAUAGGGUUUUGUAUCGCACUUGACCAAGCCCGAAACUACAAGUAAGCUUCAAGUGAAAUUGAUACAUUACCUUGUGCAUCUUCAUCGGUUAAAGAUACCACCCCUGGAUGGAGGAAAAAUACUUUCAGAGAAGAUGCCACAUCUACAUAUGAGACAAAUAAGGCAAGUGAAAAUGAUACCACACUUCGGUACUUAGAAGUUUCAUGAUUACUCAAUGGCUUGGAUCUUGCAAGUCCCUAACCGAUGAGCUUCCCUCAUUCGGGAACUUAGGGGAGCAUUGUUUGUACCAUACUUGACCAAUCCCAAAAAUACUGAGCAUCGGUCAACGUUAUAUCGUCAAGGACCCAGAAAAGUUUCCCUUCAACCAGGAGGCCAAUCACAGUGUGACACGUGUCGACAUUAGAAGCAAAUCAUAACGCGACACUUGUCAACAUCAGAAGCCAAUCACAACACGACACGUGUCAAUGUUAGAAUGAAACUAGAAACUCUCUUGUAUAAAUAAAGAUCAUUCUCUCACAAUAUUUUGUACUAAAUCAUUCACUUGUACUCACUAAAGGAGAGCUUGAACCUAUGUACUUGUGUAAACCUUUCACAAUUAAUGAGAACUCCUCUACUCCGUGGACGUAACCAAUCUGGGUGAACCACGUACAUCAAGUGUUUGCUUCCCUGUCUCUAUCCAUUUACAUACUUAUCCACACUAGUGACCAGAGCAAUCUAGGGAAGAUCACAAACUUAACACUUUCUGUUGUACCAAAAUCCUCACUGAUUUUGUGCAUCAACAUAUGUAUGUACUAACAAAUUUUGGGAUUGAAAUGAAAUAAUCGUCGACUACAUGUUCGCAUUUGCAGUAGCCACUGAAAUCAUAUUAAGCGAUGAUAUUGAGCCUCACUUUAUUGAUGAAUGCAAACAGAGACAAUAUUAGCCUAAGUGGAAAGAUGAAUCCAAACAGAAUUAAAUUCCUUGGAAAGGCGAAGUGUUUUUGGACCAGUAGUCCAAACUCCGCCUGGUGUAAACCUCGUGGGUUACAAAUGGGUAUUCACAAGAAAACGCAAUCAGAAAAACGAGAUUGCAAGAUAUAAAGCACGACUCGUUGCACAAGGUUUUUCACAAAUACCUGAAAUUGAUUAUGAUGAGACAUACUCUCCUGUAAUGGACGCAAUUACAUUCCGUUACUUAAUAAGUUUAGUGGUUUCAGAAAAACUUAUCAUGCGACUUACGGAUGUCAUCACCAUGCAUCUAUAUGGAGAAUUAGAUAUUGACAUAUAUAUGAAGGUCCCAGAAGGACUUAAGUUGCCUGAAACGACUAACAAACCAUGAGGUAUGAUCUCAAUCAAAUUAAGGCGAUCAUUAUAUGGGCUCAAGUAAUCUGGACGAAUGUGGUAUAAUCAUCUGAGUGAGUAUUUGAUCAAAGAAGGAUAUACCAACAAUGUCAUUUGCUCUUGUGUGUUCAUUAAGAAAUCAACUUCUGGAUUUGCAAUAGUGGCAGUAUAUGUGGAUGAUAUGAACCUAGUUGGAACCCCUGAAGAGCUCAAUAAAACUGUUGAGUAUCUGAAAAGCAAAUUUGAAAUGAAAGACCUUGGAAAAACAAAAUAUUGUCUCGGCCUGCAGAUCGAGCAUUGUACUAAUGAAAUUUUGGUUCAUUAAUCAGCUUACAUUGAAAAAUCCUGAAGCAAUUUGGCAUGGACAAGGCUUAUCCACUCAGCACGCCAAUGGUCGUUCAUUCUUUGGACAUUAAAAAAAAUCCAUUCCAUCCAAAAGAAGAUGAUGGAGUGGUCCUUGGUCCAGAAGUACCAUAUCUGAGUGCAAUAUGUGCUUUAUUGUAUUUAGCACAAUGUACUAGACCAUAUAUAGCCUUUUCAAUCAACUUGUUAGCAAGAUAUAGCUUUACUCCAACAAUUCAUCAUUGGAAGGGAGUCAUAGAUGUUUUACAAUACUUUUGUGGGAUAACAGACAUGAGUCUCUUCUACUCAGAGAAAUCCACAAUUGACCAGAUUCUUAUUGGAUAUGCAAAUACUGAUUUUCUCUCUGAUCCAUAUAAAGCCCACUCACAAACUGGAUAUGUGUUCACUAAUGAAGAUACAUCAAUCUCAUGGUGCUCAACAAAGCAAACUAGUUGCUACAUCUUCCAAUCACUCGAAAAUACUUGUUUUACAUGAAGCAAGUCGUGAAUGUUCUUGGUUAAGAUCAAUGAUCCAUCAUAUCCGGAAUUCAUGUGGUCUACCUUCAAAGACAGACACUCCAACCGUCAUUCAUGAAAAUAAUGUAGCCUAUGUUGCCCAAAUGAAGGAAUGAUUCAUCAAGGGCAAUAAGACUAAACAUAUAUCUCUAGUGCACAUGAGCUUCAUAAGGUUAAAGUUAUUGAAGUCAGACAAAUCCAUUCCAAUAAAAUCUGGCAGACCUGUUCACCAAAUCUCUACUAAAGUGCACAUUUCAGAAGCUAGUGCAGGGUAUCGGAUUACGUCAACUUACCAAUCAAUUAAAUUUGAAGAAUGUAGAAUCAGGAAGAGAUACAAUUCAGGGGGAGCAUCCAUGAUACAUGUUUGUUGUACUCUUUUUCCUUUGACUAGGAUUUUUCCUAUCAAGGUUUUAACGAGGCAACAUAAGUAUGUUUAACACUAUAUCAACAAUGCAGGUAAAAUUGUACUUUUUUUCCUUCGCUAUGGUUUUUUUCCACUGGGUUUUUCCGAGUAAGGUUUUAACGAGGCAACUAAUGUUGAUAUGUGGGCAUCCAAUGGGGAGUAUUGUAAAAGUUUUGGGGUGAAUGCCCACAUACUUUUGGAAAAAGGUGAGAAGACUUUAGAAUAGUGAUCAUGUUGUUGUUGUAUGAAGUUUGUCAAAGAACACUUAUUUUACCUUUGUAAGUUUUCACAGGAGUGACUCUAUUUAAAGAGCACUCUGUGUGUGAUCACUACACACUGCAAAAGAUAAGAGCUUAAAGCAAUACUAUUAGUAUCCCUCACUUCCUCUUUUUACCUGCAAUCCUUUUGUGUUAUAGUUACAAAACUAAACAGUAUGAUAUUUUGCACUCGUUUUGCUCCUGUCCUUAACAAAAGUUAUAUCUCUAACUUUUGCCUAUUUAUAACAUUAAUUAAUUAUUAUUUAUUUAACAAUUAAAAUUAAUUGAAAAAAAAAACUUUCUCCCCCCUUUUUCCCACAAUGUUGUUUCGGGGUGCCAAUUUGCCCGAAGCUCGUCUUCAACCUGCCAACCCCAAAUUUCUCUGCCAAACCCCAUCCCUCUCCACCCUCCGUCGCCGUUGAAGUUUUCCAGCUGCUCUCCUAAUCUCGUUUCCUCUUCAAAAAAUUCUCAUAUGCCUCUUUCUCUCUCUUAUUCUCCUUCUCAAGCCGUCAGCAUGGGAAGCCACGAAGUCGAUCACCCCAACUUCAAAUUCGAGAUCUACGAAGUCAGCACCCCGACUUCGACCCCAACCACCAACUCGCUUUCUCUCACUAGCAACUUGUAUUUGUCAAUGUGGCACAAUACAAAUCCGACGAACGACGCUGGUGAAUCCGAUGAAUGACUCGAGUUAGAAGACCAAAUUGAUUCGAAGCCCACCUUCAAUUCUUCUGAGUUUUCUUGGGUGUGUUUGGAGUUAGGCCUGAUGGUGAUUGAGGGGGUGGGCUGGCGAUGGGAGGGUAGGGGUGUGCUGCGGCUACGUUGUGAAGGGAUUGAAGCUAAAUUACCCAGUUUAUGAAUUUCAAAGGGAUUGGAGGUUGAGUCGCCGGAUAAGGAAAAGAUUGGGGUUUAAUUUAUGCCAAGUCAUUACUUAACAGUUAAAUAAAUGAAUUGAUUAAUGAAGAUAUGAUAUUUUAAUGAAUUCAUAAGUUAAUGUAUGAUAUUACAACGUUUAAAAAUGAGAUAUGAAUUUAUUAUCUGACAUAAAGUUAAGGUGAUAAAAUAUAAUUUAUCUUUUCCUUUUUUCGAAGACAUGGCUGAGAAGAAGCAAUAAGAAGUUGAGAAAUGACACCGCCCCACCCUCAAAGCCUUUAUUAAGAUAAUUUAGAAAUUAGCAUUUAUUUAGGUGAGGUUACUGGGGAGUGGCAAUAUGUGACGAUGGCUGCUGGAAAUUGGUAGCCAAAUUAGCUUUCAGUUUGUGUUGCCGGCGAUCAAAAGAAGAAGACAAGGGGAAGAAGAUGCAGGUUUUAUUUUCAAAAUUAACUCAAGGGAAAGAAGCAAAUUCUUAACUCGACUUUAAUUUUAAUAAUUAACUUCAUGUGCAUUUUAAAAUUGAGUUUGACUAUGAUGUACUGAAUUAUAACAUUUGAUUGCAUGAAUUAUUAUAUGAUUAAAUAUACCAUUGAUACCAAAUACUUCAUUGUCAUUUUGACAAUAUGAAUAAUACUGUUCAAAAUCAUAAUGCAAGCUUCCCAAUUUCAAUUUUAAAGAUAAGAGACAAAGACUUCAACACAAAGUGUAAGAAAACUCAAAGUCUUCCCAGACAAAGACACCAUCUCAUAUAUUAAAAUUAGGGUAAUUCUCAGUUUAUUAUCCUAAAAUUUCUUAGUUUUCAACAUUUUAUACAUCAAUUUGUUUUUUCAUCUCAGUCUGGUACCUAAAGUGAUAAUUCUAGAACACUUUCAUACAUCUGUUAAACUUUCUAUUAAAACAGUCGUUAACUUAUAACGUGGCACCAACGUGGACAAUAAUUGAACAACACGUGUCAAUCUAGGCCCAUGUGAACAUUAAAAAAUAAAAAAAAGUAAAACAUACCAAAAAAAUCUAGGAAAAAAACCUCCGAAGUUUCAAACACAACCCUAUCUUUGUCCUGGAGACCCAGAUCAUCUUCAACCUUGGGAUAUGGAAACCGACGAGGAAAACCAAGCCAAUUUCCUUACCUGCUCUGCUCCCCAUUCGUAAAACCUUGCAAUCAGCUUCAAUGGCUUCCUCACCUGUAUCAUAUGGUACGUGAAUUCUAUGGCCUAUGCUUUCUAGAUUGUUGUCCUCGUUGACAAUUGACUAAGGCCCUAUUUUUCUAAUUACUUAUACGGAUAAUCUCAGUUACUACUACGAAAUUUUUUUGGUGACAUCAAAUUUCAGAAUGGUACCUGAAGUCAUACUUUUGGGAUACUUUUAUAUUUUCGUUAAGGUUGCUGUUAAAUCAAUCAUUCACUGGUGGUGCGGGAUCCACGUGGAUAAUAACUCGACACCAUGUGUCAAUAUAGGCCCACGUGAACAUUAAAAAAAUUAAAAAUUUAAAAAAAAGAUUUGAAAAUUAAAAAAAAAAAAAAACUAAAAAAAUCUGGACCUCUCCUACUUCAGCCCUUCCACCCUUCCCUCUACCUCUUCGACUCCACUCUCUCCCUCUCUUUCUCUCCGACAAACCACCUCUGAACGUUCCUCCCAAACCCUAAUUCUUUCCCAAUCCCCAAUUUUUUCCCCCAAUUCACCUCCAACUUUUUAACCCCACCUUUCAAUUCAACCUUCCCGCCGCCGAUUCACUAUCCACAAGAUCACAAUUUGGGAGACCACAACGGUACCCAGUAAGCCUAGCAAAAAGGUCGUGCGUUGCUGCUUUGUGUCAUUUUCGUGUAACAUCUGUUAUCUUAAUGGGUCGUGGUGUCACACCUAUUAUCUUAACGGGUUUUUAAUAGGUCGGGUCAUUUUACCCAACAAGUAAAAUGACUCGACCCGUUAUGACUCGUUAAGAAUUUUUUUUUUCUUUCUAAAUUUGCACAUACCACAUUGCCACAUAAAUAUUACUUAACUAAUUCGAAACGAAAAACCCCAAUUUGAAGAAACAAAACCAAUCUUCAAUAGAAAACUAAUUCAAAGAAAAACCCUAUAUUUUCAAAGUAAUUCGAAAGAAAUAAUAAUUACCUCGAUUAGGGCUCAAGAUUUGCUCGAUCCAGAGAGAAGCAAAGACAAAAGUAGAAGAUCGAUUGGUGUUGGGUUACUAGGUCAUAUGUGGUGACAGUGGUGUGGUGGAGGGAGAUUGGAGAGGGUGGUCAUGAACUCGUGAUUGGCAGGAAUUGAAGUUCGAAACUGAGAUUCGAGAGUUCAGUUCGAGUGAGAGCAGUUGCUUUAAUUCAAGCCUUCAAGAAUGAGAGAGAAUCUGAUUUAGGGCUGAAAAAAAAAACAUUAGACACCCGAGAUUAAAUCUCAGCCGAUCUAACCUAUUAUCUGGACCAAUCCGUUAUCUUAACAGGUUCUUAUAUACUUACCCGAUAAUGAUCCGAUUCAUUAUCGUGUCGAUCCGAAAACCUGUAAAUUUCGUGUCGUGUUGGGUUAAUGGUUUAUGUCAAAAAUUGACAGGCUUAGUACCCAGGAAAAAAGGAAGCCAGAUCCGACUUGGUCGCCAAGUUAAUUGCCACGGGCCAAUCAUGGAAUCCAUAAUAUGCGUUGUGGGUGAUAAACCUGAUUGCACAGAGAGAGGAGAUGAGGAGAAAAAGAAGGAAGGAUUGUAAAAACAGUCAUGCCAGCGAUAGUGGGAAUUGUGAGAGUUACUGAGAAUGGGAUGGUGUAGAAUUCAAGGAAGGCUAGGUAGAGGAUGGUGUUGUGCGGAAGCGGCAUCCAACUGUAAGUGAAAAAGUAAAACAUAACAGAAUAAAACCAACACCAACAAGAACACCAAGAUUUAUACUGGUUCGGCAAUGCCUACAUCCAGUUUAGAGACAACGGAGUAUUCCACUAUAAUCAAUGAGAACAUACAAUAGUGUUUAUCACUCAAUUUCCCAAAGACCCAAAUAACCCAAGCUCACACACUUUGCAAUAGGAAGGGAGAAAACCAAAAAUACAAAGCAAAACAAUUUGAGAAAAAAUCUUUUCUCUGCCGAAAUGCUUCUUGCUCUUUUUCUUCUUCCUACUUACGGGCUGCACCUUGCUCCCCUUUUAAAGCCAAAGAAAAUGGCUCUUCAAGGACAUCAAUGGCCAAAGGCCUACCAUCAAGUCAAAAAGAGUUAGGCACAAUUGUUGUUUGUCUCCCAUUACCACAAAGUAGCCGAAAUUUUUUAUCUUUGACUACAUUGUUUGAGUCAAUAAUCAACAAUCUCCACCUUGGCUCAAACCCUCUAAGAUGGUCGUCUCCCAAUCCCCCAUGGGGCAAUCAACAAAUUUUACAAAUGACAAUCAAGUCUAAGCAGUGCUUAAACUUGUGCAAUGAAACUGGCUUUGUUAACAUAUCCGCAGGAUUGUCAGCGGUCCCAAUCUUCUGAAGAAGAAUAUCUCCCUCAUCAAUAAUCUCACGAACAAAAUGGAACCUCACGUCAAUGUGUUUCGUACGUGCAUGAUGAACUUGAUUCUUUGCUAAAUGAAUAGCACUCUGACUGUCGCAAUGAACAUUCACAUGGUCUUGUUGAACCCCUAAGUCAUCAAGCAACCCUUGAAGCCAGAUGGCUUCCUUUAUAGCUUCUGUUACAGCCAUGUAUUCUGCCUCAGUAGUCGACAAAGCAACUGUAGAUUGCAGAAUCGACCUCCAACUUACUGGACCUCCAGCAAUAGUGAAUACAAAACCAGUAGUGGACCUACGCUUGUCCAAAUCACCUGCGUAAUCAGAAUCCACAUAUCCAACAACACAUUGACCAAUAACUUUAUCCUGCUGGAACAAUAAACCAACAUCCACAGUACCCAAAAUAUACCGUAGAAUCCAUUUCACAGCUUGCCAAUGCCCUUUUCCUGGAUUAUGCAUAUAUCUACUGACAAUACUAACAGCUUGUGAAAUAUCAGGUCUAGUACACACCAUAGCAUACAUCAAACUACCAACAACAUUUGCAUAAGGAAUUUGAGCCAUGUACUGACUCUCUUCACAGUUUUAGGAGACAUAGAAGCGCUAAGUUUGAAAUGAGAGACAAGAGGUGUACUAACCGGUUUUGAAUUUUCAUUCAUCCUGAAACGUUGUAGUACCUUCUUCAAAUAUUGCUUCUGACACAGACUAAUCUUGCCCUUCGCUCUAUCUCUUUCAAUUUCCAUACCUAGUAUCUUCCGAGCUUCUCCCAAGUCCUUCAUCUCAAAUUCAUUACUUAGUUGAGUCUUCAAUCUUUCAAUCUCCACUUGGCUCUUACAUGCUAUAAGCACAUCAUCAACAUAUAAAAGCAGAUAAAUGAAGGUUCCAUCUUGUAGUUGCGAAAGUAUACACAAUGGUCAUAGUGACUUCUUGUGUACUUUUGCCCGAUCAUAAAUCGAUCAAAUCGCUUGUACCAUUGUCUUGGAGACUGCUUCAAGCCAUACAAUGAUUUUUCCAAUUUGCAAACCCAAUUUUCCUUUCCAGCAACCUUAAAACCUUCUGGCUGAGACAUAUAAAUCUCUUCCUCCAAAUCACCAUGUAAGAACGCAGUCUUGACAUCAAGUUGGGCCAACUCAAGGUCAAACUGCACAACCAAAGCCAACAAAAUACGAAUAGAAGAAUGUUUUACUACAGGAGAAAAUACCUCAUUGUAGUCAAUGCCUUCCUUCUGAGCGUAGCCUUUAGCUACCAAUCUGGCUUUGAAUCUUACAUUGUCUUUUCCCAAAGAUUCCAUCUUUUUGUCAUACACCCAUUUACAACCAAUUGUUCUUCCCCUUUGGUAACUGAACCAGAUUCCAAGUCUCAUUUUUAUGAAGAGAUUUCAUCUCCUCAUCCAUAGAUUUCUUCCACAACUCGCACUCUGAACUCAUGACAGCUUCUUUGUAGGCGGAUGGAAUAUCAUCUUCAAUAACAGGAAGUGCAUAUACCACAAUAUCAGUAAAUCGAGCAGGCUUUCGAAUUUCCCUUCUCGAUCUUCUGGUUGCAAUAUAGUCUUGUUGCUGUGGAGGCUCUUGGGUAAGUACUUCCUCUUCAUCAUCCUCGUCCUCAUCAUCAGAAUUAACUGUAGGACUAGUGGUUGUAACAUCAGACCUUAUUGGAACAACUGGAGUCUUCAGUAACUCCACCUACUUUGAGCUACUCAUGGUCUCGGUCGCUUCAGUUUCACCUUCAUGCUUGUUCUGAUUAACCAUAGCAGCCUCAUCAAAGUCACAUCUCUGCUUACAACAAAUUUCUUCUCAUCUGGACACCAGAGUCGAUAUCCCUUCACGCCAGUGCUAAAGCCCAUAAAUAUAGCUUUCUUUGCUCUUGGAUCCAACUUGCUUUCUCUGACAUAAUAGUAAGCAGAACAGCCAAAUAUGUGUAAAAACUUGUAAUCAGUACAAGGUUUACCAGACCAUACCUCCAUGGGCGUUUUGCCCUCGUUCGCAGCAGCUGGCAAUCUAUUAAUGAGAUGGCUUGCAUAAGUAAUUGCCUCAGCCCAAAAUGCCUUGCCUAAACCAGCAUUAGACAACAUACACCGGACUUUCUCAAGCAAGGUACGGUUCAUGCGCUCCGCCACUCCAUUCUGUUGCGGUGUCUCCUUAACCGUGAAGUGUCUCACAAUACCCUCAUCUUGACAAACUUUCAAGAAAAAAAUCAGACUUAUAUUCACCCCCAUUGUCUGAUCUGAGAGUCUUGAUCUUUCGACCGCUUUGCGUUUCAAUCAUCUUUUUCCACUUCAGGAAUAUCUUCAAAACUUCAUCUUUACGCUUCAUGGUGUACACCCAUAUUCUUCUAAAGAAGUCAUCAACAAAGGAGAAAAAAUAAUGGCUACCUCCCCAAUAUGCAUUCUUGGAAGGUCCCCAAACAUCAGUGUGAACAUAAUCAAGAAUGCCUUUAGUGUGGUGAAUAGCAGUGCCAAAUUUUACUGUAGUUUGCUUACCCAACACAAUGCUCACAGAAUUCCAAUUUGCAUGCCUUUGCACCUUUCAAUAAGCCUUGCUUCACUAAUCCUUGCAACGCUUUUUCACCAGCAUGCCCAAGACGCAUAUGUCAUAACCUCGUGGUGUCUGUGCUAUUUGUGUCAGCAGCUUCGGUGACAGCUGCUCCACCAAUAAAUGUAUUCCCCUGCAAGAAAUACAAGUUAUUUCGUCUUGUACCUUUCAUCACCACCAGUGCCCCGUACACAGCUUUAAGAACUCCACCUUCCAUGGUGAUCUUGAGACCCUUGGAUUCCAAUGCACCCAAUGAGAUGAGAUUUUUCUUCAUAUCCGGUACAUACCGAACAUCACUUAAUUCUCUGACUGUUCUAUCAUGCAUCUUCAAACAGAUUUUGCCUAUCCCUUGUGUUUUGCAGGCAUUAUUAUUACCCAUCAAAACAACUCAACCAUCCAGCUCCUCGAAAUUAGAAAACCAUUCCCGAAUGGGACACAUAUGAUAGGUGCAACCUGAAUCCAAAAUCCACUCAUUUGAGUGACCAUCAGCAUAUGAACUAGCCAAAGCAAACUCAAAAUCAUCAUCAUCUCCAGAUUUUGCAAUAUUUGCUUCAGAACCCGCUUUCUCCUUCUUUUUGUUCUUCAAUUUGGGGCAGUCUUUCUUCCAAUGACCCUUUUGGCGACAAAAAGCACAUUCAUCUUUAGCAGGAAACUUCCCUCGUGACUUUGAACGAAAUUUUCCCCGCUUCCCAGAUUUUCUUUCCUCUGUUCGACCCCUUGCAACAAAUGCCUCGGUUUGUGAAUUGUGAGUCUUCAAUUCCUUCUUACGACACUCAUGAUUCACCAAUGCCGCAGACACCUCAUCAAGUUUCACCUCAGAUUUUCCAUACAACAGAGUAGUUGUCAAAUGAUCAUAAUCAUCAGGCAAUGAAUUUAACAAACAUAAUGCCUUGUCCUCGUCAGGAAUUUUCACAUCAAGGUUUGCUAAAUCAGCAAGUAUUUUAUUAUAAUUAUUGAGGUGUUCGUGCAUAGAGAUACCUGGACGAUACUGAAAUCGGAAGAGUCGCUUCUUCAAGAAGAGACGAUUUUCUGCGCUCUUAGUCAUAUACUUCUCCUCCAAUUUCGUCCAUAACUCCUUAGCAGAAGUUUCCUUCAUAUACGGGUAUUUCAACUCCUUAUCAAGGAACGAUCGAAUAGCAGCACAAGCAUGAAGAUUAAUUCGCGUCCUGCUUAUCAUCAAUAUCUUCUAGUUUAUCUUCCAGAACCAUAUCCAACCCUUGUUGAUACAACACAUCCAUAACUUCACAUUGCCACAUACCAAAAUUAUUAGAGCCAUUGAAUUUAUCAAUCUCUAACCUUGUAGUAGUAGUUGGAUGUCUAUUGGAUGUAGACGAAGACGAUGCUGACCCCUUCUUUACAGAUUCAUCUUUAUCUCCAGCCAUCUACUCGGCACUAUUCACAAAUACGGCAUUGUUCACAGGUACAAUACUGUUCACAGAUACUGUAGCAGUUCACUGUUUACUGAACUGUAGCGCCAACACUAUUCACAGAACUAAGCUCUGGUACCACUUGUUGUGCGGAAGCGGCAUCCAACUGUAAGUGAAAAAGUAAAACAGAAUAGAAUAAAACCAACACCAACAAGAACACCAAGAUUUAUACUGGUUCGGCAAUGCCUACAUCCAGUUUGGAGACAACGGAGUAUUCCACUAUAAUCAAUGAGAACAUACAAUAGUGUUUAUCACUUAAUUUCCCAAAGACCCAAAUAACCCAAGCUCACACACAUUGCAAUAGGAAGGGAGAAAACCAAAAAUACAAAGCAAAACAAUUUGAGAAAAAAUCUUUUCUCUGCCGAAAGGCUUCUUGCUCUUUUUCUUCUUCCUACUUACGGGCUGCACCUUGCUCCCCUUUUAAAGCCAAAGAAAAUGGCUCUUCAAGGACAUCAAUGGCCAAAGGCCUACCAUCAAGUCAAAAAGAGUUAGGCACAAUUGUUGUUUGUCUCCCAUUACCACAAAGUAGCCGAAAUUUUUUAUCUUUGACUACAUUGUUUGAGUCAAUAAUCAACAGAUGGUGGAUGGUAAGAAAGCGAGGGGGAGAAGGAAGAUGGCCGAAGGGGAUUAGGAGAGGCUAGAAUUUUUUUUAAUUUUUUUUUAAUUUUAAAUUUUCUAAAUUUUAAUGUUUUUAGUUUUUAAUAUACACAUGGGCUAUAUUUACAUGUGUCCUCAGUAAUUGUUCACGCAGGAGCCACAUCACCAGUUGACAGUUGAUUUAACAGUAAUCUUAAUGGAUAUAUGUAAGGGGUGUGCUAUCCACACACCUCAUUUUAUUUCUCACACACCUUUGAUAAUUUCUAUCCGUUGAUCUUUUUCAAUUCAUUUAAUCCGACGGUUGAAAAAUAAAAAGGUGUGUGAGAAGUAAAAUGAGGUGUGUGGAUAUCACACCCCUAUAUGUAAUUACGACUUUAUGUACCACUCUGGGAUGAAAAAACUUGUUGUACCAAAUAUUGAAAUCAAGAAUGUUAAGGUAGUAAACUGAAAUUAAUCGUACUUUUUAAUUUACAUGGUGGUAUCUUUUAUCUUAAAAUUUGACAUAUUAAAAAAAAAAAAAAAAAAAAAAAAACCCUUAAAAAAAUCACUAGAAAGUUCAAGGUUUCUCCCGUUUUCUUUAACUUUAACAAUAAAAACUUAAAAACACCAUCGGGUUGUAAUUUUUAAUUAACCAUUUGGAUGAAAAGUCAAAGAUAAGAAAAACAAAUAGAGGAUAUGCAAAUUGGUAAUACAUCUCACUAUAAAUAAAGCCCUGAAUUGCUUAAGAAAAAGGUAUACACAAAAACCAUGACUAGAGUUUCAACUUAUUGUGAUAAACUAUGCUUUCUAGCUUUCCUUAUCUUGUAUCUUCAGCUAGCUUCAUCACAAAAAAGUGUUUUUGCUUCUGCCAAUUCCACUGAAGCAGAAGCACUUCUCAAAUGGAAAGCUAGCUUUCAAAACCAAACCCAAAACGACCUGACCUCAUGGAUGAAUGCAAAUGAAGCCCCAUGCAAUACUUGGAUUGGAGUUUCAUGCAACUCAGCUGGAAGUGUCAACAGAUUAAACCUCACCAAUUCUGGUAUACAAAGUACUCUACUUGAAUUUCCUUUCAUGUCCUUGCCUAAUCUUGCAUAUGUUGAUCUAAGCUACAAUGAACUUUUUGAUCAAAUCCCACCUGAGAUCAGUUCCCUCACCAAACUCAUCUAUUUUGAUGUAUCCUACAAUCAAAUGUCUGGAAAAAUCCCACCUGAAAUCGGUCUUUUAACAAGUAUUCAGGUCCUUCACCUAAAUGCAAAUAAUUUCAACGGCUCAAUUCCUCAAGAAAUAGGCCAACUUAAAUUUGUCUAUGAGCUAGCUCUAAACUUAAACAAUUUAGAGGGUUCAAUUCCAGCUUCUGUGGGUAAUUUGAGCCAAUUGACUUCUUUGUUUCUCUUCGGAAACCAACUUUCGGGUUCUAUUCCUCCCGAAAUAGGAAACCUUUCGAAAUUGGUUGAAGUUGACCUGUUUGACAACUAUUUAUCAGGUCCAAUCCCUCUGAGUUUCGGAAACUUGAAAAAUCUAACCAUCAUGAUGUUGUACAACAAUACCCUUUCUGGUUCUAUGCCAACUUCUUUUGGCAAUUUGACAAACCUUGUUUAUCUCUCUCUCUACGGUAAUAAACUUUCCGGCACCAUUCCUGAAGAGAUUGGAAACUUGAAAUUUGUUGAGGAAGUACACCUGGCUGCUAACCGAUUUUCUGGUUAUUUGCCUCGAGAUAUUUGUAGUGGUGGACUGCUACAAAGGUUUACCGCAGAAAACAACGAAUUUACAGGUCCAGUCCCCAAAAGCUUGAAGGGUUGCAAGAGCUUAGUCAGACUCCGUCUUCAAGGGAACCAACUUAAAAGCAAUAUAUCUGAAGACUUUGGUGUCCAUCCGAAUCUUCAGUUUGUAGACCUAAGCCACAACAACUUAUAUGGUGAAAUCUCAGACAUCUGGGGACAGUGUCCAAACUUAACAACCCUACGAUUUGCAGGGAACAACCUUACUGGUAGCAUACCAUCUGAGAUUGCCAAUGCAACUAAAAUUCAAGAACUUGAUUUUUCUUCGAAUCAUCUGGUUGGGGUGGUUCCCAAGGAUUUGGGGAGAUUGACUUCUAUGGUGAAUCUAAAGUUGAAUGGCAAUCAACUUUUGGGUUCUAUACCCUCAGAAUUUGGAGCAUUCACUGAACUGGAAUAUCUUGACGUGUCCACCAACAAGUUGAAUGGCUCAAUUCCAAGCAUUUUUGGCGAAUUGAUCAGUUUAAACUACUUGAAUUUGAGCAACAACAAUUUCAGUCAAGAAAUUCCAUUUCAGUUGGGGAAUUUAUUUCACCUGUCACAGUUAGAUUUAAGUCGUAACUCACUUGACGGCAAGAUACCAUCAGAAAUUAGCAAUAUGCAGAGCUUGGAGCGGCUGAAUCUUUCCCACAAUAAUCUUUCCGGUCUCAUUCCGGCAACGUUUGAUGGAAUGCGUGGCUUGUCGUACAUAGACGUAUCCUACAAUCACUUGCAGGGUCCCAUCCGCAACAACAAAGCAUUUCAAGAUGCUCACAGCUUUGAAGGGAAUGAAGGAUUGUGUGGAAAUUUUGUAGGUCUAGAAUCCUGCAAUAAGCACGUCUCAAAAAGAAAAAACGAAAGAAAACUCGUGUUUGCAAUCGUUUUCCCUAUCUUGGGAGCAGUUUUACUUGCUCUCCUUGCAUUUGUCUUCAUCAAACAAGAAGAAAGAAAGAGCCGGGAACAGAAAAGAGUGAUAUCCAUGAUGAAAUUUUUUCACUCUCUCUUUUUGAUGGAAAAAAAUUGUAUUGGGAGAUCAUAAGAGCAACCAAUGGUUUUGACUCCAUAUUUUGCAUUGGGAAGGGAGGAUCUGGAAGUGUCUACAAGGCAAAGCUACCAUCAGGCAGCAUAUUUGCAGUGAAGAAACUCCAUCAAAAACUUGAAGGCGAGGAGACAUCGCAGGAGUUCCACAAUGAAAUAUGUGCACUAAUCAAUAUACGACAUCGAAACAUUGUGAAACUUUGUGGGUUUUGUUCGAAUUCGCAGCACUCCUUUCUGGUCUAUGAAUACCUAGAAAAGGGUAGUCUGGCUUCAAUCUUGAGCAAAGAAGACGAAGCAAAAGAAUUGGAUUGGAGUAGGAGGGUGAGAAUUGUAAAAGGCGUAGCUCAUGCACUGUCUUACCUUCAUCAUGAUUGCGUGCCGCCAAUUGUACACCGAGACUUAUCAAGCAGCAACAUUUUGCUGGAUUACGACUACGAGCCUUGUGUUUCUGACUUCGGCACCGCUAAGCUUUUGAAUCC
rnacentral:lncRNA from 1 species